rnacentral:lncRNA from 1 species
UUGCAAGCAAAACCUUUUUAAGAAGCCAUUUCCAUGGUUUUCCUCCCCAAAUUCCAUCAAUUCUGCAGAGGCAACGUCAAAUUUACUAUGAUGGAGAUCAUUUUGCACCAUAACAACUUCAGAAGGUAGGAGAUUUGGUUUGAGAUCAUCUGUUGACGGAGUAGUUUCUUUUGAAGUGUCAUGAUGCUUUGAUUGCAAGCCUUCUGUACUUACGUCAGCCUACAAAACAAAAAUUGCAUUCAUCCACACUAGACUUAAUAAGAUUAGAAACACUUCAGAUUCUUCACUAUUUGUAAGUUUGACUAAACAGCAGAACAACUGAGGAUAAUGAACAGUAAUACACACCUGGACUUCUCGUAGAUGAUUUGGAAUUUCUUUCAGAAAUCGCGAAGGUUGAAGCAUCUGAAGGAGCCACCUUCUCAGUCAGAGCAACAACAACAAAUAAGGAGGACAGGAAUUCAAGCUAAAACGAACCUGCCAACUGGAAUCCAUCGUAACAUAAAGAAUGAAAAGCUUUUUUCGAGCACGAGUCAUUGCAACAUAUAAUAGGCGUCUUUCCUCCUAUGAUUAGAGUGGGAUUAUUGAGUUAUUGACCAAAAGAAAAAAGAGUGGAAUUAUUGUGACAAACACUUCAAAGCUCUGCAUAUAACUGAAAAAUGUUGAACAAUUUACCACACACCUCAAUGGAGGUCCCAUUUUCUUUUGCAACGCCAUUGAAUUCAUGCAACAACGGAAUCUCAGAUUCAUUUACCUGUGUUAUUGGCAUGAGCAUUAAAGCAAGCUAAGAUGAUUUGAAGAGGUUGAUAUUGUCAUGAAUAUAGUAGAAUAGAAUACCAAUUUCAAGCCAUCAAUUAGGUAUAGCAUUGGCAUGUUUAAUCCGUAAAUCUAAUGACAGAACACCUCAACUCUACACAUAAAUAAAUAAACAACCUGAAAAAUAUUACAGCCACUUGUUAAGGCAAAUACCUUAAUUAUGAAAACUAUAUCCCACUCUAAACCUUUUGACUGCAAGAGAAUGAAAAAGAAAGACAGUAAGCCAAGAAUGUUUUGUAGAACUCCAAAGGAAGUCCAAUAGGGAAAUCAUCGCAAGUAUAAGAGUUAGCGAGGUUCGCAUAAGAGGAUAUCAAAAAGAUCUAGAACCUGAUGAAUAGUAGUCAAAGUGACAGAACUUUGGUUGUCAUGUCUUCGGGAGUGAAAAUUUUCACUCUCCCGCUCAGAUAUGUAGUCGAUGAAAGCUUUGAGUAAAUUAACGCAGCCUUUUUCUUCUGCUACGACUUCUCUCUCCCCUUUUCCCGCAACAAAAUGAGUUGAUAAGAAAUCAGAUACGUCGUCUAGUAGGUACUGAAGAACCUGCAAUGAGAAUAAUCGCAUCAAAACAACAGGGUUGGACCAAGAUUUAAGUGACAACAAUGAUUAACUAACUAAAAUAGAGAAAUUAUUCAUUUAAGACCUUGUUGACUGAAAAAAGGGUUUUCCAAGCAGCGGGUCAUUUAAGCUUAUUGUAUAAAUGACAAUCAUCACAAACGGCAAACUUACAGAUCUCACGUCAUUGUCUUCAUUCAGCAGUUUUCCUCCAUCUACAUCAACGACUGCACGUUGCUCAAGAAGGUACUUCUAAAAACUGAAAGUCAAACGAUAAAUUAUUAAGAAGCAUUGAAUAUAAGCAUGAAACGAAGAAAAUGUUAUGGAAUGGUGAUCCUCAUCCUCAAAGAUGAUUAAAAGCAAUUUGAUUCAAAAAUGACAUAUCAACUCUGGAGAAAUGGAAGACAAACCUGUGGUACCAUAUUCGCAACUGAGGUUAUGACAGCUGAAAUCGAUUGUUCCUGUGUGCAUUGAUAAGUGAGACUACCAUAGAGAUUCACAACUAAAUAAAGACAGGUAUUCCACAGAACAACCUUUACCUCUUUGGAAACACAGAUCUAACAAAAACUAUAACAUUUUGGAUUAAUAUUGACGAAUCAAGAAUAAUGCAAGGGAGCAAGAGAUACUCUUCCUUCUAAUAACAAGGAGGCGUGAAAAGUUUACAGAGUUCCAACAAUUAGAGAACUAAAAUCAAACUAAAAAAAUCACCAAAGUAGACAGAAUCCCACUUCGCCAAAAAUUUGAAAAUAUAUCCUUUUUAUCCAUUGAGAUUCAUGAACUACUACUACUACAUCAUGCCAAUAAGCAAUGCGUAAGAGGUGCUACAAUUUACCGAAUAUAUUUACCCUGAGAACAAGUUUUGAAAUCAUCUCUAGUGUUAACAGCACCUUGCGUCCUUGGGUAAGCUGAGUCCUAUUAUCAAGUAAAGAGACCAAUCAGUACAUAUCCAAAAGAUCUUAAAUGCUUGUAAUACCAAAUAAGAAAGAAACAUGAGUAUAUCUUGAAUUAACAAUGCAAAAAUGUAAUGUUAAAGCAUCUUGUCAUACAGACCUCUUCAAGGUACCAGAAAUUUUGGCACUAAAGAUGUCACAAGCAGCUGAUAUGAAGCUGCAUUUUCUGUGAGUUGAAAUUUUGUCAAUAUAAUCAAUCACCUGAAGAGAGAGAGAGAGAAAGACAGUGAUAUCCAGAGAUGUGAGCCUAAAUGCUGAGUGUGUAAAAAAAGAAGAUUAAAUGGAUAGCAAGAAUAUACAACUUUAAUGCUGAAAAGAACAUUGAAUAUGAUGCUCAUUCAUCAUUGCCAUUGAACGUGUACCUUCUUCUUUUCCUCUUUCUCAAAAGCAAGUAGAGCCUUGAAGACUCGCCUAUAUGAUCCAUCAUCACAACCAGGCAAAGUUGUUUUAAUCAUAGCAACAAUGGCUCUAACUACCUGCCAUAAGAAACAUGCUACAUCAACAAGAUCACAGAGUGUACCAGAAACCGUAAUGUAGCAAAAUCUUAGAUAAAAUAGCUGGCCAAAAGGGAAUGGAAAAGCAAGCACAAAAAACAAUGAAAAGGACCAGUGAUGCCAAAAUUCUGGUGGAAAAGGUGAAAAGCUUACGUCUAUUACAGUUCUUGUAUGCAUUCUUUAUAACUUAAGUUCUACGCAGCAAAAACCACCUUAUGCACAACAAUAUUGGAAAAAUUAGAUACAUACAACUGAGAAGAUAGGUUUUCAUAGCUGGACAAGUGCUAACUACCUUCUUCCUAUAAACUGCCACUCCAUGAACAUUAAAUGGUAUUUUCCUUUCACGCAAGGCUGUCUGGAAGACUUUUCCUGAUACCUGUAGUAUAAAAUACAAAAGAAAAUGUGAGCAAAAUGUCUUAUAUGAUUCACCUCAUUCACAUUAGCACUAAGGCAAGUACGCUUGACCUGCCUCCGGUAAAGGAUUGCUAUAUUUCCAUAGGAGCACCCUGCUUCUGACCGUUUAGAUGCAGUCUCCAGGAUCUUGUCGACAACAAAGGCGCAUUGUGCAUCCUCAUUGUGACUUUCCUUGAUAAUUACCUACAUUUUGCCAGUAAAACCGGUGUCACUAACUAAAAGGACUGAAAAAUGACAUCAAAUUGUACUUGUUGGAGCAAGGAAAGAUUAAGUACCUUAGACCCAGAAGAAUUGUCCGUGUCAACAUUCUUUAGUUGGCAUCGCUUCUUAUUGUUUUUUAUAACAGAAGAUGCAGCUUCCACAAUAUAGCGUGUGGACCGAAAGUUUUUAUUAAGCCUAAUCUGAACCAUAAAGUUAUGUCAAAUCCCACAGAACCCCAUAAAAUAAAACUUACUUUCCUGUAAUUGUACAAUAUAUUUGUUCUAUACUAUAUAUAAUGAAAAAAGACACUGUGAAUGACAUAAGAUAACAUAGCAGUCAAGUGCGAAGCGAACCUCUUUGUUAUUUGAAAAAUCUUUACGAAAAGAAUCAAAUCCAGAAAUGUCCGCCCCAUUGAAACUGAAAAUGGACUGCAGCAGGAUAUAUGUUAUUUGAUUUAGAAAAGAUAAGGGCUGGAUUAAAAUGAGCUGAGAGAGAGAGAGAGGGAGAGAGGGAGCAAUAACAUUGGAUUUCCAUAAUAAAUCAACAACAUGCCUGAUCAUCAUCACCAACAAUGGUUAUGUGGUUAUGAGAGGCGAGAAUCCGCAAAAGACUAUAUUGCAUAGCACUUGUGUCUUGAAACUCGUCUAUUACAAUAGCUUUCCAUGACUCCUGGCACUCCUUCAACACUAAUUAAAAGAACACCAUGUAUCAACAUUUAGCAUUACUUGUAAAACUAGAUAAAUCAAUGAAAUAUACUUAGAUGAUAGAGACCUUCAGGAAAAUCACUUAGCAGCUUCACAGAGCAGCUAAUUAAGUCGUGGUAGUCCAAAGCGUUGCACGAUUUCAAGAUAUCAUUGUAAUUCCUAAGAAUUUCACCCUGAUUCAGAUUGAGAGCUAAAACUCAUAAGCAAUAGUUUCAAAGAACUGAAAUCAUAUCUGAAAUUCUAGUUCUGAGCGUACUCCUGUCACAUCACCCAUUCUUCGGCAUUCAGCGGGAGUCUUUCCAGAAGCUUUUGCCUGAAACAUAAAUAAAUUUAUUGCCUAAUGCCACAUAUUGUAAGACACACCAUUGUAUUGGUCAUUCUAGCUUGAUUGUAGCUAAUAUUUUUUAAAUCGAAUGAUUAGAGUUCUUAAUCCACAAUAAUCUGAACAUUAAAUUUGGUAUUCAAGACUGACCUGUGUCACAAACUUCAGCCAUUUCUUUGAUGCAUCCUUAAAAUGAUGUGGAGAUGUUACGCCGUUAGACUCUUCCCCAUCUAUAGCAACAUUAAGAUUCGUUUUACUCUUUUCAUCUUCUGAUAAACGCACAGCUUCAAUGAUUGCUCUUCUCUGUUGCCCAUGUCCAUAUAUCAAAAAUUCUGGUCUGCGCUCGAGUCUAAAACACAAGGCAACAUAACAGACUCAGCUAUACCACCAUAUGUAUGGUGUUCAAAAUCAAGGGAGGUGAAUCAAUAGCUUACUUCUCAGCAUGUGAUCGGCAAAGUUGCAAUGAAAAUGAAUGAAAUGUACUGAUUGUUAGUAGUUUGCCGUUGCUUUCCCAGUCACAGAUCCAAUUCGAUCUCUCAUCUCGGAAGCUGCUGCUGUAGUGAAAGUCAUUGCUAGAACGUUCGACGUGCUAAUGCCCUAAGAACACCCAAAAAAAAAAAACGAAUAAGAUUUCGAUCAUAAACAAGAAAUGUAGAGAAACAGACAAUUAUGAAAGAAAAAGUUAAGAGGGAAAGUAGCAACACCUCAUUGAGCAGCAUUAGAACGCGCCCAACUAUCGUUGAAGUCUUUCCACUUCCAGGGCCGGCAACAAUCAUCAAAGGUACUGAACUAUCGCUGCAAGCUGCCUCGAGCUGCCUUUCGUUGAGAGAAAGCAAAUACUUCAAAUACUCAUCCGGCAUGUUAGGCAAUCCAUGGUUAACAGAAUCUGUUUGGUUUUCACUACUCAAAGGCGGCGCUGAUGCGGCACUAACGACACUACCACAACUCCCAAUAUCAUCACGCUGAAUGUCCACACUCGUUUUCUGCUCGAUUAAAGCGUCAAUUUCCUGCAAAAUACUCUCAUCGAAAUCAUCAUCGUUAAGAAUUCCAGAUGCAGAGAAAGAAUCAAAUGAAGUCAGAAACUGCGGUUGUCUGAUUGGAGUUGUGAAAGAAUCCGAUUUUGACACGCUUGAUUCGGUCCGGCUAACGCUUAAGCUCCCGGAACACGAAGCACUGCCAUAUUCACCACGCGCUGAAUUGUACCGGCUUGCGGAAAUCGGAGGCGGUGUUCUUUGAACUCUAUUGAGCUGAGUUGGCGUUUGGAUUCCAUUUCCGCCACAGAUUCUGGAAUUUGAAAAACACAAUUGAAUUGAUUUAAAUUGAAGCAAGAAAACGGCCGAGUAGCAAAAAAAUAGUAAGAAGAUGAAACCUUUGAUUCCUGAACGACUUACUUGGUAUGAGGGAGGUGAUGAUCAGGUGAAACGGCGUCGUUGCGGGGGCGUUUGCGAUCAAUGAGGGCCUUGGCGGCUCUGCAAUUCCGAGAGAUGCGGUUUCUUUGUUCCGCCGUGAGCCCUCCGCCGUACGCCUGAACGUUUUCCUUGGACAUUGCUUCGAAGAUUCCAACGGAGGAUUUGGCCUGACGGCCUGACCAGGCUGAUAACAGUGUAAAACCUUAGGAGCUAAGGAAAAACUAAGAGAGAGAUCGUAGAGAGGGGAAAGUUUUUUGUUUUUUGGAAACUUAGAGAGGGAAAGUUUGUUAAACCUGCAUAAUAUUCUUUUCGUUCAACUUGUCUACAAUAAUUACCACUCUUGGUAUUUAUACAUUUGUAACACACCUCACUAACUAACUAAGACCACUACCAAUCAUACAUAAACACUUGUCAUAAUCCUAUGCACUCAUAGUAUCAUCACUCUAACAUCCCCCUCAAGCUCGUGUGGCAGAUUGCCAAGUAUGAAAUUGGAACAAUUACGAGUGAACUGGGGUGAACACAAGCCUUUGGUGAACAUGUCGGCAUAUUGAUCUGCAGAGGUAACAAACUGCAAAAUAAUUGUCCUUCGAUGAACUCUUUCACGAACAAAGUGGCAAUCAAUCUCUAUAUGUUUGGCUUUAGAGUGCAAUACAGGAUUAGUCGCAAGAGCCAUUGCUGAAAUGUUAUCACAAUUCAAAACUGGAACAGAAGGAUAACCAACAUGCAAAUCUCGAAUAAGUUGUUGUAUCCAGAUAACCUUAGCAGUGGUUGUAGCCAUUGCUCUAUAUUCAGCUUCAGUGGAAGACCUACUCACUGUAUGCUGCUUUUUAGAACUCCAAGAGAUAGGAGUAUCUCCCAAAAAAAUGACAAAACCCGUGGUUGAACGACGAUCAUUGGGAUCCCCUGCCCAAUCAGCAUCUGUAUAAGCUUUCAACUAAGAUGAACCUAAUUUAAAACACAAUCCCAAAGACAUAGUGCCUCUGAGAUAUCGCAGAAUACGUUUCACAGCAGCAAAUAAGUGGCUAAGGGUGAAUGCAUAAACUGACAUACUUGAUUGACAUAAAAAGAAAUAUCUAGUCUUGUAAAUGUUACGUAUUGCAGUGCCCCAACAAUACUUUUAUAAGUGGUAGGAUCAGAAACAGGUUCACUACCAUGAUUCAGAAGCUUCUAAUUAGGAUGACAAGGUGUGGGAAAAGGUUUAUAGUCCAGCAUAUGCAUAUUUUGAAGGAGUUCUUUGACAUACUUGGUCUGAUGAACAAAGAGUCCCUGAUCCUGAUACUCAAUCUGUAAACCAAGAAAAUAAUGCAACACACCUAGAUCUUUCAUGUCAAACUCACUAGUUAACUGACUAAUAACAUUAUGAACCUUCACAUCAUCAUUACUAGUGAGAAUGAUAUCAUCAACAUAUAAUAAGAGAACAAUAAUUGAUGAACAAUCACACUUGACAAAUAAUGAAGGAUCUGCAUAUGAGAUUGAGAGUUACAAGGAAAAGAUAUACAAGACUUAUUAAGUGUUGCAAUGACAAUGGAAUGUGCAGGAUCGCCUAAUCAACAAUGCCACAAUGUAGAAGAAAUCUUUUGACCCACAAAUGCAACUGGAUUAAAAACAGGAGAAAUAGACCUCUGUGGUUUGAUAUGGGAAGUGGAUAGACAACAUUAUUACUCAGCCCUUGGAAUAGCACUCUCCCGAUGACCUUGUCCUAUAGACAGAGAGAAACAUCAUCAAUGAUACAACGACACUAAUUAUCUUUGCACAACUAAUUCAUAGAUAAUAAGUGUUGUGAUAGUUUUGGAACAUGUAACAAAGAGUUUAACUUGAAAUUAUGUGACUUAGUGAGAAGAGAAGAGGAACCAAUAUGUUUGAUAGCUAAACCUUCACCACUAGCAGUGGUCACAGUAUCAUUUGAUGGAUAAAUUUGUUGCCAUGUGCAAGUUUGACAAAUCUGAGGUCAUAUGGUUAGUUGCUCCCAAGUCAAGAAACCAGAAAUCUUGUUGAAGAGUUGAGGAUGAUGCACCAGCUCGUGCUUGCACAGCAAGAGGAGGAUUUUGUGAGGAUAUAAUUGAGAGAUACAUAUGUGGUAUGACAGGAUACUGAAACUCGAAGCUAUUAGACUGUGGAAUCAUGCCUUGUGAAAGACCACAUGGAUUCUAGCUAGGUGCUUCACCAUAUGACCCAGUAGGCAUUGGAGUUGGCAUAGACGAGGAUAAACCCUGAGAGAAAUGCUAUGAUGUGUCUGUGAAAUUCUUAUUCCGAUCAAAGCAAGUAGCAGCAACACGGCAGCCUCUGUGACAAAUUUGACAUCCAUGUUGAAAACAAUUCAAUGCAGAAUGACCUUUGCGAUCACAUAUUUGCAUAAUGGCCUCUGUGAUCACAUAUUUGCAGAAUGGCCUUUGCAACCCUAGAAAGAACAAGGCGCGAAGAAGACCAAAUGUGUACGUUUCUCUUUGUUUUUUUUUCCCUCCUAAUCGUGCUGUUCGAAAUCACGGACCUCGGGCUUGGGCCUAAUGGGCCCAAUUAUGAGGCCUAUUAUCUCCGGUCUUCUCGUUCUACUUCUAGUUACCCAAAUUAAGAACGUGCUGGUUCGCUUUUAGCGCGAGAGAGAAAUGGAGGCCCUGAUUGCCUCGUACGGAAACUCGUCGUCGGGCUCAGACUCCGAGACGCCGGCUCCACCUCCACCACCACCUCCGGAGCUCAACAACCCUCAAGAACCGACCCCUGCGCUGCCUCCACCUCCUCUGUCACUUCUCGACAGCCCCAAUUCCUUCGGUAACCUCUGAUUCCCAUCAAUUUUCAUCUUUUAGCUUUCUGUUGUGAUGGCUUUUUCCGAGUUGCCCACCAAGUGUUUGAUAUUUUGCCUCUGAAGGAUUUCUGGACUUCUCGGCAAGCGUCCAGCCGAGCAGAGUUCGGAACUUUCCUCACGUCGAAGGGAACUACGCAGUACAUGUAUACAUCCCAGGUUAUCAAAAUUCUCGAAAUUUUCAGCUCCAUUAGCAAAUGCGAUCGCUUUGCACUUAGUUUUUGCUUGUUUAAUUGUGUGGUUCCAGUUUAUAUACCACCAGCACCAAGGAAAGAGAUGGCCUUGUUUUUGAACAAGCUAGCUUCUCUGGUGCCUUGUCUCCAUGCGGUUGACGUUGACUUCCCGCUUGACAUUCUGCGUAAGGACGAGCACAAGCUUGAACAAGUUGCUUUAGGCAGAGAGUUCCAUAUAAGUCUCGGAAGAACUGUUCCGAUUCGGGUGCACCAGAUUGAUUCCUUGGUGACAAUGCUGCGGCAGAAGCUUCAGAUUCAGAGGCGGUAUGGUUACAUUUACAUUCUCUUGUCUGCAUUGCGUGAAUUUAGUUCUGUUAUUUAACAUAAUUCUGUAAGCCUGCAAUUUUUUCGUCCAUUUUCGGUUUAACACAUUUUGUUAUUGUGCAACAGGUAUUGGAUUGAUUUUAGCAAGUGGGAGGUUUUUGUUAAUGAUGAUCAGACCCGGACCUUUGUGUCUAUCGAAAUCAUUGCUGCUGGGUUAGCUGAGGUAUGAUUGCUAGCUUUCUCUCUUGGUGCAAUUCUAAAUGUUUUCAGUUGUUAUAUGGGCUUAAGAUUUAGUAAGGACUUGCCGAAAGUCAUGGGAUUUUGAAAUAUCGAUAUCUUGCUUGCUUAUUAGCUUAGAUUUGGUCUUCGAUGCACUUGUAACAUGAAAAACACAAACGAAAACUAAUGCAUGAUAUGCUCAUGGUUUUAACAUGUGUUGUCCUGGCGUAAAUCAUGUUCCUAAUCCUGUCAUGUGAGUAUAAGCCUAUGAAACUCAGGGCAUGUUUGGCGGGCCGGACAAGAUUGGAAUUGGUAUUUCAGACUAGUUAGGUUAGGAUUGAACUGGAUAGGAUAGGUUUUUUUGUCUAAAGAUUGGUGUAGACUGUCUUAACCAGACUAGGAACGAUGGGAUUUAAAACGUGAAACAGAUCCGCGACAUCCCAACGAUGACCCGCCCACCCAACAACUCUGCUCGUGACUUGCAACACCUCUCGUACCCUCCACGCCCCUUGAGGCCCGUCAGACCACUCUGAUAUCCUGGAGGGGUGAAACGUGGUUACUAGAAGCAUACCUGUUUUCGUAUUAAUGCACAGUUGAAGCAGCUUUCAUUGUCUACAAGUCUGAAAUAUUUCAACUUCCAUUGAUUUCAGAUAACAAAGCAGAUUCAAGCUGUGAAUGAGGUGUAUAAGCUUCACAAUCUUCCUGAAUUUUACAAGGUUAGCUUUUUCGUGCUUUUCAAACUCGAAAUUACUUACUGAAUAUAUGACAAUAUAUUGGAGCAAAUGAUUGUGCCUGAAUGCUACUCAUUGCUCAAAAAACUAAAUCACUUCAUGGGGUGUUGGUGAUCACAGGAUCCGCGCCCUCACAUCUCGGUAGCUUGGGCAUUGGGUGACAUCGGCAAUUCCCUGAAGAAAGUGGUUGAAGAAGAAAGACGAAGAUCUACCAUCGGAGGAUCGUUACAGAAAUGUAUUUUUACCAGUAAAUUCAAUGGUAUUGAAUGUAGGAUUGGUAAUAAAACACACAAAAUAUGUAAAUUUUCUGAACAAUAAUGUAGCCAUUUAACUAUAUUGUGAAAUUCCGAGAAUAUAUCGCUGAGCAUUGGAUGAGAAGACAUUUCUUCGUUGGUGUCGAACUUCAUGCCGAAGGUAUAGACACCGUGUAAACGCCAUCAUCCAUGCAGUCUCCUGUGCAUUAUUUAGUAUUGUCUCAGUUUCUCCAAACUUGAAUGCUCCUAUAAACCCACUCUUGACCUUUCCGUCAUCUGCGAUUACCGGAAAGCUGGCAAGGAUGUUGCCGUUAACCUACCUAACCGGCUAGGAUGUUGCCGUCAUCUCCAAACUUUAAAUACCGGAAAGCCGGCUCCAAACUUCAAUGUGCUACUAGUUUUUGUAUGCGAGAGCUCCACCUCCAUUGUUGUAACAGCAUCUGAUGCGGACUAGUCCUUCAUUCCCGUUACUCUUUGCUAUCUCCACUUCGAACUUGGCGUAAUGGCUCCCGGCCUCCUCUCCGGUGAAAUUGAGAAACCCCGGAGCUGGCGUUUUCAUUCUGUUGUCCGUAUAUCUUGUAUUACAAGUAUUUGUUGUGCAAAAUGCAAGCUAAGUUCAAUUUAUGUUUAUGUGUGUGUGUGUGUUGCCACUUUGUCACUUUUCCAACGUUUUCUCCAAAAUUGUGAUUUUGGUGAAUCCUAAUAACAAUUCCCUCGUUAAUCAUUGGGACGAGCACCAAGGCAGUUUUGAUUCCGUGCACAACGGCGAUACCUCGAAAGAAAUUGAUUCUAACCCAGAAAGAUGUUUUAAAUCAAAGUUGAACAAGGGAAGAAAACUUUUGAAUCGCAAUCACAUGUCUGGUCAAAUUCUUGAACAGUUGAUGUAUACAGACGUUCCUUGCUUAUGACACGACUUAUGAGAGGAUGUAUGUAUUGCAUUUGCAUCAAAAAAGAGAGAGAAGGUUGUAAGUGGUAAGGGAACGACUACCGAUGCCGCUCCACUUCUAAUCAAAGGGAUCGAUCCGAGGGUCGUGUUCACUUGCCAUCGCCAUUCCAGUGCAAAGGCAUGUCGGGCACAUUACCUGCCACAUUUACAGACGCAAUGUUAGAUAUAGCUGCCAUUUGGAAGUCACUUCUCAAAAUUUUGCUACUAAAUUAAUCUUAGACUUCAUUUCCAGUGCAAUUUUUUGCUACUAAAUUAAGCUUGUGAAUAUAGUACAUCUAAGCGGCAGGCACUAAAAGGAAUUUAGUAUGCAAUAAACAUUCAACGGACUAACCUUUCCCGCUCCUGAGCAAUUUGAACAUCGUUCAGUUUUUGGCAGAGAUAGGGGUUGGUUUCCGCCAUCAGCUGUCGAUACUGGUUCAGUAAGAACAAGGGUUCCAGUGCUGGAGCAACGAGCACAAGCAAGAUAUCCUGCGUAAGUAUCAAAUACACAGGUAAGUUGACAUAUGAAACCAAUCUGUGUAAACUACACUGUAAUAGCAGAAGAAUAUGCAGUACGAGAGAAAGAGAGAGAGAGAGAUUUAGAGAGAGAAGUUAAUACUUCAUAUGUAAUAUUUUCUAUAUCAUCAAUCUUACAAUAUUAAGACUAUAUACUAUAUGAAACUGCUAACUAACUCUAACAACCUCUCUAACAACCUUUCUAAUCUUUUGACAAGUGUCUUCAUAUUCUACCAUUGGAUUACUAUCCUUAACAUCCCCCCUCAAGCUCAGGAGAGGUAGAAUCCAAACUGAGAUUGCGACAAUGAAUCUGAAAGAGAGGAGCAGAUAAUCCCUUGGUCAGUAUGUCUGCAUAUUGCUCACUGGAAGACACAAACUGAACAAGCAACUGCUUCUUUGCAACUCGUUCGCGAACAAAAUGAAUAUCAACCUCAAUGUGCUUUGUGCGUUGAUGUAGAACUGGAUUGGAUUAAGCAAUUACUGACCUUUGUGCAUCUUACUAUUCCUACUUCACCAGUUUUGUAUUGUGAUAAUAUGUCAGCAAUCGCAUUAACAACCUCUCUAACAACCUUUCUAAUCUUUUGACAAGUGUCUUCAUAUUCUACCAUUGGAUUACUAUCCUUAACAAUCUGAACAUCUCCAUCGUAUAUAUUUAAAGCUACAGUACAUAAAACGAAAAGUCAGAAAUAGAGGACAUUAUCACACCAGUUCCAAGACAAUAUUUGCAUCGUUUAUGCUCCUGCUGUUUCACAUUGUUUAUUUCAACUACCAUCAAUGCUGAGAUCACUCCGACUGCUCCUCCAGAGAAUGACGCCACUAUGGGAUCAACUUGACUGCAGUUUGAAAGUAAAGGAGAUCAAUAAACAAAACUGUUAACAACAUAGUAUCAACAUUAUUUAGCUUCGUUUCAAGAAAUAUGACAUCCUAGGUUUUUCUAAUGUGUAAAAAUUGAGGAUCCUUGACUAUAUCGGUUCCCAAAGCAUUUGAUUCCUACGUUACAGACGGAAAACAGUAACAAUCGAAUUUAAAGAUUCAUAACACGAUAGAUGGUAGGUCUCGGGUUCGAGACUUGGGAGCAGCCUCUCCAUAAAUGGGGGUAAGGCUAGCCGACAUUCACCUCUCCCAGACCCUGCGUAAAGCGGGAGCCUUGUGCACUGGGUACGACCUUUUAUAACACGAUAGAUGGUACAAAUUUUCAAAACGAUAAUUACUAGAGAACAGGAGGGUUAAUAGCCUGAGAUAUGAGCAAUACCUCAACUGCAACGGCAGAUGCAUAUUUACUAUAAAGUCUUUAUAUGAUGUGCCUCCUAUUCCCAGCUUCAACUCCAACUGAAAGAUGUAAAGGUAAUUGUAGGCAAAGAGUUACAAACAUAACCGAAUCCAUGUUUUAUAAGCAACAACUACACUUAUUUUGUUAUGUUUCCUCAUUUUUUACUUGCAAAUUCCGAACCAUAUUGUCGGACCAGUAAAAAGAAAAUAAUGUUUAUGAUAACUGUUAAAACUAAUCACAACAAGUUAAUGCAUAAAGAACUUACGGAGGGUGCUAUGAGGCCACCGAAAAGGAUAAACCCCGCAAUAAUUGAAUAACAAACAGCAUAAUAUUGCUUAAGGUUGUCUGAACUCUGCAAGCAAUGAAUUCACCUUGUGAUUAAUACUUUGCACAAACACUAGUUUUCGCAAUUUUUUAUGAAUCGACAAAAGGCUACAACAAAAUAUGGCUAAAACAUGUGAAAAUACAUGUCUUCACAGGGGCACCAGCUUACCAGGGGAGGCAAAAAUGGAAUGAACGAUGGAAAACUAGGAAGUUCGUUUUCUUGAUCUUCAUUUACCGCUCCAAGCUCUGCACGUUUAAUCCGCUGUUGUAUCCUCAGCCCGCGAACCUACGCAUAUCGAAGCUCAUUCUUAAAGAACACAUUUCUAAUGGCAAUUGGAGAGUAAUUUAAAACAUGCUAAACUGAGAAAGUGGUAGCAACAAGCAAUUGCUCUCACUUCCUCCAUAUGCAAGAAAAUUUUGUUGCGACGACUCCGAAUAUUAUCUUGAAUUUCCUGCAGCUCCAUUGUCGCAAAGUCCUGCACUGUUUCAGGCCCCUCUAUGAUACAAAAUCUGCACAAUUAAGCAUGUAAAAACUAAAAAUUACAGGCUAUAAAACAAUUUCCGUAUCAUUUUUGGGAGCUCUCUCUCUCUCUCAAACCAGAAGGCAGAGCUUUCUGUUUCUCUUGAGGUUUCUUUCACUGGUAAAUUCCAGAGAAGCAGAGAAGAAGGCUCUCUGAGAAAUGGCGAUGGUGCAAGUGGAGACAAAACAAAUGUAUAUCUUGAAGCACCGAAAUUGUGCAGAACACUUGUCAACUACCGAACUCUAGGAUUAGGAGAGAGAGAGAGAGAGAGAGUGAGUGACCGGCAAAAAAAAAAAUGAGGGAAGAAUCACCCACAUUUAAAAAUGAUUUUUAGGGGACCUGGUGUCGUUGGAUUCGAGUAGUUGUUCGGUAUGUCACAUUUAAAAUUUUAUUAUCUGAUGAUAAACGUCGAAACAUAAAGAUAGGUCAUCUCUAACCGAAUGAGGACUAAAAAGUCAUGUUUAGUACUAUAAUCCUGCAAUGAAUUAUAUUUUAAUAAAUAAUAUCAGGUUAUAUUUUAUACCAUAUCUAACCGAGUGGGUCAAAUGAUCAUAUGCCAAACAUAGCCUUUUGACAAAAAACUCAUCUCCAACCGAGGGGGCUAAAUGGUCAUAGACCAAACAUAAUUGCUCAAUAAUUUAUUAUUCUAAUUGAAUUAAUAUGAUUAAUUAAAUUAAAUUACCAUAUUAAAAUAAGAUUUCAUGAUAUAUUUUGAGUGCCACUUGCCACAAUACCGAAGAAAGCAUGGUAUUAUUGCACCUGCCACAAAGUCAAGCUUGACAUUCUGCUGCUGGAGGGCUGGCUGGCUAGCUGAAAAUGGCCAGCCUGCUGGCCUGAUUUGGGAGGUUUUGGCCCAAUGGGGCCCCAAGCCCUUUGGCCUAGCCUUCGGUUGGAAACGGUUUUCGUGUUAUUCUGAGUUAUUUUUAACCCUAUGAUCCUUUGGCCGGAUCGAUUGGAGAUGACCUUAGGUGUGUUGAUUGUCUUUGAGACAUCGGAGGUUCUGUGUGAUUGAAUACUUCACCCUCCUCCAAAGGCGCCACUCUUGAGAAGGUUACUUGCCUCAUGCAAACAUUGUGAAUUGCAAGUGAUGAAUUGUUCUGAUGAUGAGGUUUAUUUUUUAACUCAUUAUGUUUCAAGUUUAAACAUUUUUCCCUCUCUUAGUGUAAAAUAUUGUUUGUGAUAAAAAAACUUAAAAUGAGACACUCUCCUUCAUAUAUAAGAUGAUCAAGUGUGAGAUUAAUACUUUUAAUGAGUGACUCAAUUAACCAUUUUCAUUUCUUACGCGUUCAAAAUUAGACAAAUUCUUUGCAUACAUUUAAAAAAAAAAGAUAUUAAGGAGAGUAUAAAAUUAUUACAUUACGAAGAGAGAGUUUCGAACUCGGGACGUAUGAGUAGAACCCUAACGCCUCUCCACUAGGAUAUUAGACCAAUACUGGUCUUGAAUUUUUUUGGUGCCCGGAGCGAAUGCUCAAAACGUGUCUUUUUCCAGUACAACAUAAAUUAAAAAGAAAUAUUUAUAGAGGGCUAGAACCCAAUCGAAGCUGGGGGACUAGGCCCUUACGCCUAUAUUAUAUUACUUACCUAAUACAAACAUUUCUGAUAGAUUUCAGAGGCUCUAAAUGGUCAAACACUUCGUCCUUCCCAAAACCGUUACUGUUGAGAGGGUUCCUUACCUAAUACAAACAUUUUACGUUUACUUAGAACUAGAAAAAUAAGAAUUGCAGGUGAUGAAUUGCUCUAAUGAUGAUGUUUAUUUUUUAACUUAUUGUGUUUUAAGUUUAAAUAAUUCUGUUUCUUUGAUAUAUAUAUUAGUGUAAAAUCAUUCGUAAUAAUAAAAAAAAAGAAUAAAAAUGAUACUCUCAUUUAUAUACAAGUUGAUCAAGUGUGAGAUUAAUAAUUUUAAUGAGUGAAUUAACUAUUUUCAUUUCUUACGAGUUCAAAAUUACACAAAUUCUUUGCAUACAUUUUUUUUUUAAAUAGAAAAUUUCUAUUAUUAAGGAGAGAGUCCUAAACUAUUAGGUUAUGGAAUGUGAGUAGAAACCUAACGCCUAUCCACUAGGAUAUUAGACCACCAGAGCUGAUCCUGAGAUUUUUGGUGCCUGCGUCAAAAUAUGUCCUUUUCCAGUACAACAAUAUAAAUUAAAAAGAAAUAUUUAAAGAGGGCUGGAACCCAGUCGAAGCUGGGAGGCUAGGCCCUCACGCCCAUAUUCUAUUACUUGAAGAAACAAUAUACAACGGGGGGAAUCAUAGUACCGAAACCCCAACAAUAAAAAACAAAGUCACAUGCAACCACUCCAAGCAGUCAACUUGGCCAUUACAUAUUGAAUCCAAAAGGUUGACGGCCUAUUCUCUGCAUACAAUGCACAGAAGAUAACAAGAUUACUAAUAUAAAAAGAACAUCUGAAAAGAUGAACAUAUGCAUCAACAAAUAAGCAGGGGCGGAUCCACAGUGGGGUCGUCGGGGUCAAACGACCCCUUGGAAACCAUGGAAACAACCUUGAAGCUCCCAUAUGCGACCUCUUGGAGCUGGGGUUGUCGGGGUUGUCAGGAAGAGGAAGAAGAAGACUCGGCAGGAAGAGGAAGAAGAAGCAGCUCGCGCGACGUGUAGGUUCUGUGUAGAGUUUCUGACCUUUAAUUCCCACUUCACAAAGACGAGAGAAAGAGAGAGAGGGAAGGAAAGUCCUCGGGGUGGUGGUGAUGUAGACCUUCGUCGGGGUAGUGGUGUGGGUGUGCGUGGGUGUGGAUUCGAUCGGAGAGAGUGAGAGGGUUAAAGAGUGAAAAAGAGAGAGAGAGAGAGAGAGAGAGAGAGAGAGAGAGAGAGAGAGAGAGAGAGAGAGAGAGAGAGAGAGAGAGAGAGAGGAGAGUUCGGGGAGAUGAGAAGGAGGACAAUGGGGACUUGCCCCGUGGCAAGUUGUGAUAGGUAGGAAAUCCCAAAAAGGGAUCCGGAUAGGGUAAGUAAGUGGGGACCAAAUUGUAAACUUCAUUUAACUGUAGGGAAAUUGUGAAAUUACAAGGAAAUCUUUGGGGAGGGGUUUUACAGAAACCCUUCUCAACACUUAAAAGCAAACUGCGUGCUUUUAAUCAGGUUUGGCUCUAUAAUUGAACUUGUAACCAUGCCUUUCCCUAUGACGGAAUUGUGAUAUGCUUUGCCAGAUAUUCACAAGGAAUUCAUUUUUCUUUUUCCAAUUGCAAAAUAUUAGUGAACAAGUUGUUUCUUCUAUGAGAGAUCCAAGCAUAAUGGUUGGGUAGAUGCAGAUGAGAAAAUCAGCAGUUGCUGUAUUUGGCACAGUAAGAUAUUAACUCUUACAUCUAAAUUGAAAAACAUGAAAAUUUCCUAGUUCUCAAGGUCUCACGUGCAUGCUCAGAUACAUUUGUGCUUCAUAUUUGUGUGUUUGAUUCCGAGAAGGCUGACAAGUUGAAGCAAUCUCUUCCUCCAUGUUUGAACAUUCAGGACCUUUGAACAAGGAUUUUGGAGUAGCUGGUUGCGCUAUCCUACCAAGACCCGAUGAAAUGACGAUAUGCAUGCCGUUUCUGUUAAAAAAAAAUAUCCUUAUUGACCCCCCAAACAUUAUUUCCUGGAUCCGCCACUGCAAAUAAGUAAACCAUUCUAAGUGCAAUUUUAGAAGUGAUACGCUCCAAGUGUGAUAUUGGACAGAAGAGCGGCAGCUUCAACCAGUUCUGCUAUAUCCGGCUGGAUGAGAGCUGCUAAAGACAUGAUUGUUCCCUAAUAACAUGAAUAAAUUGAGUAAACACCAAAAGUAGCGCAGCAAGGGAAGGAGAUUUGAAGUAGAUGAAGAGGUGUAAUACCCGUAUAUGCAGCGCAUCAUUUCUGAUAGAUCAAAUCGAGCCAAUUCCUGCCAACUCCAAUGCCGAUAAUCCUACAGUAAAGCAUAAAUCUUAUUCUCUUCUGAUAAAGAUGUGUGUCCCUGACUCCAACGUGUUUGACGCACAUUCCCUACCCAUACAUUGAAACCUUCAUCUGCAAGGACGAAUCCCAGUUAUUCUUCUGGAGAAUUUAAGAACCAUGAAUCACCUGGUCAAGAAAAGCCAGUAACCAAUUACAAUUGAGUUUGAAGCACAUAAGAGCCUAAUUUAAAAUGUAUCCCAUGGAUGUUCAUCAAUUUACACAAUAGUUAGUUUCAAGAAAGGAAAUUUCAACAGAACCUGAAAACUUCAGAUCAGGGGGCACCAAAUAGUGAGCUAUACAUUCAAAAUUUGAAAUAAUCAACUUAGUGGGACCAAUAUGUUGAAAAAAUUGGAAGGAGCUAUGAAAGUAAGGCUUUUCACUAAUCAGACGUCCAGAGAAUCAAUAUUUUACUCACGGAUCAGUUACGGGGAACACUCCCCACCAAAGCAAACUCUUUCGUCUGAAUCUGGAAAACAAGCAGCAGUGGAUUUUAACAGUCUGGGUAUCUCAAAGUUACUUUAAUCACAAAUUUAACAAUUAAACAUAUAAAUGGGCAUUAUUUAGUGAAAUAUUAGUAUAGUACUCACUGUGUGCUCGGAACAAGAGUACCCAGAAAGCUCAAUGAGCUGCGCACAGAGGACUACAGCGGUGAACGACAGCGACCGAUUCUGUAAAAUUCAGUCGAGUUUUGGGUGAUUUCGGAGGUCAAGAGGCUGAUAAGGAAAGCUGCGACCGAAGGGCACUGGUCUGGAAGAAAAGGCUCAGGUCACUGCUGUCCCAAUUCGCGAAGGAAGUGCCCCCAAAACAAUUUCGGCCCUGGACAGGUGCACUGUUUGCACUGGACCAGGGCCGGCCGGCCCAGGCGAUAACGUCCCCCAAACAGUACAUAUACAGAUGCUAGAAAUAUAUUAAUGUAACCUGAAACUACUAGAACCAUUCAAUUCUAGCGUCUACAGCUUUAGCAUUAGUUGGUACAUGGGACAUUCUUCCAAAGAGGGAGAUGAGCUCGUUGAGGCUCUUAUUUAUUCCCCCUCUUGAUGUGCCCUUCUAGGCUGCUAAUUCCAGACGAUCCAAUCUCAUACAUCUUCCCUGCAAAAGCAUGUGUGCCAGACUUCAAGAUCAAAUUUUUCCAACAAAAGAAACUUAAAGAUCAAACUCGCCAGCGGAAUAAAUGAUGCACAAGGGUGUUAAAAUCUUGACAUAUGUAUAUUUUUGGCAGAUUUUAUGUGAGCAUGCUACUAAAACUGGCAUCACUAAAGAUUGGUGGAAAACUUUAACAGUUUGAGUUGUAACUUCUCCAUUGUAUUUGUUAAGGCAAGAUGGAUGACAUCUAUGCAAUUUUCAGUAGAACUUAAAAGGCUGCAUAGCAGCUCUUGUUCGUUGUAUUGAAUACCGUGGUUUUACUGAUGAAUGCAGAGUUUGUUGAUGAUUCAUACGACAAGCAAUUGAAAAUCCCAUCAUUAUGCCCCACAUAUACCAAAAAAAAAAAGUCAUUUACACAAAUUCAGAGCGUUCAUCCACUGUAAUUUGCAGAUAUAGAAACGUUAAGAUAAAAGGAAAUGCAAAGUACCUUUCACCCAAAUUGGAGGAGCACCGGUGGCAUUAGCAAGUUAGCAACGGGAAUUGACAUACCAAUAUCUUCACAGUUUCUGCACAAGCACAAAUCAAAAGAACCCGGCGGUGGAGUUAUGUACCUCUCCUUGGAAAAUGCCACCUCUUGGGAUUUCAAAAUAUGCAGCCAUGGCUAGCCGUCUGACCACGCCAAUUCCACCAAAGCCACCGCAACGCGGCGUAGUGUCCGAUUGAUUGCUUCAAAACAGAGCUUCGUAUCCAUGUGUUUAUCAGCAGAGAGUACCCAAAACCACUGAAAAUUAUUUCUUUAUUCAGAUAAUAAAAUUUCCCAAAUUUGGAAAUUUAAUUCCGAAUCAAAAGUAGGGUUUGAAUUUUGAUUACCUAGAAAUUGGGGGGUUGGGGUGGAGAGGGACCCGUGCCACGACGGAUCUCUGUGUCUGUUUUAACUCAUGCCAAAUUAUAGAGAGUGUCAGGAAGACUUAAAUACUGAAGCCCCGUAAGCCGUUCAAUCCAGGGGGGAAGCUCUUUGAUAGAUGUUUUAUCCAAGAUAAGAUAUCUUAAUCCUUCCAUAUUUUCUUCAAUGCUUGGAAACACCUCAAAUUUUGUACAACCGGAAACAGAGAGACGGACAAGGGACUUGAGCUGACAAAUGCUGCUUGGAAGGCUCUUUAGUUCCUCGCAGUCGUUUAGCUUCAAAUAAGUCAAUCCCGUGAGAUUAUUAAUCGACCAUGGUAGUUCUUUAAUUUUUGAUCCGGAUAAAUUAAGAAAUUCUAACCCUUCAAUCACUUCUGUAAUCUCUGGAAACAUCUCAAGGCUCGAGCAACCAUAAAGAUCAAAGCUUUUGAGUGAUUUCAUACGAAUGCUGCUGGGAAGACUCUUAAGUUUCUUGCAGUAUAGUAGAUUCAAAUGACUCAACCCCGUAAGAUUAUUAAUUGAUGGGGGCAGUUCUUUAAUUUUUGAGCAGCGUAAAUCAAGCUUUUCUAACCCCUCAAUACCUUUUGACAUCGAUGGAAACAUCUCAAGACUGGAGCAGCCAUGAAGGUUCAAGGUUUUGAGACAUUUCAUACGAAUGCAGCCUGGAAGACUCUUAAGUUCCUUGCAAUCUUUUAGGUUGAAAUGACACAACCCCGUGAGAUUAUUAAUUGACAUGGGCAGUUCUUUAAUUUUUGACUCGGAUAAAUUAAGCUCUUCUAACUCCUCCAUACAUUUUGAAAUCUCUGGAAACAUCACAAGAUUGGAGCAGCCAUAAAGAUUAAAGGUUUUGAGAGAUCUCAUACGAAUUUUGCUGGGUAGACUCUCAAGUUCCUUGGAAAAUUCUAAGUUUAAAUGACUCAAUCCCGUGAGAUUAUUAAUUGACUCGGGCAGUACUUUAAUUUUUGACGCGGUUAAAUUAAGCUCUUCUAACUCCUCCAUACCUUCUGAAAUCUCUGGAAACAUCUCAAGAUUGGUGCAACCUCUUAGAUUAAAGGUUUUGAGAGAUUGCAUGCCAAUGUUGUUGGGUAGAAUCUUAAGUUCAUUGCACCAAUUCAGAUCUAAUAAAACAAGCUUUGUAAGAGUCAAAAUCGACCCGUGAACCUCAACUAAGCGUGUACAACUUUGAACAAUUAGCCUCUCAAGAUUUGGCACAUUUGUGAAGUCAGGGGUUAUCUCAAGGUUUUGACAAUGACUUAAAUUGAUGAAUUUCAACUUUUCCUGCGUCUGUUAAAACAUUCAGGAAAACAUGCAUUACUUAAUAAGACAUCUUACUCAAAGCCCAAACAUUUAAAAGAAACAAAUACAAGUAAAUGAUUGUACAUACCUGGGUUCCUUCCCAAAGUCGGUUAAUGAGACUACAUCGCAUGUCAAGUUCAACAAGAUUUUUGAAUUGAAAGUUGGAUGGCAAAGACUUGAGAGGGAAUUGAAACCAGGAGAGAUACCUCAAGUUAGGUAACUUAAAACGGAGCCCACUCAGGUGGUGUUUCCAGUAAUCACGUUUAAAAACGGAGCCCUCACUACUGAUCUUGAGAAGUCUUAGUUGAGUCAUACUAGCAAAAGCUUUAGCAUUUAAGCAUACCCGGUCUGAGUACGAGAAAUCCACGAUUAUGCUUUCAACUGUUUUCGUAGCCUGUGCAAAUCAAAGUAUUAGAAAAUACAAAGAACCUUAGUUUAGAUUAUGAAAUUAAUGCUUGUUUCUUAGGGAGCUGUUUGAUAAUCAUUUCGUUUUUAGUUUAAUUUUUUUUUCAAUUUUCAAUUAUUCAAACAAUGAAAACUAAAAAUUAAAAAUUGAAAACAAAAAUGGUUAUCAAAUGGCCUAAGAAAUUGAUUUUGGUCAAAAGUUGAAGCUUUCUACUAACAAUUGCAUAAGAAAAAGACUUCUCACCGUAUUUUGAGUUAGCAUUUGAUUAACAUCUUCAUAACUCCACAACCUACUUCGUUUCCCAGGCUCUUUGAUAGAUUCUUGACGGACGAUUUCCCGACCCAUUUCCUCUAAUGAAUCAUGCUUCUCCAGUUCCCCCUCCCCUGAGACAGUUAUGAGAGCAUGAUCGAUUAGAACUCUUAUUCCUAUAUGAGGAUGGAAACCACAAUCGUCCAUAAUUCGGGUUGCACAGUCUUUCUUCAUCCCUUUAAAGAAACAUGCAAUAUCUAGAAAGAUGUCUUUCACUGUGUCAUCUAGUCCAUCGAAGCUUGAUUUAAGCACAUCAUGAAUUCCCCUUUGCGGGAUUUUCCUUAUUUUUUCUAACUCAUCUUCCCACUCACGGAUAGUUUUUUUAAGAAGAAAAGCUCCCAAAACUUUGAGUGCUAAGGGCAGACCUUGAGCAUAUUUUACGACACGCUUAGAGAGAUCAUCAUAAUCUCUGGUGGGUUGGUUUUUUCGGAAGGCGUGCUGCCUAAAGAGUUUCAGAGCUCCAGAAUCACUCAAAGUCUUGGGAUUAUAUAUCACAUCAACUAUGCUUAGUAACUGUGAAUCUCUACUUGUUAUAAUAAUCCUACUUCCACCACCAAAGGAAUGUGGCUCUCCAAGUAAAGCAUCAAUUUGUUCUGAUUUGUCCACAUCAUCAACAACAAUAAGAACUUCUCUGACCAAGGCUUUUUAACAUCACCUGAAAACCUUUGUUCGAUAUGUCAGAGCUCCCCACCUUGUUGUCCGAGAUACUAGAUAGAAGUUGUGUCUGCAUAUGUAGUUCGCCGUGCUUCAUGAAACCCUCCUUGACAUUUUUAAGAAAGCAACAAGUUUCAAAUCGACUAGCGAUUUCAUCAUAAACAGCUCUAGCGAUGGUUGUUUUGCCUAAACCACCCAUACCCCAUAUUCCAACAACGCGAACAUUAUUCGUUUCAACUCCAGGAGGAUGUAAUAAUAAAUGCAUUUCAUGCAUAUGAGAAUCCAUGUCAACCAAGCCAUUCUCUUUCCUUGAUGAUGAUGAGAUGUCAAUCAAUUUCCGAUAAACAUAUUCUACAAUUUCCUCUACGAGCACCGCAUCACUCCUGUCAAAUUAAAAAAAAAAAAUAUAAUAACAACAAAAAAUAAUAAUUAAUAGGUCUUUUUCAUCUGUUAGUUUUAAAAAAACUAGAAAUUAAAACCAAAAUCUUGUUGUGGUCUAUUUUAUCUGACAGAGGGACUAGGGCCGGCGGCAGAGAGAGAGAGGAGAGAGAGGUGUGUUUGUAGAAUUGUAGGGGAAUGUGUGUGUUGUUAUCCCUCCUACAUUGUGCCUUUAUUUAUAGUAGUAAAGGGAGAGAAGAUAUUCCUUCUUCUCCAAGUAAUACAAGUUGUAAUAGGAAAGGAUAACUAGAAUCAAAUCUUAUCUAGGAUUUACACAAUCAUACUUAAACUAGGAAUGUUUACAACACUCCCCCUUGAGUGGGUAAAUACUCAAGGUAGAUUCAGCAUCAUGCAGAAGUUGAGGAAGUCGACUCGUCGGCAUUGAUUCCAAGGAACAACGCUUAUUCUCAAUAAGGUAGGAACUUGCAUAAGUAGUAAGUCUCACUAAAAAACCCUAAGGCUAUGGCAAAAACCCAAGUAGGGACAAAAUCCAUAGUCUAAGGAAAAAUGCGUGAGGAAUGCAAAGUCAAAAGAAACGUCUACAGGACAUCAUCAGGGAUAUGACCAGCCCAAGGUGGGUGCCUCGUUAAAACCUAGUUAGGUAGCAAAAACCCAGUGGGAAAAAUGCUCCUAAUCGUAGGGAAAAAGAGUACAUUAAGAUCAAGCAAGUAUCCAGAAGAAACUCCCCCUGAGUUUGACAUAAUUCCAAAGAGAAAUAGCAAAGUUACAACUCAGAAAGUUUUUACGCAUACCAAUUCCAUGAACAAGCUUCUAAAAACGUCGCCUUCGGUAGUGAUUUGGUGAAGAGGUCGGCCAGAUUGUCUUGUGAUCGGAUUUGCGUGACUUCAAUCUUCUGAUGCUCUUGUUGUUGAUGUGUAAAGAAGAACUUCGGCGCAAUAUGCUUGGUGUUGUCUCCUUUGAUGUAACCCUUCUUGAGCUGUUCGAUGCAAGCUGCGUUGUCUUCAAAAAUCGUCGUCGGGGCAUUAACGGCGGGAUGAAGAUCACAGGAGCUUCGAAUAUGGCCCACUACUGCUCUCAACCAAAAGCAUUCCCGAGUUGCUUCAUGUAAGGCGAGAAUUUCAGCAUGGUUAGACGAAGUGGCAACUAAGGUCUGUUUAGUUGACCUCCAAGAUAUUGCGGUGCCUCCAACGGUAAAGACAUAACCCGUUUGAAGAACGCGCCUUGUGCGGAUCAGAUAAGUAUCCAGUGUCGGCAUAACCAACAAGGCGAGAAUCAACCCGAUGAGCAUAGGGUGCGGCAUCACUCGAGGAUUCGUAGGGAUAAGAUAAAGCCCAAAUCCGUAGUACCCUUAAGGUAACGGAAGAUGUCUUUCACGCCAGUCCAAUGUCUGCGUGUUGGUGCAUUGCUGUAUCUUGCCAAAAGAUUAACAGCGAAGGAGAUGUCGGGUCUAGUGCAUUGAGCUAAGUACAAUAAAGCGCCUAUCGCACUUAGAUAAGGAACUUCAGGCUCCAAAAUCUCUUCAUCAUCCUCCUUCGGACGGAAGGGAUCUCGCUUUGCAUCUAGCGUACGAACGACCAUAGGAGUACUCGAAGGCUUCGCUUUAUCCUCAUUAAAACGGCGCAACACCUUCUGGGUGUAGUUCGAUUGAAGUACUAGGAUUCCAUCCGAACAAUGCUCUAUCUCGAGGCCGAGACAGUAUCGAGUCUUACCUAGAUCUUUCAUCUCAAAUUCCGACUUCAGGUGCGAAGCAGUUCUCGCGAGCUCUUCAGGAGUUCCGAUGAGAUUCAUGUCAUCGACAUAUACUGCAACAAUCGCAAAUCCGGAAUGUGACUUCUUAAUGAACACACAAGGGCAUAGUUCGUUAUUCACAUAUCCCUGACUAGUCAAAUACUCACUUAAACGGUUAUACCACAUUCUUCCGGAUUGUUUCAAACCGUAUAGUGAACGCCUCAGCCGAAUUGAGAGCGUGUUCCGAGGUUUGGAAAUAUUUGAACCAGUCAAUGUAAGUCCUUCGGGAACUUUCAUAUAAAUUUCCGUAUCAAGAUCCCCAUAGAGAUACGCGGUUACUACGUCCAUCAGCUGCAUAUCCAGUUUUUCGGAAACUACCAAACUGAUAAGGUAUCGAAAAGUAAUCACAUCCAUAACGGGUGAGUAAGUUUCGUCAUAGUCAAUCCCGGGGCGUUGUGAGAAACCUUGUGCUACAAGACGAGCUUUGUAACGCACAAUUUCGUUCUUCUCAUUACGCUUCCGAACGAAAACCCACUUGUAGCCAACGGGCUUCACAUGUGGAGGAGUAGGAACUACAGGUCCAAACACCUUACGUUUCGCAAGUGAAUCAAGUUCGACUUGGAUUGCUUGUUUCCAGUUUGACCAAUCAGCUCUACGUCGACAUUCAUCAACGGAACGCGGUUCAAUGUCAUCGCUCAACAUGAUCUCAGUAGCUACUGCAAAUGCUAAUGCAUCGUCGACAAUCAUCUCAUUUCUACGCCACACAUCAUCUAAGCUAGCAUAAUAGACCGAAAUCUCACGAUUCUCGGGAGGAGGAUUCGUCUCUUCAAGGACGCUUCCAUAAUCUAGAAUUUCCUCAUGAGUUGGGUAAAAUGAGUAAGCGAUAGUCGGAUUCACGGUAGGCUCUUCAGGACCUUGUGCCGUGGUUUUCCUCUUCCGGGGGUGUGAAUCCUUUGAACCAAGGGGUCUGCCACGCUUUUGUGUAGGGGCAGAUGAUUGGCUAGCCGCUAAUGUACGUGGAUCACCAGAAUUGGCGUCCCGGGCUUCCAGGAGGGUAGUCCGUCGUACAUUUGGUACAUCCAUCUUUGCAGGCGUUUUCGCAGCUGGAAUAUGUGAUCUUGUCACGCGCGCUAGAUCGGUGAAAGCAUCUGGCAUGCUCUGAGCUAUGCUCUGGAGAUCUAAUAUGCGCUGCACUUCAGCUUCAGACUGAGCGGUGCGGGGAUCUAAAUGAGACAAAGUGGGAGUCAUCCACGAUAAUUCGCGUCGUUCAUUAGGAACGUUGACGUUCUUAUCUCCCCCUAACGACGGGAAGACUGUCUCAUAGAAGUGACAAUCCGCGAAACGAGCGGUAAACAGAUCGCCUGUCAAAGGUUCUAAGUAACGAAUAAUCGAAGGAGAAUCAUAUCCGACAUAGAUUCCCAUCCUUCGCUGAGGCCCCAUUUUUGUACAUAAGGGCGGCGAGAUCGGCACAUAGACCGCACAACCAAAAACGCGCAGAUGAGAUAUGUCGGGUUCGCAUCCGGUGACCAACUGAAGGGCACUAAAUGGUUGUGUCGCAACAGGCCUCAGGCGGACCAACUUUGCUGCGUGCAAUAUUGCAUGGCCCCAAGCAGCGAUCGGGAGCUUGGUACGUAUGACCAACGAUCGAGCAAUCAUUUGUAAACGCUUAAUGAAAGCCUCUGCCAGGCCGUUCUGGGUGUGAACAUGGGGUACAGGAUGUUCAACUUCAACCCCAACCGACAUGCAAUAGUCAUCAAAAGUUUUAGAUGUGAAUUCUCCAGCAUUAUCCAAUCGAAUAGAUUUGAUCGGAUAAUCAGGGUGGUGAGCCCUGAGCUUGAUAACCUGAGCCAACAGUUUGGAGAAUGCAGCGUUCCUUGUGGACAACAAGCACACGUGUGACCAACGUGUAGAAGCGUCAACCAAAACCAUAAAAUAUCUAAAUGGUCCGCAGGGAGGUUGAAUCGGUCUACAAAUGUCCCCCUGAAUCCGUUGUAGAAAAAUGGGAGGAUUCGAACGAAUCUUGUCAUAAGAAGGCUUAGUAAUAAGCUUUCCCAUAGAACAUGUUUGACAUGCAAUUUCAUGGAUCGAACCUAAGCUUCGGGUUAGUGGAUGCCCGUGUGAAGUUUUGAGGAUACGGCGCAUCGCUAUUCGUCCAGGAUGUCCCAAACGAUCAUGCCAAAGUGUAAUUUCGUGCGCGGUCCCUGUGGUAGGGCCGGCCACAUAGUGGCAUUCUAUGGGGCGUAUGGUCGUAGUAUAUAGACCACUCGGGUUACGCGCCAUCUUCUCUAGAAUACGCUUCUGGCCAUAUUCGUAGGAAGUUACGCACAGAAAUUUAACUCCGUUUUCUACGUGGGUUUCAGCGUGGUAAUUGUUAUCUCUAAUGUCCUUGAAACUUAGUAACGUUCUUCCGGAACGUGGAGAAUAGAGUGCCUCAGCAAUGGUCAAGAUUGUACCAUUGGACAACAUUAUACGUGCCUUACCGUAUCCUUCGAUCAGGUUGGAUGGGCCUGAGGGGGUUGUCAGAGGUGCAUUCUUAGGUACGAAGUUAGUGAAAUAGAUGCGUUCACGCAAAACAGUAUGCGUGGUUGCACUAUCUGCCAGACAACUAACUUUCCCACUAUUCAUACCUAGAAUUAAUUUGAAUUGGUCACAUGCAUAAAAGUUUAUAAAACAAGUAUCAAUUCAAAAUAAUUUCAUUUAUUCAAGGAAAAAACUUAAUAUCCAAAAUAAAUCGCCAACUAAUAAUCCAAAACAUAAAGGAAAAUUGUUCAAAAUCAACCAAAAACAAGGUGGGGUUCGGCCACUAGGUGGAAUUCGGCCCCAAUUGUCUUAUUUUAACUGAAAAAUAAGUCUAUGUCUAAGAUUCUAAUCUUCCAUAGGAGUGGUAUCCUCCUGAAAAUCAGAAACCUCCAUCUUUGUAAUCUCCGGUUCGUCCACUUGCAGGAAGUUUGAUUCAAACUUCGUACAACGAGAAUGAUAUGCAUCCACAACCUUCUUGGGAGUACGGCAAAUACGGGACCAAUGGUCCUUGGAACCACAACGAUAGCACAUAUCGUCAUUCAUUGUGGCAGGUGCUUUGCCCUUAUUCUUGAAGUUCGGGGCCUUGGGAGUGAGGUUUGGGCGCUUCUGGGCUUUGUUUCCUCCCUUGGAUGGGCCUUGGCUCUGUUGACCUUGGUGGGAUGGCUUCUGGCCGCCCUUACCACGCCUCUUUUGGCGUUUUGGGUGCUGAUUAGUGCUAUAAUGUGCUUCAGGCACAGCAGUAGCCCCAGUAGGUCGAGCUUGAUGAUUUUUCAUCAACAGCUGGUUCUGCUUUUCAGCAAGAAGUAAAACAGAGAUCAAAUCAGAGAACUUAGUGAACUUCUGAGCUCUAUAUUGUUGCUGCAGGACAAUAUUAGAAGCAGAGAAGGUCGAGUAGGUCUUCUCCAGGAGAUCCUCUUCAGUCAAAGUUUCAUUGCAAAACUUGAGAAGUGAUCGGAUUCGACAAACUUCAGAAUUAUAUUCAUUCACAGACUUAAAGUCUUGGAAGCGCAAGUGCUGCCAGUCGUGUCUUGCUUCAGGCAAGAAUAUGUCCUUUUGGUGAUUGAAACGAUCAGCCAAAGCGACCCAUAAUGCACGUGGAUCCUCCUCAGCAAGGUACUCAGUUUGUAGAGCGUCAUGGAUAUGUCUUCGGAUGAAGAUCAUAGCAGUGGCUUUUUCAGCCUCGCCAACAGGUUUAUCUGUUACUUCUUCAAUAGCAGGACGCAAGUUCUUUGCAGUGAGGUGGAGCUUCACAUCUUGAACCCACUUGAGGUAGUUCCUUCCAGAAACCUCCAAAGCGGUGAAGUCGAGUUUGUUCAAAUUCGACAUGUUCCUAUCACAAAAUGGAUGAACAAGAUGUGGUUAGUGUAAUGGAGAAAAAUCAAUCCAUUCACAUAGGAGUAGAACAUACAGGUUCUAAUAGACAUGUAUUGGUUUAAUUUUGCAUGAAAAACUUCGGGUUUUCAUGGGUGAUAUAUUUAAGUGAAAACUUCGGGUUUUCAAACAAGGCAUGUGUAUAAGAAACUUUGGGUUUCAAAGUAAUUAUGAACUUCAGGUUCAUAUAUUCCUGCAGGCAAACACAAAUAUAUAUGCAAACAAAUAUGCAAAGAAUAUAUGUAGAAAUAUUGUAUAAUGAUAAGUGAAUUAAUUUAUUUUUGGUCUUCGGGGCCAAAUUAAAGUGUGGGUGAAAAUAUAAAAACCCAUAUUAUUUAAAAAAAAUUAAAUAAUAAAAUCUCGGGGCCUAAAAAUAUAGGCCAAGAACCCUCGGGUGGGAUUACAGGCCCACGGGGUGAGAAAAGGGGAAUGGGCUGCUGUGUGCAGCCCUAAAAUUUUUUUUUUCUCGGGCCGUUCCAGGCGAGCCCAUAAUUUUUUUUUUCUUUUCGGGCCGUUCCAGGCGAGCCCAGAAACUUUUUUUUUUUUUUUUUAAUUUAGAUGCAUAUAUAAUUCAAUGAAUCACAUAUUUACUUUGAUGCAUAUGCAAAUAAUAGUUUCAAUGCAUGUACAUAUGUAAGAUUCAAUUCAUGGCAAAUAUCAAAUUCACAUAAUUGUAGCAAUUUUGAUUAUGAAGCAUACACAAUUUAUGUAGAAUCUAAAAUACGUAAAACGUAAAGUUGGGUCAUGCAUCAUGGUGAAUGUUCAUGCUAUCAGGGCUUGCAAAAUAUCGAGUUAAAAGCCGUUGUUUGGAAAGAACCUGAUUGCGUGAUGAUAUGGAUGAACUGGUUUGAUGCAGAAAAAAUCUCCAACGUCAGAUUCCUAAGCGCAACGGUAGGAGCGUGCUGAUAACGUGUUGUGGUCUAUUUUAUCUGACAGAGGGACUAGGGCCGGCGGCAGAGAGAGAGAGGAGAGAGAGGUGUGUUUGUAGAAUUGUAGGGGAAUGUGUGUGUUGUUAUCCCUCCUACAUUGUGCCUUUAUUUAUAGUAGUAAAGGGAGAGAAGAUAUUCCUUCUUCUCCAAGUAAUACAAGUUGUAAUAGGAAAGGAUAACUAGAAUCAAAUCUUAUCUAGGAUUUACACAAUCAUACUUAAACUAGGAAUGUUUACAACAAAUCUAAAUAUUUGUCAAAUUAUCUAAAUAUAUAAAGAGAGAGCCCCAGUUUGGUGAAGCAUUCCAAAAUGCCAAGAAUAUCCCUAUGUUUCCUUCACAAUCAAAAUCCAAAAAAUCCAAAAAAAAGGAGGACAAACUGGUAAAAAACUUAUAACCGAACAUAAAAUUGUAUUGAAAGAAAAAACUAAAUUUUUACUAAAAAUUGAGAGCAAGAAAUACAAAAAAAAAAAACAAAAAAAAGGGAAAUUAAACCGAAUACUGGUAGAACAAGUCCACGUAAUUGAUAAUUGACGAAUGCAAUGUUGGUAACUGGUCUUGAUUUAAAAUAAAAAGUUGAAAACACAAAGAGACAGAUGCAGUAAAAAACACCAAUAAAAAACAAAAUAAAAAAAAAAAUAUUGGAAACUGAGGAAAGAAACGUGGGAGAGAGACUGCUGUUUUCAAACUGCAUUAAGUUUAAAGGCUCUCAUGUUAUUGCUAAUGGAAUAAAACAAAAAAGAAAAUAAAAAGAGACCUAAUACGUUUAGAAUAGAACUGCUAUUCGACAGUUGCAGGCUUGAAGUGUGUGAAGGAAACAGUUUUGAAGAACGAUAAACUCGAACGUUCAUGAAAAUAAAAGCGAACGUGGGAGAGGAACCAGUUUUGCGGGACAUGUAAAUAAAACACAAAAUAAAAUAACCUCAAGAGAAUAAAUUGAAAUUGUUGUGCCAGAGCCUGAAGGAGAAGAUCAAAUUGGCGAAAACCAACAAGAACUGGUAGUUCUGUAGUUCUCAAUUAUUAAAUUUGUGUGUUUUGUUCUCUAUCAAAAUGCUUCUUAUUCCUUAAUCUUCUCAUGCAUUUUCACAUGAUUAUUGAAAAUUCUGCACGUUAAUUGUAAUGGUUUGAUUGUGGUUUUUGUUCUCUGCAGGUUUUUCUUCCCUUAUCUUAUCAAAUAAAUCAAUUGAUAGGUUAGGCUUUCAUUUUUUUUUCUUCACAGGACUUUUAAGGACAUCCUCAAGUCAAAGUGAUGGAAUCAAAGUCUUCAGGUUUGGAUGCUUUUUUCCUUCUCUUUUUAGAGUAAUUUUCGAGUUUCUUCUCGCAUUUUUCGGGUUCCUUUCCCCAGUCCCCCAAAAUAACAAUAACAAAUUAGGCUUCUUCAUUUUUAGACUCUCUUGGGGUUGGCAGAUAAGGGGUUGCUUGCAUUUAAACCUCACCGUCCGGCUUCUUCUUUCUUAUGAAUUUUUAUCCCUUUCCUACGGCCAGUUCGUGAAGGCCGUUUUCAAAUUGAGGUUUUGUAUAUUCUGUCUCUUAAGAUUUGAUUCUUUCUAUUUUGGAUUAUUUUUUGUCUGAUUUCUCAAACAAUUUGGCUAAUGAAGAGUUUAUGGAUAUACAAUGGGACAAUAUUAUUUUCUCUCUGUUUUAUGUGUUUAUUUAGUUUUACUGUAGUUUUCAUCUAUGCCUUGAGUUUUGGCUUCUCUAUCUUUUUAUCUUUUGUAGCGUUCCAGGUAAAUGGUGAGAAUUAUUCAAGUAUGCGACAUCAUUUUAGUUUCAUGUGAAAAAUCUUCUCUUAUAAUUUUGUUUGAGUGAUUGAAUGUGCAUAUGUGAGCUCUAAGGUUUGGUUCCAUAUUUAUUGUUGAAGAAAAACAGGAAGUGAGGAACACAAUAACCCUACCACGAUUAUGUAUGAAAUAAAUUGGAUCUAUUAAAAACUCAUAUUUUGGGUGUGUUGUUAGGAAGAAAUGCCUAAACUCCGAAUUUGUAUGGAACAUACUCAUUAUAGAAUAGAUUAAUUGUAUGUGUUAUUGCUUUUAGUACUAAAAUUGACUUAUUUGCCCUCCUACAAGUCAUAGCUUUGCUAAUAAAUUGAGAACAAUGUCUGAUUUAGUUUUUUUUUUUUGUCGAAAUGUCUUAUUAGUUUAACUCUUUUCAUUUGAUAAUUCUCUUGCCCUUGGUUUGAGAUAUAAAGUAUUUCAUUUCAGUCAUCAAGUGUCACAGCCUGUCCCGAAAUAUUUUAUUGAUGUUGUGAAAUGACGAAACUGCCUUUGAGCGUUUUUUGACAUUUAAACUUUAGGGUUUGUUUUGGUAACCAUGGUUGUGUUUAGGGUUAGGUGGAAGUGUGAGGACACACACAUCACCCUUUCCCUUUCUUUCUCUUCUCUCCCGUGCACUCUCUCUCUCUCGGAAACACUCUCCCUCUCGGAAACACUCUCCCUCUCUUCCUUCUUUGUACGGACAACAUCAAAACCCUCUCAAACCUUGUAGAUCGAGGGUGUAAAGAACACCAUUGGGUUCGUGAGGAUCAUACAAGUCAAAAGGUACCAGUUUCAGGUAAGGAAACCUUCGAUUUCCCGUGAAAACCCUAACCCUCCGAUUUUGUCACUGUUUAUGCUCAUGUAAAACCUUGUGUUUUAGGGGAUUUUAAGCUCAUAGGGAGCUUUAGGAGGUCCUAAGGAAGAUCAGAGUGGUUUGUUGGAAGAAUUUGGACGUCGAAAUAGUGAGAUCGACGAGUUGCAGGGUUUGGCCUGAUUAUCGAGGUUUUUUUCCAGCGAGUUGGAGGUCGAGGCAUGUAUGGUUUUGUUCGUCUUUGUGAGAUCUUCAAAUUGGUUCAAAUUUCAUUGAAAAUGGUGCAAAAAUGAAGAAGUUAUAGGCAUUAGAAAUUUUUCCAUAAACCGGUGACUCACCGGAGAAGAAAGGAGUUGACGGAAUAUACUAACGGCGUCAUGUAUCUUUAACAGAUUCAGUUAGUUUUAACGGAAUAUUCCUGACGGCGUUAACUGACGCCGUCAGUGUGCCAAGCACAUGGGCGCACGUGGGGGCGCAUCUGGCCGUGCCUUGGCCACGUGGGUGAUCAGAAAAUUAUUCUAAAAAUAUGGGGAUGUUUCUGAGGUUGUGUAGAUCAUUUUGGUAUAUUCAAACACCCCGAUUGAGCAUUGUAUGAGAAGUUGUUACCAAGUUUUGUGUUUGUGCUUUAAAAGUAACGUUUAUAUAGUUGUUUCGCAUAUAGGUGAGACCUAUCCCGAGGACGAGCGAAGUCAGGGGCAACUCGGGGGUUACGACCCUUCCACAUACCAGUGAGUAUAUAUAUAUAUUGAAUAUUUUCCUAGAAAAGCGAUUUAAAUGUGUGAAAUCCCGUUUCUGGAUUUCAUUGUUAUCACCUACAUAUUUGUAUUAUUGAGAUUUUAUAUUAUUUCUCGAGAAUUUAUUUUAAUUUGUUUGAAUUUAAAUUUAAAUUAAAUUAGUUAUUAACGUUUGAAGUUUGAGGCAUUUUAGAAAUAAAUAGAAAAAUCUGAAAUUUUCUUAUGAAAUCUGGUGUGCCACAUGGGUGGCCCAGAUUCAAUGGAAAGGAAAAUGGAUGGUGGAGAUGCAAAGGAAAGGAUUUAAAAGAGAGUGGGCGCUGCCCAGUUAGGAGGGGGGAGAGAAAGAGGUGACCAAUUGGGCGAAGAGGAAAGGAGAGUAAGGAGAGAAGAAGAGGAAGAGGGAACCGGCCGGGGUUUACUAUGGCCCAUGACCCGACCCGGUUAUAUCUCCCAACUCCGGCCACCAUGGACGGCUAGGAUGGUGUCAAAAUGAUCCUUAGCUCGAGGCCAAUCGAUCUCUCUUCCAUUUCUACACUUAAAACGACGAGGGGGAGUCCAAUUUUGAGGAAAUACCACGGUGGGUGCGUCGGGCUUAUGUGGAAAUCCAUUAAAUCUUGAAACGUUUUCUUCCAAUUACAACCACCCAUAGCAUCCUCAUGAGGCCUAGAACAAAGCCCAGACAAGUUUGGGGGCGGCAGAGUUGUUUUCGAGUCGGAUCGAACACACCUAAAAACAAGGGUUCCGUACGGUUCGAGUGAAAUUGGGGAUUUUCCCGGCCAAAUUGGACUUGGCCACAGGUAUAAAAAUUGCUAUACUCAUUGAAAUCUUCAUUUCUGUAAAUUUUGAUAAUUUUUAAAAAUAGUUGAAUUUUUCCGGCAAGUCGGGGCGGCCGACGGCCACCCGUGGCGGCGAGUGCGGCGGUUUCCUGGCCAGUGGGCCGAAAAUAUCAUUUUAAGUUCAAUUAGAUGUCUUGAUUUCAUAAUUGAUAUCCUUAUGAUAUGGUUUGAUUGUUUGAACCUAAUUUCAUUACGAUACGUGGUUAGGUCAAAAUAUGAUUCGACGAUCCUACCGUUGGAUCGUCACCAAACCUUAAUGCGUGAUAGAACAUAAUAUUUUUGGAUCAUAGAAACUUACGGAUCGAGAAUCUGACGUACGGAUCUUCCCUAAUUGGAUUUCUAAGUUUGUAAAAUUAAAUGUCGACCGCCACUUGAAUUUUGAAAUUGGCGGAGAUCCAACUGUCGGAUCAUGUUGAGAUUUCAGUAUGUUGUUAUUUGAGCAUAAUGUGGACUUUGGAAAGUUUCGGAUCGGAAAUCCGAGGUGCGGAUCUUCCGAAUCAAAUUACAUAAGUUUGUGGACCCUACUGUUGAUCGAGAGUUGACUUUUGCUCAACAUGUCAUGAAACGUCCUAAUUACUAAAAUUAGUACUACAGGGGAACUAGGUGAAGUCUAGUGGGCAUGCAUUGAUUAGAGAGUGACUUGAAUAUAUGUGAUAUGAUUAUUACCUUAAUUUCCUAUUAGUAUCCUUUGUGAAGAUGAAUUGGUUUUAUAAAUGUGAUUUCUAUUGAAAUGUGAUUUUUAUAUAUUUAGCCAUAGGCCUAUGAUUAUUAAACAUGAUUUGGCUUGGUACUGAUGAUGGUUGUGACAUAUGUGAGUUAAAUUAUCUUUUUAGUAAUGUGAAUGAUGUGUAUGAUUAUUUUCAUGACAAUGUGAUCCUAGAAUCCUAUUAAAAGUAUGUUGUAGCACUUAUAUGCUUGGGUGCCAUAUUAGUGGUGACCUUGAGAAGUUGAUGGUGUAGGUGACUACGUUGUAACUCAUAGGGUUGAGAUGUGAUGUGGAUAAGUUGAGGUGUUGAAAUUACUACACCAUGUAGUAGUUGUACAUUGAUGGUCCUGCUUGGUAUAUCCGCAUUGGGGGACCAUACGCAUUCUAGGAGUGAUCAUGCUUGGUAUAUCUGCAUUGGGUGAUCACUACCUACCUGAUUAUCUUGACCCUGCUUGGUUAAUCCGCAUUGGGGGGUCACAAGUGGUCCUGCUUGGUUAACCCGCAUUGGGGGACCAUACUUUAUAUGGAUCGCGCUUGGUUAAACCGCGUUGGGCGAUCCUUAUGGCCAUGUAUGCUUAGGAGUGAUCAUGCUUGGUAUAUCCGUAUUGGGUGAUCACUGCCUAGGAUAUUAAACUAUGCAUACGGUUUUGCUUGGUAUAUCCGCGUUGGGGGACCAUAUGCAUUCUAAAAGUAAGGAGGAUUAGUUGUGUUGAUGCACAAAAUCAGCGAAGACUUUGGUACAACAGAAAGUGUCAGGUUUUGUGACCUUCGCUUGGUUGCUUCGGUCACUAGUGAGGAUAAAUACGUAAAUAAAUAGAGACAGAGAAGCAAACACAGGAUGUACGUGGUUCACCCAGAUUGGCUACGUCCACGGAGUAGAGGAGUUCUUAUUAGUAGUGAAGGGCUUACACAAGUACAAAGGAUCAAGCUCUCAAUUUAGUGAGUUCUUGUGAAUGAUUUACACAAAAUGGCAUUAGGCAAUAUUGUGGGGGAAUGACCCCUAUUUAUAGAAAAACUUGUAGCUUUGUCACAUUGACAUGUGUCAUGUUAUGAUUGGUUCUUGAUGUUGACACGUGCUGCGCUCUGAUUGGCUUCUAAUCCUGACACGUGUCGAGUAGUGAUUGGCCUCCUGGUCGGAGGGGAACUCUUCUGGGUCCUUGACAGUAUAGCGUUGGCUGGUACUCGGUAGUUUCGGGAUUGGUCAAGUAUGGUACAAACAGUGCUCCCCUAAGUUCCCGAGUGAGGGAAACUCCUCGGUUGGGGACUUGCAAGAUCCAAUCCCUUGAGUAAUCACGAAACUUCUAAGUACCGAAGUGUGGUCUGAUCUUCAUCUGCCCUUCUCUGGAAGUACCUUUCCUCCAUCCGGGAAUGGUGUAUUUAGCUGAUGUUGACGCACAAGCUAAUGUAUCAAUUUCACUUGAAGCUUAGUUGUAGUUUCGGGCUUAGUCAAGUGUGAUACAAACCCUAUAGUAGGAGUCCCCCAAGUCGCCGAGCUAGGAGAUCUGCCGAAAGAGGUGACAGACAAGGUAAGCAGUCAAACUUCCAAGUAAGCAACCCAGGAUCAGAGGUUUGACUUCGGCUUCCGGUUGAUUGUUCUCAUUCUCCUUGUCUCUCAUUCAACUGCCAGGAUAAGGAGAAGCAAAUGGAUAAGAGAUGAUAUGAGAUACUUUUGCUUUUGAAGAAGUAACUUUCCACAGGCUUAUUCUUGAACUGUGCUGGAGGGUUUUCUGGUGCCCUUCAGAGUAUAAGGCCAACUCAAAAAUUUGAGGGUCAAAACAAGUCCAUCAAAUCUAGAGUACGUUCGACCUUGAUGAUAUGGGAUACUUUUGCUGUUGACGGAAUAAUGAAUGUGGUAUGGAAAGGUGUCGUGCUGUAGUGAUCUGUUUCAGCUCACCGUUUGAACCUUCUGCUUCAAUCUUUUGCAUGGCAGAAGUGGUGUGCAACCUUUGCAUUUAAAUGGUCCUUCAGAACAUUCCUUCAUAGUGACUCAUCCACGCUUGGCAGCUUCAGUGUAAAGAGCCAAUAUCUGAUCAACUGUCAUGAGGUAUUUGCCGGUGGAAUUCGUGACCUUGACAGCAGUUGAGGAUGAGUACUCGAGAGCAAUGCUAAGUAAGCAACCAGGCAAAGGCUCCAGGCAGUCAGUUCCAAAUUGGAGGUUUGAUUUCAGGUUCCGACUGACUGCUCUCUUUCUCCUUGUCCUGCAGGUGUGGACAAGGACAAAGACAAAGACAGGGAGAAAGCAUGAUAUGGGAUACUCUUGCUUUCGAUCCUGAUGAUAUGAGAUACUCUUGUUCUUGGUGUGGCUUAUUUGCUGAGGUAUUAUCGGGGGGAAAUAAAGCUGAGUAUUUCGAGAGGUUAUGUUGAGGGUGCCUUUUCGAAUGCGAGAAAGGGUUGAGCAUUUUUGCAGGUUUGCCUGUCCGUUGAGGAGGGAGGUCAAUGUAUAUAGGGAUUUCCCAAUAACAAGUAGUAAUGCUAUUCCUUUACCCUUCUUGGUCACAGCAAUGUAGUGGGAGCUGCCAGCUUCACGUGUUUUAAUUUUGUCAGAGCACUUUGAAAAAAGUGGUAUGUGGUAUCUGGAAAGCUGAUGUUACGUGUGAAGAUUACAGACAAGCUUUAUCUAAGGAAAUCUGGCUCUCGAAGUUCUGAGAGUUGUGCCUCUUCGGUUUUCGAACAAGCAAUCCCGUCGAGGAUCUGACUCUCGAGAUUCGGAAAGCGGUGCUACUCCGGUUUUUUAGAAAGUAAUUAUGUUGGGAGUCUUUUCUUGAAUGUGAGUAAAGGUUGGACGUUCUUGCCAACCUGUCUUGCCGCAAAACACGGAGGUCGACACACAUAGGGACUUUCCAGUUGUCAAGCAGUGGUGCUGUUCCUUUACCCUUAUGGGUAAUAGUAGGGUAGCUGGAACUUCGAAAUUCUCGUGCCUAAACUUUGUCAGAGAUCUUUGACAAAGUUAUAUGUGGUACCCGAUGAGUUGAUGGUGCAUAUGGAGAGCGGUGAUUGAACAGUAAGAUUCACGUGCUUUCUACUUCACCAGAAAUCUUCGACAGAUUGCCCGUAAUUUCUGCAAAGCUGAGUGUGCAUGUGACAGGUGCUGACGAGGCUGAAAAAGCAGGUGCUUCUUUGAUUUCUGAGAUCGGCCCUCGUGGUCUCUGAGCAGCCCAGCUUUUGAGAAAGCAAACGCCUCUUCGAUUUCUGAAGCUCCGUCGAGUGCAGAUUUUUAUAGAGGCUGGCAUUAAGUUCCACAGCACACUUGAAUCUCUACCAGUAGAAGCUCAUUUCUUGCACUUCUAAGAUCUUGAUUUGUCUGACCUCUUCCCUCUUCAACACAUUUGAAAAUGUCUGGACCCUCCGACCGUCGUUUUGACUUGAACCUUGGAGAAGAGACAGCCACGCCUUCUCCAGACAACAUAUGGCGCCCAUCAUUCAUAUCCCCUACCGGUCCUCUUACCGUUGGGGAUUCUGUGAUGAAGAAUGAUAUGACCGCUGCAGUGGUGGCCAGGAACCUUCUCACUCCCAAAGAUAACAUACUACUUUCCAAACGGUCUGAUGAGUUGGCUGUUAAGGACUCUUUGGCCCUUAGUGUUCAGUGUGCAGGUUCUGUGUCUAAUAUGGCCCAACGCCUAUUUGCUAGAACCCGCCAAGUUGAAUCAUAUUGGCUGCUGAAGUGAUGAGUCUCAAACAGGAGAUUAGAGGGCUCAAGCAUGAGAAUAAGCAGUUGCACCGGCUCGCCCAUGACUAUGCUACAAACAUGAAGAGGAAGCUUGACCAGAUGAAGGAAUCUGAUGGUAAGGUUUUACUUGAUCAUCAGCGGUUUGUGGGUUUGUUCCAAAGGCAUUUAUUGCCUUCGUUCCUCUGGGGCUGUACCUGGUAAUGAAGCUUCAAAUGAUGAACCUCCAAUGCCUCCUCCUUCUGGGGUUUUGUCAAGUACUGAGGCUCCGGAUAACCACCCUCCGGUGCUUUCUCUUUCUGGGGCUCUACCGACUGCUGAGACUUCCCCUAAGCAACCUUUGUGAAGGCUCCCUUUUGUUUGUUUAUUUUGACUCAUGUAUAUGUACAUAUUUGUGGCUUAUCGAAAAUAUUAAUAAAAUAAGCUUUGCUUCAUUUCAACAUAUUGUGUUAAAUACACCAAAGCCUUCUUCAUAAAGUUCUUUGAAUUUUUGCUUUUGUUGAAACCUGUAUUGUUGAAGCUUUGUGAGUGAAGCAUGUAGUUUGAGGUAGUGUUCCCUUAAUUUCUCGAGUGAGGAAAACUUCUCGGUUGGAGACUUGAAAAAUCCAAGUCACUGAGUGGUUGUGAGACUGCCGAGUAUCAAGGUGCAGUAGCAUAUGGUGGGAGUCCCCCAAGUCUUCAGGCGAAGAGAGUUGCCGAAUGAGGUGUCUCGCGUGUUACUAAUUUGUCAAAGUAACGAAUUCUUGUUUCGAUGUCACACAUUCGUAUAUGCUUUAUCUAAAAAAUAUUUCCAACUUUUGUGUGUGUUUGAUGCUGCAUGCUAUUGACUAGACAAGAUCAAGUGCAAUUAGUAGCUUUCUCUCUUUUUCAUCUUUUCUUUGGUGGAAUUGCUUUUCGUUUCCACUAAUCAGCCUGAGUGGAUGCAAGAUAACACCUUUCUCUAUAGCUCAGAUUGCAAAGUCGUCUUCAUGAAAGUUUUUCCUUAUCUUGUGAACUACAAUAUAUCCAAAUUUGAGAUCCAUCGGAGUAGUACAACUUCAGAAAUUCAAGUAUGAUGAGUAACUGUUCAUCAAUGUUCUGUUAAUCCGUCAGACUUGUUGUGAGCUUCGAAACUCCAUUUUCUCUUGUUCAGAUCAACAUACUUUCUUUCUUCAUCGAAGUUGUUCCUCAGCUUGUGAACUACAACAUAUCCAAAUUUGAGAUCCCUCGGAGCAGUAUAACUCCAGAAAUCCAGGUAUGAUGAAUGACUGGUUAUUAUUUUUCUGUCAACCCGUCAGAUUUGUUGUGAGCUUCGAAACUCCAUUUUCUCUUGUUCAGAUCGGUAUGCUUUUCUUCAUUGAAGUUGUUCCUCAGCUCGUGAACUACAACAUAUCCAAAUUUGAGAUCCCUCGGAGCAGUAUAACUCCAGAAAUCCAGGUAUGAUGAAUGACUGGUUAUUAUUUUUCUGUCAACCCGUCAGAUUUGUUGUGAGCUUCGAAACUCCAUUUUCUAUUGUUCAGAUCGGCAUGCUUUCUUCAUUGAAGUUGUUCCUCAUCGUCUCUUUCAUAACAUAUCAAAAAUUCAGAAUGAACUAAUGGUUAAAUAUUUCCAGAUCUUUGAAACAUCACAGCAGCUUCGAAAUCUGCAAGAAUCCGACUGUCAUGUUUGGAACUUCAACACUUUAAUUUCCGUCGCUCAAACAGAAAUGGUUCCUUCUUGAAAGUUGUUCAUAUGCUCAAGAACUAUAGGGUGUCCAAAAUUCAGCUCCAUUGGAGAAGAGCAGAGGUUGCAGAAAUUUGAUAGAUGAAAGGAGGCGGAAGAGGGAGAGAGAGAAAAAGUCUCUUGGGUUGGAUUUCUAUUUUGGGGCAGAUUCCAAUUUUUGUAGCACCUUCAUUAUUGAUGAAUUGCUUGUACUUUUGUCCAUUAUGAAACUUGGGACUUUGGCUUGUUGUUGGAUCUAUUAUAAUAUGUUUGGGAACAUAUAUAAGUGAAUAAAUAAGAAGGAAAAUUUUGGGCCCUUGUGGGUGUAAAACAAAAAAUGUUUAUGUUUACCCAAGUGGUUUUGUGAACAAAAUUUGUUUAUUUGGAGCAAGGUUUUGUGUUGAAGCUUUGUAGGUGAAGCUUUGUAGAUGAAGCUUUCGAGGUGAAGCUUUGAUGGUGAAGCUUUGUAGAUGAAGCUUUCUGGGUGAAGCUUUGAUGGUGAAGCUUUGUAGAUGAAGCUUUCGAGGUGAAGCUUUGAUGGUGAAGCUUUGUAGAUGAAGCUUUCUGGGUGAAGCUUUGAUGGUGAAGCUUUGUAGAUGAAAGUAUGUAGAGGGAGCUUUCUAGGUGAAGAUUUUUUAGGUGAAGCUUUGUAGGUGAAGCUUUUUUAAGUGAAGCUUUUCGGGUGAAGUUUUUGUUGGGUGAAGCUUUGUGGGUGAAGCUUUUUAGGUGAAGCUUUGUGGGUGAAGCUUUGGAGGUGAAGCUUUUCGGGUGAAGCUUUUUGGAUGAAGCUUUUUUUUUUUUUUUUUUUUUUUUUUUUUUUUUUUUUGGCGCUUGACACGGUCUUCAUUUGCUUGUUUUGUAGUGACUGUGGAAGACGGAUUGCUUUCUGAAUUGAGAAGGGUUCCGGCAUCGCUUGCUAUGAAUGUAAAAGAGUGAGGGCUGAGUUGGCUAAAUUACCUCUUUAUUGAAUUCAUUGCCAAAUGGCCUUCAUUACAUAGGAUGCCGAACGGCUAUAGCUCAACACUUGUACAUCGUGAGUCUAUUUGUAGUAGUACUUCAAGUGAUCAGCGUUCCAUGGAUGGCCAAGGGUCUUGCCAUCGGAGCUUCUAAGUGUGUAAGAGCCAGGGCGACUGAUGCCAAUGACUUCAUACGGUCCAUCCCAGUUUGGACUAAGUGUGCCUUCACUCGGGACUCUGUCGCAGAGUAAUCUUUUCUUUUAAGACCCAGUCUCCUAUUUUGAAAGAACGAGGCUUGACCCUAGAGUCAUAAUAGUUGGAGAUGCGCUGCUUGUAGGCGACAUUCCUCAAGUGAGCUUGGUUUCUGUGUUCCUCGACUAAAUCCAAGUUGAGGGUGAGUUGUUUGUCAUUUUCACUUUGAAUGUAGUUCUGGACUCGGAAUGUUGCUUGCUCGAGCUCAACAGGGACAACCGCCUCUGUGCCAAAGGCAAGUGAGAAUGGAGUUUCUCCUGUUGAAGUCCGAUAUGAAGUGCGAUAUGACCAAAGAACUUGGGGUACAAAUUCUGGCCAACAGCCUUUAGCUUUGUCCAAGCUGGUUUUCAAAGUGCGCUUGAUUAUUUUGUUGAUGGCCUCAACUUGUCCAUUAGACUGGGGAUGAGCUGGAGAGGCAAAGCAUAAGUUGAUGUUGAACUUAGAGCAGAACAACCUGAACUUCUUGUUGUCAAACUGUCGCCCAUUGUCAGUGACUAUCGCAUUGGGAAUGCCGAAUCUACAAAGGAUGUUCUUCCACACGAAGUCUUCUAUCUUUGCCUCAGUAAUGGUUGCCAAGGGUUCUACUUCGGCCCACUUUGUGAAGUAGUCCACUGCAACGACUGCGUAACAGACUUUGCCCUUCCCUGCCGGCAUUGGGCCGAUCAAAUCAAGUCCCCACUGGGCGAAGGGCCAAGGGCUGAUCAUAGGAGUAAGAGGCUCUGGAGGGGAAUGAGGAAUAGUUGCAUAUCGUUGACAUUUGUCACAUGAGCGGGAUACUUUGAUGGCAUCCUGGUGGAGUGUUGGCCAGUAAUAUCCUUGGCGAAAAGUCUUGUGUGCUAGGGACCGAGAUCCAGCAUGAUCUCCACAGACUCCCUCAUGUAUUUCCCGAAGGACGAUUUCCGCCUCGGCAGGCGUAAGACACCUUAAGUAUGGCAGGCUAAAACCUCGCUUAUAGAGUUGAUCAUUGAUGAUCAGGUAGCGGGUAGACUUGUAUCGAAUUUGCUUAGCCUGGACUUUAUCAUUUGGGAGGGUGCCAUGAGCAAGGAAAUUAUAGAUCGGGGUGAUCCAACUAUCCCCCUGUUGUAAGUUGCAUACUUCUGCGGCCAUGGUGCUUGGUGUUGCCAACAGUUCGACAUGAAUUUUUCUUCCAAUCUUGUCUUCCACAGCUGAGGCGAGGCGAGCCAGGGCGUCUGCAUGACUGUUUGCCGCUCGAGGAACUUGGGUGAUCUGGUAGUGGAAGUGCUUGAGUAAAAGUUGUGUUUGCGCAAGAUAUGCUGCCAUGGAGCUGUCCUUAGCAUCAAAGUUGUUGGUAACCUGGUUGACCACUAAUUGGGAGUCACUGAAAAUAUCAAUUUGUUUAACCCCGAGGUGUUUGGCCAAACGUAAUCCUGCUAGAAGGGCUUCAUACUCGGCCUCAUUAUUUGAUGCCUUGAAUUUGAAACGAAGAGCAUACUCCAUUGCUACUUUGUCGGGUGUAGUCAAGACUAGUCCCGCUCCACAGCCCUGUUGGUUGGAUGAGCCAUCAACAUACAGACUCCAUGCUGGGGUUGUUGGUUCUAUCUUCUGAGCUUCCGGGGGUAAUGAAGCCACUGUUUCAGGUGUAGAAGCAAUGUCAACCGGAUAUGUGAAGUCGGCAAUGAAGUCUGCCACUGCUUGGCCCUUCUCAGCUGGCUUUGGUUGGUAGGAGAUGUCAAACUCACCCAACGCUAUUGCCCAUUUGAUCAUUCGCCCUGAAGUGUCAGGACUUUGGAGUAUCUGUCGAAGAGGAUAAUUGGUAAGCACGAUGAUGGAGUGCGCUUGGAAGUAAGGGCGGAGUUUUCGAGCAGACAUGACCAAUGCCAGAGCCAAUUUCUCAAUGUUAGAGUACCGUGUCUCCGCAUCUUGUAAGGCUUUGCUAGCGUAGUAGACAGGUCGCUCAAUAUUCCCAUCCUUUCGAAUGAGAACGGAACUUACGGCUGAAGCUGAUACCGAUAGGUAGAUAAUGAGAAUGUCUCCUACCUCGGGCUUGGUGAGUAGAGGGGCUUUACUCAUGUACUCCUUGAGGUUUUUGAAUGCCUCGGCACAUUCAUCAGUCCAUGUAAUGUACUUCCUACUUCCCUUAAGUGCUUUAAAAAAGGGAGCACAUUUGUCUGUGGCCUUAGAAAUGAACCUGGUUAAGGCUGCCACCUUGCCAGUAAGGCUCUGGAUGUCCUUUGAAGUUACCGGUUCCUUCAUGUCGAGGAUUGCUUUGAUCUUCUCGGGAUUAGCUUCAAUGCCUCGUUGGCUAAUCAUGAAACCUAAGAAUUUGCCAGAGCCUACGCCGAAGGCACAUUUGUUGGGGUUUAACCUCAUUCGAUACCUCUUCAAAAUAGUGAAAGUUUCAGAUAGGUUGGUGAUGUGUUGGUCAGCAUGUUUGCUCUUGACUAACAUAUCAUCAACGUAAACUUCCAUGCUCUUCCCAAUCUGCUCGGCGAACAUUGAGUUGACUAGUCUCUGAUAAGUCGCUCCUGCAUUCUUUAGGCCGAAAGGCAUGACUUUAUAGCAGUAUAGUCCUCUGUCGGUAGUGAAGGCUGUGUGUUCUUGAUCCGAAGGGUUCAUGAGGAUUUGGUUGUAUCCUGAGUAAGCAUCCAUGAAGCUCAGGAGUUCACACCCGGCCGUAGAGUCUAUAAGUCUGUCAAUAAGAGGAAGAGGGAAGCUAUCUUUCGGACACCCUUUGUUUAGGUCGGUGUAGUCAACACACAUUCUCCACAAGACCUUUUGAAGCGAAAGACUUUCUUUGGUCGGAUUUUUCCUAACAAGGACCACAUUUGCUACCCAUGUCGGGUAAUUGACUUCGCGGACAAAGCCUAUGCCUUUGAGUUUUUCAACUUCUGCUUUCAUUGCCUCGUAUCGUUCAGCGUCAUAAGAUCUUCGCUUCUGUCUCACCGGCUUGAUCUUGGGGUCAAUACUCAAACGAUGACAGAUGACAUCGGGAGAGAUGCCUGGCAUGUCCUCGUAUGACCAGGCGAAGACUUCAGUGUUCUCUUUCAAAAAAGAUAUCAAUGCUAACCGAAGGGGUGGUGACAAUGUGGUGCCAAUCUUCACCAUGUGAUCUGGAUAAUCUCUUGAGAUAGGUACCUUCUCCAACUCUUCAGCAGGUUGGGCUUGCUGGGUGAAAGAGUCAUCUCGAGGAUCAUCGGGUUGAUUGUUGCUAUCAGGAAGAUCCAAGUUCGCUUCAUCUAGGCUGGUCUUUGUGACUUGGUCAUGUACAGACAGGGUUUCCUUGGGUCCGGGCAAGUGUUGUUGCUUAACUGAAGUGUUGUAACAUGAUCGUGCACUAAGCUGAUCUCCUCUGAUGUAGCCGUUGCCAUGGGGGGUUGGAAAUUUCAUCAACAGCAUAUGCGUGGAUACCAUAGCCUUGAGAUCAUUGAUGCCUGUGCGCCCAAAGAUGACAUUGUAUGCCGUUGGGCAGUCAACCACUAGGAAGUUAGUGGUAAUGGUAGCCGUGUAAGGGCCUGUACCAAUAGUAAAGGGUAAAUGUAUGCUCCCUAAGGGUUGCACGAUAUCACCGGAGAAGCUUAUCAGAGGAGAAAUCGAGCGAUCGAGCAAGUGUUCAGCUACACUGAGUGCCCUGAAAGCUUCGGCAAACAUGAUAUUGACCGAAGCCCCUGUGUCUACGAGGAUUCGUCGAACAUCAAAGUUGGCUAUGUGAGCCUCCACGAUCAAUGGGUCGUUAUGAGGGUAGAUGAUGCCUCUUUCUUCCUCAGGGUAGAAACAUAUCGGAUCCCAGUUAGGCUUUUGAUACUUCCCUCCCCUGAUGUCUUCCACGUGAAACACUUGGUGACCAGGCCUCAGAAUUCGUUCACUGUUUUUCAUGGCCCUAUUGGAAGAUUCAGAUAUGGGUGUGCCGCCGCUUAUGGAAUAUAUGACAUUCACCUGGCGUUGGUUACGGUUAUCCCUUUGAGGGUGAAGGAGGAAUUGAUCAAUUUUUCCUUCUCGUGCCAAAGCUUCAAUACGAUCACGGAGGAUGAUACAUUUCUCGCUAUCAUGGCCGUUAUGCUCAUGGUAGCAACAAAACAUGCCCGCGUUAUUCGGGGGCGUGUAAUCUGGGUGCCUCGGCUUUGGCUUUGGUAUCAGGUGAGCUAUGCUGGGGUAAAUGGCCGCGCAUGUGGCAUUCAAGGGCGUGUAUGUCUCAUACCUUGGGGUAGGGGGUAUCUUGACGCGGGUUUGACCCACUGCAUUGACUGCCUGGGGGCGAGCGUUAUUGUGGCGAUACCCUUGGUUAUCGGGAUAGUGUCCCUUACUCUUUUUUACUGAAAUGAGAGUGGUGAGGAUGGAAAUCCUUCCUCUUGCCUUGAAAUUGAUAUGUCUGUUGAUUCGGCGAAGCAUUAUGCAAGGCAUGGGGAGGUGCCACUGCUGUUUGGAAAGUCGAGGUCUUCUCAUUUAGGUGAGUCUGGCUUCCACCUCCCACUUGUUGAUAAAGGAUGGUUGUAGGGGGUUUCUCCUGAUAUGUCUUUGCCUCGGCGGAGGCAUGGUUAUAAGCCUGCGCCAUCACCUCAGAGUAAGUCUUCCAAGUAUUGGCAUUGAUCAUGUAUUUAAAGAAACAAUCACGUAGGCCUGCCGUGAAGGCUUUGAGGGCAGUCUUGUCGUCUGCCUCGGCACACCGGGAGUAUUCAUGGCUGAAGCGGCCAGCAUACAUACGUAAUGACUCGUCUGGCUUCUGGCGGAUAGUGUACAGGUCAUCUGCAGAGUGCAAGCGAUCGGUUUGGAAAAUGUGUUGGGAAACAAAUAGUUUCCUCAAUUCCUCAAAUGAGUCUACCGUCUCAGGUGUAAGACGACAAUACCAAUUUAGAGCUCCGCCAGAGAGGGUGGAGGGGAAGAGAAGACAUCGCUCUUCGUCGGUGUGCAUCCGGUAUGCCAUGGUGGACUCAAAGAGGUUAAGGUGCUCAAUCGGGUCCUCUUUUCCAGUAUAAAGUUGCAAGCCAAGCUUUUUGCUUUGUCUUUGCUUGAAGGGGGGUGUUGAGGAUCCUCCUUGUAAGAGGGCCAGGCCUGGGUUGGUUCCAGUCAGGUAUUUCAGCCUGACGUUCAGCCUUCAACUUGUUUACUUCCUCAAGAAGUUGUAGGACAAGGGGGUCCUGAGCGGAGUUAUGUGCCACUGGAGCUUUCUUUCGUAAAUCUCCAUCUUCUCUUGGAAUUAGGAAGGUUUGAUCAAGGGCAUGUGAUUUUUCCCUGGACUCGCUGUACUGGCUUCCAGGGUAUGUCUGUCGGAACACCUCUGAGUCCCCUGUACCCUCAUGUCUCUCUAGGACUUGUUGCCCCUUCCCCAAAUUGGUGGCCGGCUUGGGCCGUGGCAGGGGACCGAGUCUCUCAGAAAUCCUUGGGUCAUUAAUCUUUGAGCUUAUAUGGAUGGAAUUCUCUCGACGUUGCUUCAGGAAAUCCCGACAAUAGCGAAAGACAGCUUUCGAUCCUUCUGCCCCUUCAGCAAAGAGGUGUCUCCCUCCACUUCUCAUGGUUCGGGUUGAAGCAACUGGGUUAAGAGAAGCCUCAUGUUGAUUAUCAAGUCGAGGGGUAAUCUGUUCCCUAUCAGGGAUAUCUAUGUCGAAUGCAUGUGACCCUCCAUGUUGGAGGGCACCCAGUUGAUGGUUGACUUCCACGGGGGCAACAAGCUCGCGUGUCUGAGCUUGCCUAGCUUCGUGGAGUGUCUCGAAGAGCUUCUCAUAUUGCUCCUGGAGGACCUCAUUCCUCAUUGCUAUCUUGUUGUUCUGAGCUUCCAACUCAUCGACUUUAGCUUGAAGAAGAACUCGUUUUCCUUCCUUCUUUCGUUGUUUCGCACUAUGUGCAAGGGGGGUGUCAUUCUGUGUGCUGUGGCUUCCUUCGCUUCCCAUGUUGGAGAGGGAUGCCUGGUCAAAAGAAAGUGUACGAAUGAUAGAAACCAGCUUGACACAGCUGAAGAGAGUAGGAAUAAGUGUCGUUUCCCACAGACGGCGCCAAAUGUUGAUUAUCAAAAUCAGCGAAGACUUUGGUACAACAGAAAGUGUCAGGUUUUGUGACCUUCGCUUGGUUGCUUCGGUCACUAGUGAGGAUAAAUACGUAAAUAAAUAGAGACAGAGAAGCAAACACAGGAUGUACGUGGUUCACCCAGAUUGGCUACGUCCACGGAGUAGAGGAGUUCUUAUUAGUAGUGAAGGGCUUACACAAGUACAAAGGAUCAAGCUCUCAAUUUAGUGAGUUCUUGUGAAUGAUUUAACACAAAAUGGCAUUAGGCAAUAUUGUGGGGGAAUGACCCCUAUUUAUAGAAAAACUUGUAGCUUUGUCACAUUGACAUGUGUCAUGUUAUGAUUGGUUCUUGAUGUUGACACGUGAUGCGCUCUGAUUGGCUUCUAAUCCUGACACGUGUCGAGUAGUGAUUGGCCUCCUGGUCGGAGGGGAACUCUUCUGGGUCCUUGACAGUAUAGCGUUGGCCGGUGCUCGGUAGUUUCGGGAUUGGUCAAGUAUGGUACAAACAAGUUGUACUUAGUACAUUUGAUGGGCAAUCAUAUUUUAGUUGGUUCCGUUGAGUGGUCCGGAAUCCUUUUUGGUGUCUUGGUUCCGUUGAGAGGUCCGGAACCCGAUGCUGAUGGAUUUCGUUGAGGGGUCCGAAAUUGCAUCAUUUGAUUCAUUUAAGACAGCUUCAGCAAUGUAGACUUAUGUCGAAUUGUGUCGCUCUAACCCGGCAUUCCGAUGAAUUGUAUGUGUUAUUGAUGAUAUGGUGAUUGGCAUUAUUGAUUGAUGUGAUAAUUGGAUGGUAAUGGAAUGCAUAUGUGAGGAUGAAUGACGUUAUGAGUAGAGAUUAUUAUUGUGCUUUGUUAAAUGUUCCUUAAGGUGCUACAUAAUUGAAUUGUGGUAUUAUGUUGAGACCUAGUGGUCUAUGUGACGAAUGUUCGAUAGUAGUGAAAUGUGAACUACGAAUGACUUGAUCCCUGUUGAGGGUACGUAGGUAGUCUAACGAGGAGGUUAGAUGCAGUCAUAAAAUACACAAAAAUUACAACGAAAUUCGAAUAUUGAAUUAUGCUUUGUAAAUAUUUCGGGCGGGAUAUGUGAGAUAUACGGGUUUUUAAUGACGUCACGUGCUGAUCUUGGACGUAUGUCGGGAUCAGGGCGUGACAAAAUGAGUUUUAUGAAAUGAAAUGGCAUGCCAAUUAUAUUUAUAUUAAGAAUGUGCAUAUGUGAUUAUAUAUGUUGUGAUUCGAUGCUAUGGGCGCUCAGGUAAGUUUCAAGUAAGUUUAUGUGUUGAGUUUAAGGUGUGGAAAAAUGAUGAUUGUUGAGAUGUGUUGAGAGCUCAUUAACCUGCACCCGGGUGUUAGUGCUCCUGCCCAUGGUUAGGGGCACAGUCUUUCACGUGAUGUUUACCUCCCGUAGCACACGCUCAUCUUGGAUCCAAGUUAGGUGCACAAUCCUGUUGUAUAGACCACUUUCAGUGGGUUCGACUCGUUGGUGACCUGCAAUCAUUCGCACAGUCUUCACGUGAUUGUAGCAUUAGAGCAUAUUUGUUUUACACCCAGUCAUGUCGUAUAGACCACUAUAGGUGGGUUCGACUCGUGUGCAGACAUGAUUUAUGAGAUAGAAUUCAGUUGAUUUGAUAUUCUCACAUGUUAUCACUCCUUGGGGUACUUACCUUGUUAUUUGAGAUGAUUGGCAUGGUAUAUUCACGUUUUGACUUUGGAUUUUGAUAUUGCUGGAUAUGUUGAGAUUACGAGUAUAUGUAUAUGCUAUUUGCUGGGAAAUUAUACAGGUUUUACAGAGAGGGGUUAUACUUUUGAGAAAUGAAAUGAUUUUGAAAAGUUUUGUUUUUUGCCCACUCACGCGUUUUGUUUUGCGCCCCUCUAGGUUUUAGGUAGCGUUGUUGGUGGCUUACGAGUUUUCAGCGGAGGUUCUGACAGACCAUCACUUAUGUAGAAUCACCUUUGGGUGUUGUUAUUUAGUACUUUUAUGCUUGACUGCACUUAGGCUAGUUAAGCUCUGAUUGUGUAUUCACACUUAAUUUCCACUCUUGCAUCUUAGUCUUGUCUAGUACUAUCAGGAUUUGGUUUCUAUUCAAUUGUAUUUCUCUAUAUUAAUCUUGCUUCCGCACUGUGCAUAUGGCUACGUCACCCUCACGUGACGGUUAGCAUGUCUCGAUCUUGGUCGGGGUGUGUCAUCAAGUCACCUUUUAACUUCUAUUAUGUUGAUUUUUGUCUGUAGGUACACAAAAAUAUGCAGAUUUGGCUUUCAAAUUGAGAGGCCUAAGGACAAUCUCUGUUCAUAGAAAAAAAAGUUGGACAUAGAAGGCAUGGGUAUGGGAACAUGAUUGGUUGUUAUAUUGCUUUGGGACGUUUUGAUAUUUUAGAGAUUAAUGAGUUUGUGGAGAUUUUGUUUUUCACAUCUUGCUUUGUAUUUGAACUUAAGCACUAUAACUGAACUUACUUUAAAAUUAUAGGACUUCAAAACGCGACCGCGGUUAGGAUUAGAAAGGGCCAAGUAUAUAUGUUGAGAAACUAGGCAUUGCAAGCAUAUAAAUUCCAAUUUUAUUAUUGCUAAACCAUAUAUCAAAUGUAGUUAGGAAUUAAAUUAAGUACAAACUACAUGGGGAUGGAGAAAGUUAUGUAUAGGUGAGAGCCUAAAAAUACUUGAGAAUCAAAUACUGCACAAAUUUGUGAUAAGUUAGAUGAGUAAAGAUCGCCUUUUGUCAAGCAGUUUUUGACUUUUCUGCAUUCUUUUAUAUAGUUUUUUCUUUUUUUCUUCCUAUUUUGUCAGAUUAGAUAGAUAGGGGCGCUAAUAAAAAAAAAGAAAGAAAGUAUUUUUGCAUUUUGCUGCACGUGAUGAUGUUGAUGAUAUACAAUAUUCAAUGACUAAACCCUAUUCCCUAUACUAUAGCAAAAAAUGAAGCAUAAUUAUACAAUAGCUACACACAAAACAUUGAAAGUAUACAUGCGUGCAGUAAGAAUGAAUGGUAAAAAUGCCAUGUUCCUUUUAACAUUGCGAAUUACCGAGCUUUAUGGAGGGAGUAUAAAUACGAAUGCUCUUGGUGGUCUUCAUCUAAUUUCUUAUUAGUAUCAUCUCGAUGUUUUGGAACUUUUGACAGCCCUCUCACCGAACAUAUAAUUUUUAGGGGCGCGCAGCGCUCGUAAUUAAAAAAACGCGCAUGCGGAGAGGCUGGUAUAUACUAAAGUCCUACGCCCAAAAAUGCUGUUCAUAAGAGCAGUGUAAAGACGCAAAUACCCCUCCUCAACUGAUCUUUUCCUUCCUAUAUUUCAUGAGGCUACAGUAAAAAGACGAAAAACCAUGUUGCACACGUGGCGUGCUAGCGAGAUUUCUCUCUUCCACCGCUUCCUUCCUCUGCAGUCUACACCUCUUGCGUUUUUGCCUUUCCUCUCCAGCUGUCGGCCAUCACAGAGUCUUAUGGCAUCUUCCCGUUCUUUUCGCUGUUUUUCCUUCGGUUGCUUUUCACUUCUUUUCCUCUAAUUUGACUUCGUUUGUUUUGUGUUAUGUGGUUUUUAUUGAUUUUCAAUGUGUAUUGAUUGAUACUAACAAUUACAAGAUGAAACUUAUAUAUAGGGAAAGAAAGAUGACAUAAGCCUAACUUGCCUAACUUGCCUAACUUACACAAAGAAAGUUGACUAGCCUAACUUCACUAGUCAUCCAAUACAAUUGUUCCAACAUGUUUAUUUCAUGCAUUUUAACACUCCCCCUCAAGUUGGAGUGUGGAUGUCAAUGAUACCCAACUUGCUAAGUAAGACCUCAAAUUGCGCCGAGCUUAGUGGUUUGGUGAACAAAUCUGCAGGUUGAUUCGAGGUUCGUAUGUAAGCUGUUUGCACCAUUCCCAUCUGAAUCUUCUCACGUACUAAGUGACAGUCGAUCUCUAUAUGCUUCGUUCGUUCAUGAAACACUGGGUUCGAAGCAAUGUGCAUGGCAUCUUGAUUAUCACAAAACAAUGUGACUGGUUGUGCAUGAUUCACUCGUAAGUCCUUCAAAAGGUUUCUUAGCCAUAUAACUUCACAACAGGUGAUAGCCAUAGAACGAUAUUCUGCCUCUGCACUAGAACGAGAUACUGUGCUUUGCUUCUUUGUUUUCCAAGAUAUCGGUGCUUGCCCAAGGAAGAUACAAUAACCGGUUAUUGACCUUCUAGUGUCUUUACACCGAGCCCAAUCAGCAUCACAAAAAGCUUGUAAUUGUAGUGAACCUGUAGAAGGCAAAAGAAUUCCCUGGCCAGGAGAUUGUUUGAUGUAUCUGAGAACCUUAUACACUGCAUCAAGGUGUGGUUGUCGCGGCUUGUCCAUGAAUUGGCUUAACAUAUUAACCACGUAAGUCAGGUCAGGCCUCAUGAUGGUUAAGUAAAUUAGCCUCCCUACGAGUCUCCUAUAUGAAGAAGGAUCAUGUAGGAGCGUCCCUUCAGUUUAUGUAAGGGACAAGUUUGGUUCCAUGGGCAAUCGUGAGGGCUUCGCACCAAGGAACCCAACAUCUUCUAGUAUCUCCAACGCAUAUUUGCGUUGGCACAAGGCAAUCCCUUGUUUAGAUCUUGCAACUUCUAUCCCCAAAAAAUAUUUGAUUUUUCCCAAAUCCUUUAGCUUAAAAUGUUGGGAAAUGAAGAGUUUAGUCUCUUCAAUUUCUCUCAAAUUGUUACCUGCAAGUAUUACGUCAUCAACAUACACAAGUAAUGCCAUGAAACUGCCUUGAUUGAUGAAAACCAGCAGUCUUGAGAGCACUAGACAGCUUAAUAAACCACUGUCUUGAGGCCUGUUUUAAACCAUAAAUGGAUUUGUGUAAUUUGCAUAGUUGUGUCUCCCCCUUUCGUCCGAACCCAGGAGGUAUAUAAACCUCAUCGUAUAAGUCACCAUGCAAAAAUGCGUUGUUUACAUCAAGUUGGUGAAGAUGCCAACCACAGAUGAAGGCAAUACUGAGGAGGACAUGGACGGUGGUGAGCUUGGCAACUGGAGCAAAUGUUUCCCGAUAAUCAAGCCCUUCAAUUUGACUAUAGCCUUUAGCAACGAGACGGGCUUUGUAGCGUUCAACACUGCCGUCAAGUUUAAGCUUCACCUUAUAGAUCCAUUUGCAGCCUAUGGGAUGUUUGUGAGGUGGUAAGGGCACAAGAGUCCAAGUGCGAUUGUCAUGGAGGGCAUCAAUCUCUUUUUGCAUGGCGUCACGCCAUUUUGGAUCCUGAACAGCCUGCGAAAAACUGGUGGGUUCUUUGAUAAUGGUGAGGGUGGUGAGAAAGGUUUUGUGAGGGGGGAUACAUGGUCAUAGGAUAAAUAACGAGAUAGGGAGUGAGAUGUACCUGAGGACUGAACCAUGCUUGUGGAAGAUGUGGGUGCAACACGGGAUGGGAGGGCCACCUCAACAUGAAAGUCUUGCAAAAAUAUGGAAGUUUUGGUUGGUCGAGUGCUAGGACGGAGUGCAGGGGUUGGAUCUGGUGAUGGAGUGGUUGGAGGUGGGGAAGAGUGUAGGGUAGGUGAAGGUGUUGAUAAGGUAUCUGGUGGUGGAGUUGUAGAGGGUAAAGGAGAUGAGGGUGGUGUGAUGUCGGCAAGUGUGGGAGAUGUGGUGUUUAUGUCUGCUGGUGCAAGGCUUGAAUGCGACUCAAUGGGAGAGGUCGAGUCAAACGGGAUAGGUGUAGUGUUUGAUGGAGACGGGGCAACGGAAGUGUUACAAUGUUGGAAUGGAAAAUGAUCUUCAAAAAAUACGACAUCCCUAGAAACAAAAGUCUUAUUGUGUUUUAUAUCAAACAAUUUAUAACCCUUUUGACCAUAAGGAUACCCAAGAAAAAUGCAUUGGAUUGCACGAGGGUCAAAUUUAGAGGGCCUUUGGGCAUGUGUAGAAGCAAAACACAAGCUACCGAAAACCUUCAAAUGAGAAUAGUUAGGUGCUUUGUGAAACAGUUUUUCGUAUGGUGUUUUACCUUGGAGAAGUGGAGUGGGUGUUCUAUUGAUGAGGUAGGCUGAGGUUAGGAUUGCAUCUCCCCAAAAACAUUUUGGCAGACAAGCUUGAAAGAGCAAAGCCCGAGCAACAUUGAGCAAGUGCCGGUGUUUACGUUCGGCAACACCAUUUUGUUGUGGUGUGUUGACUCAACUAGAUUGAUGUAUGAUGCCUUUGAGAGCAUAAAAUUGCUCAAGUUUAAACUCAGGGCCAUUGUCACUUCGUAUGAUUUGAACUCUGGUAUUGAAUUGAGUCUCAAUCAUUUGAAUGAAUUUGACUAAAAUGUCUUUUGUGUCAGAUUUAUGUUUCAUCAAAUGAACCCAAGUGCUUCUAGUGUAGUCAUCUACGAUGGUAAGGAAAUACUUGGCACCUGAAAUAGAAGCAACUUGAUAACCACCCUAAAUAUCAAUAUGCAAUAAUUCAAAACAUGAUUUGGUAGAAAUAGAGCUCAAAGGAAAGGGUGAUCGUGUUUGUUUGGCCAAUGGGCAAAUUGAACAUUUUUCCAAAUCACAAGCUUUAUUGUUAAAGAAAGGUAAUAACGAAGUGGCUUUAUGAGAUGGGUGUCCUAGGCGUUGGUGCCAAAGCUUUGGUGCGAUGGUUUGAAUAUUGUUGCAUGUUCUUUUCCUUGAUGAGUCGAGGUAGUAGAGUCCAUCCCUUUCAGUUCCCAUCCCAAUCAUCUUCCCCGAGCGAAGGUUCUGAAUGACACAAAAUUGGGUGAAGAAAAUUGUGACAUAUAAGGAAUCAUAGGCUAGUUUACUGAUGGAUAUUAAAUUUAAUUUAAAGAAUGGCACACAUAGGACAUUGUCAAGGAUAAGAUUAUGAGAGAAAACAACUUGUCCAAUGUGAGUGACUUUGGCAACGGAACCAUUUGGCAGUUCAACUGUAUGAUUUUCAACAGCUCGUGAGUGUGUAAAGAGACUAGGGUUGAAAGUUCUUCAUGACUAGAAGGAUUACCGACUUGAUUGGCAAAUGAUGAUUUGUUCUUGUUCAACAUUUGAAGGAUUUGCUUGCAAUCCUCCUGAGAGAACGGGAAAUUGGGCAACAUCUCUUGCUUGUUACUUUGUGAAACUUGAUUCCCUUUUGAAGAAAAAGGACGACUGCUUUCCGUUUCUGUGGCUGCUUUUCGUUUUCGACAGAAAUCGAAGGUGUGACCUUUCCAUCCACAAAAAGUGCACUUGAGAUGUGCACGACAGUUUUUGGUGAUGUGAUUUGUUCUAUUGCACUUUCCACAUCGCAUCUCUUUGUCUUCCGGUGUAGGUUCUUGCGACAAAUUCUUCACUCCAAAGACAACAGCCUCUGGUUGUGUACUCUUCCCAUUGGAAACCUCUGCCUGGCGUUCAUGUCGAAGGACCAACGCAUAUGCCUUGUUCACCGUAGGCUGUGGUUCAAGAAGAAGGGUAUUGCUUCGAACCGUAGCAUACGAUUCGUUCAAUCCCAUAAGGAACUUCAUGGUUUUCUGAGUUUCAACAUAUGAGUUCAUCUCAUUCUUUGUUCCACAACUGCAUGCUGGAAUGGAACACAAAGUAUCACGUUCAUCCCAUAAACUUUUAAGUUUAGUGCAGUAAGAACUUACACUCAUAUUGCUUUAGACGCAAUCAUGGAUCUCGUUCUUAACAUGGAACAGCUGAACUAUAUUCACAUGUGAGAACCUCUCCUGCAGAUCGGUCCACAUUUGUCGAGCAUCCUUGUAGUUGAUGACACUCCUUGAAAUCUCCUUUGACAUGGAGCCUAGUAGCCAUGUCUUGACCAAGUUGUUGCAGCGAUUCCAUUGUUGCAACUCCUCAGAAUUGUCCUCACUUGGUUUGUUGAUUGUCCCAUCAACAAAACCAAGUUUGUUCUUGACCGUUAAGGCCAUACUCAUGGAUUGAACCCAUGUGCUGUAGUUGUCUUCCACCAAUGGUUGUGGUACGAGGAUUGCACCAGGUUGGUCCGAGUGGUGGAGAUAGAGUGGGUGGUUGGGAUUUUCCCAUUUUGAAUGAGAAGCCAUGCCUGGAAUGGUUGACCUCAUGACUGCCUUAGAGCUUGUGUUUUGUGGUUUUCCCAGAUCACAGCUCUGAUACCAUAUUGAUUUUCAAUGUGUAUUGAUUGAUACUAACAAUUACAAGAUGAAACUUAUAUAUAGGGAAAGAAAGAGGACAUAAGCCUAACUUGCCUAACUUGCCUAACUUACACAAAGAAAGUUGACUAGCCUAACUUCACUAGUCAUCCAAUACAAUUGUUCCAAUACAAUUGUUCCAACAUGUUUAUUUCAUGCAUUUUAACAGUUUUGGUUUCGUUUGCUCUCUUUCCCUUCUUCUCUGUUGGUUUCUGUUGCUUCUCCAUCAGUUCACCCAAACCACCGCUUGCUUCUCCACCAGUUCACCCAAAUCCGACGAAGGGCGCCACAACAAACGUGCCAAUCUUCCUGCACCACCGGUCUCCGCAACGUUUUCCAAAACCCGCUUGACCGAAGGUAAGCGAAUUUGGUGUUCUGGAUUAUAUCGGAAUUGAAAUAGGUUUGGUUUCAUUAACUUUUUGGGUUAAUAAAUUUGUAUGCUCUGAUUCUUUUGAAUUUGAGUUUGGAUUGGAAUUUAAUUUUGAUUUACAAAUCUCUGAUAAAACCUCAACAAGAAACUUAAACCCUCAGCAAGAAACUUAAACCCAAUGCAUCAUCCUAUUAAUUCCAACAUCUCCUCAAUAAGUAUUCUAAGAUAUAAAUAUUACAAUUCUGGUGAUCAUAGAAAAAUGCAUAUUUGAGUGAUCAUGGAACACUGUUAGUAGCUACACAUAUCAUAAUAAUUUAGGAUAUGGACGUUAAAUUAUCUUAAACUGCAGAAUGUGGCUUUUACAUUGUUAUAUGGAAUUUCCCCUAGGAAGAAAUAGCAUUGAACUUAUAGGAUGGAUACAUAAAUAGCCUAUGUACGCAUUACAAAAUGAUUUAGUUGUUUGGGAUUAAACAAAGUUUGGUUUUUCAUGGUGAGUUCUCAACUGGGUUUUACUUAUUUUUUUGCCUCCGAUAUAAGUUUUAGAUGCUUUUCUUUGUUUUUCGCUAAUUUUUAAAUUUAUUUUUUUUACUAUUUAGUGUGAGAAAAUGGCUUCAAAAUUGGAUUUCCAAUGUCUGGGCAGAGGAAAACAGGAAGAGAACACCAAUGGUGGUUACGAAGGAGAAUCCCUUCUUUGCGGUGGAAAUUGACGGUCCAUGUGCAACAUUCAACCCAGUUUAUAAGAGCAGGGGUCAAUAUGAAGAACCAAUGACAUGGGGUUUUGUUUAAUUUUAUUAAGUUUUGUACUGAGGUAAAAUUCUCCCCAUUUAACAUAGUUUUAAAUGUUGAUUAGUAUAUGUGUAAAUAGGAUUGUGAGUAUGGUUGUAUAUGUAGUAGUAGAAUUGAAAACAUUGUUGUAAUUAUGUGUAAGUAGAGUUGUAAACCCGACGCAUCGCGCGGGCCUUUUUGCUUGUUACCCCUAAACGUUACAAAAAUCCCAAAAAUUAAAAGGAAACUAAAAAAAAUUAGAAUUUACCCAUAGUUUCGCGAAUCCCAGCCGGAUGAACUGGUGGCAGUUGUAAGAGCGGAUCUCCAGCUCCGAACCUCUUCUAUUUCAGCGUUAGAAUCAUGGUCGUGCUGAUCAAAAGCUUUCGCGAAACUUCCCUUUAGUUUACGACAUCAGACGGAUCAACUUCAUAGAAAAUGGGGAGUACAAUCUGUUUAUUGGUAUCCUCGCAUUCCAGGAUUUGCACGAGUUCUUUCAAGCACCAAGUGGAAGAAGCAUAGUUUUGAGAGAAAACUACAAUCGAAAUCCUUGACUCUCGAAUGGCUGACAGGAGCUUGGAAAGGCGGUCGCCUUUUCUGAGGUCUUCGGCAUCAAUGAAGGCGUUGAUUGGUUUCUGACGCAGGGCUUUGUAGAGAUGGCUGACGAAGCCCCUGCGAGUGUCUUCCCCUCUGAAAUUGAUGAACACAUCGUAUUUCCAACCAAGGCCAGAAGAAGAAGAAGAAGCAGCCAUUAAUCGAUCGAGCAGCUAAGUCCUAGAGUAAUGUAAGAACAGAAAUACUCGAUUGAUCAAUAAAUUGAAUCACAGAAAAAACUGGUCUGAUCGAUACGAAGUCAACGAGGACAGAAAAUUAUGCUUUAUGUGUUUUCACAUCUUCUUCCGGGAAAUUUAACGAAAAUAAUUUUCUUGCCGGCAAAAUUGACUUCAAAAUAUAAAAAUAUUCUUCCAGGUAUGGACAUAUGAAGUUUCAGUGUGAAACGAAUCUGCAUACUUUGGUUUGGUUUUGACCCAAGAAAAUGCUAAGAAAGGAUGGUUUAGCAGCUUUGCAUGAGGGGACUGGGUCAAAGUACUCUGUUGAAUCUGCCCUUGCCUACCCAACAACUUCUUUGUAAGUCGGAAAUAAAUCCCGAUCUUCCUAUUCACACGAAAAAUGAGUGGGGUGACAGGAAAUAUUUCUUGUUAAAUGUAAGCAUCUCACACAUGUGGUAUAUUCAAAGGUAUUGAGGCGACAAACGAGCGAUUAAUAGUUUGGCUUUUAAUUUGAUGUCACGGUAGUAACGGUACUUACUAUGAAAUCUUUGAUAUAUUUGCUUUUAGCUACAAAACAACUAAAACUCCACAAAUUGCUUAUGAAAAUAAAAAAUAUUGACAAGAUUUGAACUUGUAUUAUCUACAUCUUCACUACACAUUGUUGCUCCGCUCGUGUUCUGAAGUUGACAAUAGCUAGAAGGUCACAGCAAGAAGCAGAGGAGGCUAACUGUUACAGAAAAUUUGUUUAUUCAAAGCAUUAAUAAAAACACAUUGAAAUUAAUUCACGCAAAAAAUAAAUAAUACAGUGAAGGAUUUACAGUGGUGGCAGCCACACUUCAAAAAUAGGGCGUCUCACCCUGUGGAGAAAGCAUUUUUUGCUAUGAAUAAAAAUUCCACUGCGUAACAAAACAGGAGAUUAAUGAUUGAGUGAUAGCUGAGUUGUUUGCAAUGAGAGAGAUGUUUUUACUUUUAUUGAUAAGGAGUCUACAUAUGCGAUGUUCUCAUAGUAUAAAACUUCGCCGACAACAAUUAUAACUUGUUUGUGUUGAUAAAUUUUGAAUGACAUUAAUAUUGUCUAAUAUCUAAAAGAAUUUGGAUGGCUACAUUUUUUUUUUUUGGAAAACCUUUUAACCUUAUAAAUUGCGGGCUUCUUCCGACAAUUCCUAACUUCGUCACUGCUUCAGUCAACUCGAAGUCCUAGUGGUUCUUGUCCAUGAUAUCAAUAUCCCUACAAUAAACGGUGACUUCAAUAUGAGCUACACUCAGUCUAACAAAAAGUUUGUAUAGAGAAGAUAUGCAUGAAAAAAUGGCAAUGGUUGUGUUUGUGUUGCUGAACGAAUGAUACUGAAAUACCUAAACCCAAGUCAAGCUCCUUUAGUCCACGAAAACAAAAGUUUAGAAUACAAUAAUGUUUGCAUAUAGACUAGAGAAACGACAUACCGCAGGCCAGGAAGGUGCAGUGAAAGAGAGAGGAAGAGAGGAAAAGAGGAAAGAAACAAACAUGAAAUGACAAAGACUAUCAAAUAGAUUAUAACAAUGACUUCUUAGCGAUGGUUACAACUAUUUAACUAUCGAUAAUGCAUUAUUUUAGUUUGAAACGUGGAAGCAUUUGAGAAGUAGCAUGUCAACAACCAUUACACAAUAAUAUUGUCUAAUAUCUAAAAGAAUUUGGAAGUCUACAUUUUUUGGAACCUUUUACCCUUAUAAAUUUUGCGCCUCUCCUGACAAUUUCUAGUUUCGUCGUUGCUUCAGUCAACUCCAAGUUCUAGUGGUUCUUGUCUAUGAUAUCAAUAGCCCCACCGUAAAUGGUGACUUCAGUAUAAGCUACACUUAGUAUAAGUGUAUGGGGGACAUAUAUGUAUGAAAAAAUGGCAGUGGUUGUAUCUGUGUUGACUAACGGAUGGUACUGGAAUACCUAAACCCAAGUCAAGCUCCUUCAGUCCACAAAAAUCAAAAGUUUAUAAUAUAAUAAUGUUUGCAUAUAGACUUGAGAAAAGACAUACCGCCAGCCGGGAAGGUGCAAUGAACAAGAGAGGAAAAGAGGAAAUAAACGAACAAGAAAGGACAAAGACUAUCCAAUAGAUUAUAACAAUGACUUCUUAGUAGUGAAGUGAUUAAGCUAUUCCACUAUUAAUAAUGCAUUAUUCUUAGAUUGAAAUGGUUCAGAAAUUUAAAAGCCAGAAUUGACUUAUAUAAAAUCAAUUUUUAAUUGGGUAGAUGUAAUUUGUAAAACAAAAAUGUUUAUAAAAAAAAAUUUCUCUUGAAAAUGUAUUCUGGUGCCAGGAUUUAAACCUGGAUGAAAACUCUUAACCGUAAGACUUUUUGUAGUGAGCAACACUGGACUAGUUGAUAGACUAUGAUGAAAUAAACCAUUUAAAUGUACUCCUUACGUUAUGCAGUGCGCAUACUGGAUAAACAAUUAGUGCACAUAAUGUGGUUAUCUGAUUUGUGGGGAAUGGUGAUGCUCACCGCUGACUUUUGGUUUACUGACAGGCUCUCAAAGUUAAAUAUAUCAGAUUUUGUUUGACAUUCGUAACAUAUUUUAAUAUUUUCACCACAACAACAACAACAACAACAAAGUCUUUUCCCACUAAGUGGGGUCGGCUAUAUGAAUCCUAGAACGCCAUUGCGCUCGGUUUUGUGUCAUGUCCUCUGUUAGAUCCAAGUACUCUAAGUCUUUUCUUAGAGUCUCUUCUAAAGUUUUCCUAGGUCUUCCUCUACUCCUUCGGCCUUGAACCUCUGUCUCGUAGUCACAUCUUCGAACCGGAGCGUCAAUAGGCCUUCUUUGCACAUGUCCAAAUCACCGGAACCGAUUUUCUCUCAUCUUUCCUUCAAUUUCGGCUACUCCUACUUUACCUCGGAUAUCCUCAUUCCCAAUCUUAUCCUUUCUCGUGUGCCCACACAUCCCACGAAGCAUCCUCAUCUCCACUACACCCAUUUUGUGUACGUGUUGAUGUUUCACCGCCCAACAUUCUGUGCCAUACAACAUCGCUGGCCUUAUUGUCGUCCUAUAAAAUUUUCCCUUGAGCUUCAGUGGCUUACGACGGUCACACAACACGCCGGAUGCACUCUUACACUUCAUCCAUCCAGCUUGUAUUCUAUGGUUGAGAUCUCCAUCUAAUUCUCCGUUCUCUUGCAAGAUAGAUCCUAGGUAGCGAAAACGGUCGCUUUUUGUGAUCUUCGCUAGAUUACUCCGGUCAUUAGCGUGGAUAAGUAUAUAAAUGGAUAGAGAUAGGAAAGCAAACACAAGAUGUACGUGGUUCACCCAGAUUGGCUACAUCCACGGAAUAGAGGAGUUCUCAUUAAUUGUGAAGGGUUUACACAAGUACAUAGGUUCAAGCUCUCCUUUAGUGAGUACAAGUGAAUGAUUUAGUACAAAUGACAUUAUGAAAUAUUGUGGGAGAAUGAUCUCGUAAUCAUGAAACUUCUAAGUAUCGGAGUGUGGUAUCGUCUUGACUUGCCUUAUCUGUCUCAUAGGUAGAUGUGGCAUCUUCUCUGGAAGUACUCUUCCUCCAUCCAUGGGUGGUAUCUUUAACUGGUGGAGAUGCAUAAGGUAAUGUAUCAAUUUCACUUGAAGCUUACUUGUAGUUUCAGGCUUGGUCAAGCGCGAUACAAACCAUGUAGUAGGAGUCCCCCAAGUCGCCGAGCUAGGGGAUUUGCUGAAAGAGGUGACAGACAAGGUAAGCAAUCAGAGCUCCGGCUGAUUGUUCACAUUCUCCCUAUCUUGCAGGCAGCAUGAAGGAUAAAGAGAAGAAAAAAUGAGAAGAGAUGAUAUGGGAUACUUUUGCUUUUGAAGAAGUAACUUUCCACAGGCUUAUUCUUGAACUGAAGCUGGAGGGUUUUCUGGUUUCCUCCAGAGUAUAAGGCCGACUGAAGAAUUUGAGGGUCAAAACAAGUCCAUCAAAUCUAGAGUACGUUCGACCCUGCUGAUAUGGGAUACUUUUGCUUUUGACAGAGUAAUGGAUGUAUCGGCACGUGUGCUGUUACGCUUGUCUCUCCACAUGCUUCCUUGUAUCCUUCUCACUUGCCCUAUCUGUUCCUCAAGGCAAGAUGCGGUAUCUUCCCUGGAAGCAUAAGAUGUUGAAGAUGAGUACUCGAGAGCAAUGCCAGGUAAGUAAUCAGGUAAGGGGUUCCAGGCAGUCAGUUCCUAGCUGGAAGCUUGAUUCCAAGUGCUGACUGAUUGCUCUCUUUCUCCUUGUCUUGCAGGUAAAGAACAAGGCCAAAGGAAAAGACAGGGAAAAAGCAUGAUAUGGGAUAUACUCUUGCUUUUUAACCCUGAUGAUAUGAGAUAUUCUUGCUCUAGUAUAGCUUGUUUGUAGAGGUAUUAUCGGGGGGAAAGAAAGCUGAAUAUUUCGAAAGGCUUCGUUGGGAGUGCCCUCUCAGAUAUGAGAAAGGGUUGAGCAUUUUUGCAGGUCUGCCUGUCCGUUGGGGAUGGAGGUCGACAUAUAUAGGAGUCUCCCUAAUAACAAGUAGUAAUGUUAUUCCUUUACCCUGCUUGGUCAUAGCACGAUAGUUGGAGCUGCCAGCUUCACAUGUUUUAACUCUGUCAGAGCACUUUGAAAAAGUGGUCUGUGGUAUCUGGAAAGCUGAUGUUGCGUGUGAAGAUUACAGACAAGCUUUACCCAAGGAGAUUUGGUUCUUGAAGUUGGGAAAAUGGUGCCUUUUCGGUUUUCGAACAAGCAAUCCUAUCGGGGAUCUGGCUCUCGAGAUUUGGAGAACGAUGCCUCUUCGAUUUUUGAGAAAGCAAUCAUGCUGGGGGUCUAGCUCUCGAGAUUCGGAGAGCGGUGUCUCUUCGAUUUUUGAGAAAGUAAUCAUGUUGGGAGUCUGGCUCUCGAGAUUCGGAGGACGGUGCCUCUUCGAUUUUGGAGCAAGCAAUCUUGUUGAGAAUGUUUUCUCGAAUGUGAGUAAAGGUUGGGCAUGUUUGCUAGUCUACCUUGCCACGAAGCACAGAGGUUGACACACAGGGACUUUCCAAUUAUCCAGCAAUGGUACUGUUCCUUUACCCUCUUUUCGAUUUUUGAGAAAGUAGGCAUGUUGGGAGUCUGGCUCUCGAGAUUCGGAGGACGGUGCCUCUUCGAUUUUGGAGCAAGCAAUCUUGUAAUCUUGUUGGGAGUGUUUUCUCGAAUGUGAGUAAAGGUUGGGCAUGUUUGCUAGUCUACCUUGCCACGAAGCACAGAGGUUGACACACAGGGACUUUCCAAUUAUCCAGCAGUGGUACUGUUCCUUUACCCUCGUGGGUAAUAAUAUGGUAGCUAGACCUUCAAAAUUUAUGUGUCUAAACUUUGUUAGUGUUGUUUCUUUGCUAUUCUUUUACCCUUCUUGGUCAGAGCGAUGUAGUGGGAGCUGCAAGCUUCACGUGCUCAACUUUGGCAGAGAACUUUGGUAAAGUUAUCUGUGGUACCCAUGAGCUACUGUUGCGUGUGGGAAGUGGGUGAUUGAACAGUAAGAUUCAUGUGCCUUCUACUUCACCAGAAGUCUUCGACAUAAUGCCCAUAAUUUCCGCAAAGCUGAGUGUGCGUGUGACAGGUGCUGACAAGGCUGGAAAAGUAGGUGCCUCUUUGAUUUCUGAGAUCGACCCUCAUGGUCUCUGAGCAGCCCAGCUUUUGAGAAAGCAAGCGCCUCUUCGAUUUCUGAGAUCGGCCUUCGUGGUCUUUGAGCAACCCAGCUUUUGAGAAAGCAAACGCCUCUUCGGUUUCUGAGAUCAACCCUCGUGGUCUCUGAGAGUAAAGGUUGGGCAUGUUUGCUAGUCUACCUUGCCAUGAAGCACAUAGGUUGACACAUUCGGAGAGCGGUGUCUCUUCGAUUUUUGAGAAAGUAGUCAUGUUGGGAGUCUGGCUCUCGAGAUUCGGAGGACGGUGCCUCUUCGAUUUUGGAGCAAGCAAUCUUAUUGGGAGUGUUUUCUCAAAUGUGAGUAAAGGUUGGGCAUGUUUGCUAGUCUACCUUGCCACGAAGCACAGAGGUUGACACACAGGGACUUUCCAAUUAUCCAGCAGUGGUACUGUUCCUUUACCCUUAUGGGUAAUAAUAUGGUAGCUAGACCUUCAAAAUUUAUGUGUCUAAACUUUGUUAGUACUAUUUCUUUGCUAUUCUUUUACCCUUCUUGGUCAGAGCGAUGUAGUGGGAGCUGCAAGCUUCACGUGCUCAACUUUGGCAGAGAACUUUGGCAAAGUUAUCUGUGGUACCCAUGAGCUACUGUUGCGUGUGGGAAAUGGGUGAUUGAACAGUAAGAUUCAUGUGCUUUCUACUUCACCAGAAGUCUUCGACAGAAUGCCCAUAAUUUUCGCAAAGCUGAGUGUGCAUGUGACAGGUGCUGACAAGGUUGGAAAGGUAGGUGCCUCUUCGAUUUCUGAGAUCGGCCCUCGUGGUCUCUGAGCAGCCCAGCUUUUGAGAAAGCAAGCGCCUCUUCGAUUUCUGAGAUCAGCCUUCGUGGUCUUUGAGCAGCCCAGCUUUUGAAAAAGCAAACGCCUCUUCGAUUUCUGAGAUCAACCCUCGUGGUCUCUGAGCAGCCCAGCUUUUGAGAAAGCAAACGCCUCUUCGAUUUUUGAAGCUCCGUCGAGUGUAUAUUUUUAUAGGGGCUGGCAUUAAGUUCCAAAGCACACUUGAAUCUCCACCAGUAGAAGCUCCAUUCUUGUACUUCUAAGAUCUUGAUUUGUCCGACUUCUUCUCUCUUCAACACCUUUGAAAAUGUCUGGCCCCUCCGACCGUCGUUUUGACUUGAACCUUGUUGAAGAUGCAGCCCCGCCUUCUCAAGACAACAUAUGGCGCCCAUCCUUCGUCUCCCCUACUGGUCCUCUUACCGUUGGGGAUUCCGUGAUGAAGAAUGAUAUGACCGUUGCGGUGGUGGCCAGGAACCUUCUCACUCCCAAAGAUAACAGACUACUUUCCAAACGGUCUGAUGAGUUAGCUGUUAAGGAUUCUCUGGCUCUCAGUGUUCAGUAUGCAAGUUCUGUGUCUAAUAUGGCCCAACACCUAUUUGCUCGAACCCGUCAAGUUGAAUCAUUGGCGGCUGAAGUGAUGAGUCUCAAACAGGAGAUUAGAGGGCUCAAGCAUGAGAAUAAACAGUUGCACCGGCUCGCACAUGACUAUGCUACAAACAUGAAGAUGAAGCUUGACCAGAUGAAGGAAUCUGAUGGUCAGGUUUUACUUGAUCAUCAGAGAUUUGUGGGUUUGUUCCAAAGGCAUUUAUUGCCUUCGUCUUCUGGGGCUGUAUCGCGUAAUGAAGCUCUAAAUGAUCAACCUCUGAUGCCUCCUCCUUCUAGGGUUCUGUCCAGUACUGAGGCUCCGAAUGAUCCCCCUCCGGUGCCUUCUCUUUCUGGGGCUCUACCGACUGCUGAGACUUCUCCUAAGCAACCUUUGUGAAGGCUCCCUCUUGUUUGUUUAUUUUGACUCAUGUAUAUGUAUGUGUAGCUUAUCGGGGAUAUCAAUAAAUAAGCUUUCCUUCAUUUCAACAUAUUGUGUUAAAUACACCAAAGCCUUCUUCGCUAAGUUCUUUGAAUUUUCUUUUGUUGAAGCUUGUAUGUUGAAACUUUGUGAGUGGAUCAUGUAGGUUAAGGUAGUGUUCCCUUAUUUUCAUCAAUAUUGAUAUUUUAAACAAUGACAAUUCUUAGAAUACUGGAAUUCAUGUCAUUUUCAUAAACAAAUAAAUGGUUAAGAAAUGUAUAUAUUAGAAAAUUAAGAGCCAGAUUUAACUAAUAUUAAAUCGAUUUUAAAUCGGGUAGUAAAACAAAAUUAGGAAUCUGUGUCCUUUUCAUAAAUAAAUAAAUGGUUACAAAAUUUAUAUAUCAUAAAUUUAAAAGCCAGAAUUGACUUAUAUAAAAUCGAUUUUUAAUUGGGUAGAUGUAAUUUGUAAAACAAAAAUGUUUAAAAAACAAUUCUCUUAAAAAUGGUAUUCUGGUGCCAGGAUUCGAACCUGGAUGAAAACUCUUAACCGUAAGACUUUUUGUAGUGAGCAACAUCAGAUGAGUUGAUAGAUUAUGUAACGCCCCGCGCCCGAAAUAUUUAUUUUCAUAAAAUAAUUCCAAUGAUAAGCCUAAAUUAAAUUUUUUAUUUACAUUACAACCAAUAAUCACGAUUCCUUAUUUAAUUUUCUUAAUCCCUCACAAAAACUAUAACCCAUAAUUAACUUACCAAAACAUACGAUUAAAUUUUCAUAAUUUGUCACCAACUUCUACUCUUAAAACAACUUCCCAACUAAAGAUUAAAUCUCAAUUAUUAAGGCUACAUCUAACUCUUGUUAGACUGCCUACAUACCCUUUAGCGGGAUCAAGGCUUUCGUAGUUCAUAAAUCCGUUUAAAUCCAUUCUUAUAGCCGUUUCUGAAAAUAUUCUAGAAUUGGAAAUAUUCAACAUUAGCUUUCACAAUCGAAUCACAUCAAAUGAUUACCAAUUAUGGAUUUAAAUUGUCUAAAUUAGUAUUAAAAGGCAGCGUCGGCCCACUGGCCACGCGCCACCACGGGUGGCGAUCUCCAGUGAUCGGAAACCCCAAUUUCCGACAAACUCUACAAAUUACCAAAUUUUAUAGGGUUGUAGAGUUCAAUUAUAGGAACAACUUUCAUACUUGGGACGAAGUCCAAUUCGGCCAAGAAAAGCCCCAAUUUCACUCAAUUCCGUCUGAACCCUAGAAUUUGGGUGUCCUCAAUUAGUCAUCUCCCGUGCCCCGCCGCCCCAAACAAGGCUUGGUAGAUGUUCCUGGGUUCACAAGGAGUCUAACCAUGGUGGUAGUCAAUGGUGGUGGCUUCACAAACGGGAGAUCGCAGAAACGGACCCAUCGCACCCACCAAUGUAGGUUUCACUAAAUUAAAGCAUAUUUCCAUCGAAAUUGGGAUGGAAUUGGUGAAGGUAUCAAUUGGUAUCGAAGGGAGGGUUAUUUUUGGCACCGUUCCCAUCAUCAACGAUGGUCGGAAUAAAAAACAAUGGUCAGGUCGGGUCGGCGGGUUGAAGGAAGGUCUGGUUCCCUUCUCUCCUUUCCCUCCCUACCUCCCCCUCUGGUUGGUCCGUGUCUCUCGCCUUCUCUCCUUCCCUUUCCAUCACAGCCACACACGUGGCUUCUCAGAUCCUUGCUCCAGCAAAUCUGGAGCCUUUUAGAUAUUGGUCAAAUGACCAUUUUACUCCUAACUUCAAUUGUUAAUAACUUCUUCGUUAUAACUCCGUUUCAUGAACGGUUUUCGUCUACAUGUUCGUAGGGCCAUCCUUUAUCCAAAUAUAUCAAGAAAUCCGAUAAAAUAUAUGAGGAUAAAAUACAUCCUUGUAUAAUUACGUCAAACUAGUUAGGGCAUUUUCUUCUUUUCUACUUAACGAUAAAUUUUACUACGUAAAUUAUAAAAUUUCCGGAAACAAAACUUUAAAAGUUCACAAUUUUUUUUUCUUUCAUAACCAUAAAUUGAUUUAUUGUCGAUUUUUCUUCACAUAUUCAUAUAUUUAAAUUUUCAGGGUAUUACAGAUUAUGACAAAAUAAACCAUUUAAAUGUUCUCCUUACGUUAUGCAUUGCGCAUAUUGGAUAAACAAUUAGUGCACAUAAUGUGGUUAUCUGAUUUGUGGGGAAAGGUGAUGCUCACCGCUGACUUUUGGUUUAGAGACAGGCUCUCAAACUUAAAUAUAUCAGAUUUUGUUUGACAUUCGUAACAUAUUUUAAUAUUUUCACCGUUAUUGAUAUUUUAAACAAUGACAAUUCUUAGAAUACUGGAAUUCAUGUCCUUUUCAAUUUUCAUAAACAAAUAAAUGGUUAAGAAAUGUAUAUAUUAGAAAAUUAAGAGCUAGAAUUGACUAAUAUUAAAUCGAUUUUAAAUCGGGUAGUAAAACAAAAUUAGGAAUCCAUGUCCUUUUCAUAAAUAAAUAAAUGGUUAAGAAAUUUAUAUAUCAGAAAUUUAAAAACCAAAAUUGACUUAUAUAAAAUCGAUUUUUAAAUGGGUAGAUGUAAUUUGUAAAACAAUUUUUUUUUUAAAUAAUUCUCUUAUAAAUGGUAUUCCGGUGCCACGAUUCAAACCUGGAUGAAAACUCUUAACCGUAAAACUUUUUGUAUUGAGCAACACCGAACGAGUUGAUAGAUUAUGACGAAAUAAAAACAUAAUAAUUUCUUUCAAACUUAGUGAAUAACCUUCAGAAAAUAAAAACACCGAACGAGUUCAUAGAUUAUGACAAAUUAGUGGAUAAACACCUUCAGAAAAUAAAAACACCGAACGAGUUCAGCGGUGAGCAUCACCAUUCCCCACAAAUCAGAUAACCACAUUAUGCGCACAAAGAAUCAAUCAAAACAUAAUAAUUGAAUGAACGAGGAUUUCUUUCAUUUUUUCCAAAUUUUCUGAAGGUUUUUUCUAUAAGAACUUUUCUCUGACCAAUGCUUUCUAACAUUUCAUCAUUUUUUUUUAAAUUACACAAAUUCUUUGCAUACAUUGUUGUUAAAAAGAAAAUUUCUAUUAUUAAGGAGAGAGUUCGAAACUAUUGAAUUAUGGAAGAUGGACUUUUGAACUCGAGACACGGGUAGAAACCUAACACCUAUCCACUAGGACAUUAGAUCACCAGAGGUGGUCCUGGUUUUUUGGUGCCGACUGCCCAUGAACACUCAAAAUGUGCUUUUUUCCAGUACAACAUAAAUUAAACUGAAAGAUUUAAAAAGGGCUGGAGCCAGUCGAAGCUGUUGGGACAUUCUUCCAAAGAGGGAGAUGAAAUCGUUGAGGCUCUUACAGAUCCCACGUCACUGUCUUCAUUCAGCAGUUUUCCUCCAUCUACAUCAACAACUGCACGUUGCUCAAGAAGGUACUUCUAAAAAUUGAAAGUCAAACGAUAAAUUAUUAAGAAACAUUGAAUAUAAGCAUGAAACAAAGAAAAUGUUACGGAAUGGUGAUCCUCAUCCUCAAAGAUGAUUAAAAGCAAUUUGAUUCAAAAAUGACAUAUCAACUCUGGAGAAAUGGAAGACAAACAUGUGGUACCAUAUUCGCAACAGAGGUUAUGAAAGCUGAAAUCGAUUGUUCCUGUGUGCAUUGAUAAGUAAGACUACCGUAGAGAUUCACAACUAAGUAAAGACAGGUAUUCCACAGAACAACCCUGACCUCUUUGGAAACACAGAUCUAACAAAAACUAAAACAUUUUGGAUUAAUAUUGACUAAUCAAGAAUAAUGCAAGGGAGCAAAAGAGAUACUCUUCCUUCUAAUAACAAGAAGGCAUAAAAAGUAUACAGAGUUCCAACAAUUAGAGAACUUAAAUCAAACUAAAAAAAUCACCAAAGUAGACAGAAUUUCACUUCGCCAAAAAUUUGAAAAUAUAUCCUUUUUAUCCACUGAGAAUCAUAAACUACUACUACUACAUCAUGCCAAUAAGCAAUGCGUAAGAGGUGCUACAAUUUACCAAUAUAUUUACCCUGAGAACAAGUUUUGAAAUCAUCUCUAGUGUUAACAGCACCUUGCGUCCUUGGGUAAGCUGAGUCCUAGUAUCAAGUAAAGAGACCAAUCAGUACAUAUCCAAAAGAUCUUAAAUGCUUGUAAUACCAAAUAAGAAAGAAACAUGAGUAUAUCUUGAGUUAACCAUGCAAAAAUGUAAUGUUAAGGCAUCUUGUCAUACAGACCUCUUCAAGGUACCAGAAAUUUUUGCACUAAAGAUGUCACAAGCGGCUGAUAUGAAGCUGCAUUUUCUGUGAGUUGAGAUUUUGUCAAUAUAAUCGAUCACCUGAAGAGAGAGAGAGAGAGAGAGAGAGAGAGAGAGAGAAAGACAGUGAUAUCCAGAGAUGUGAGCCUAAAGGCUGAGUGUGUAAAAAAUAAGAUUAAAUGGAUAGCAAGAAUAUACAACUUUAAUGCCGAAAAGAACAUUAUAUGAUGCUCAUUCAUCAUUGCCAUUGAACGUGUACCUUCUUCUUUUCCUCUUUCUCAAAAGGAAGUAGACCCUUGAAGACUUGCCUAUAUGAUCCAUCAUCACAACCAGGCAAAGUCAUUUUAAUCAUAGCAACAAUGGCUCUAACUACCUGCCAUAAGAAACAUGCUACAUCAACAAGAUCACAGAGUGUACCAGAAACCGUAAUGUAGCAAAAUCUUAGAUAGAAUAGCUGGCCAAAAGGGAAUGGAAAAGCAAGCACAAAAAACAAUGAAAAGGACCAGUGAUGCCAAAAUUCAGGUGUUUAUAACUUUAAGUUCUACGUAGCAAAAACCACCUUAUGCACAACAAUAUUGGAAAAAUUAGAUACAUACAACUGAGAAGAUAGGUUUUCAUAAUCUGGACAAGUGCUAACUACCUUCUUCCUAUAAACUGCCACUCCAUGAACAUUAAAUGGUAUUUUCGUUUCACGCAAGGCUGUCUGGAAGACUUUUCCUGAUACCUGUAGUAUAAAAUACAAAAGAAAAUGUGACCAAAAUGUCUUAUAUGAUUCACCUCAUUCACAUUAGCACUAGGGCAAGCAAGCUUGACCUGCCUCCGGUAAAGGAUUGCUAUAUUUCCAUAGGAGCACCCUGCUUCUGACAGUUAGAUGCAGUCUCCAGGAUCUUGUCGACAACAAAGGCGCAUUAUGCAUCCUCAUUGUGACUUUCCUUGAUAAUUACCUACAUUUUGCCAGUAAAACCAGUGUCACUAACUAAAAAGACUGAAAAAUGACAUCAAAUUGUACUUGUUGGAGCAAGGAAAGAUUAGGUACAUUAGACCCAGAAGAAUUGUCGGUGUCAACAUUCUUUAGUUGGCAUCACUUCUUAUUGUUUUUUAUAACAGAAGAUGCAGCUUCCACAAUAUAGCGUGUGGACCGAUAGUUUUUAUUAAGCCUAAUCUGAACCAUAAAGUUAUGUCAAAUCCCACAGAACCCCAUAAAAUAAAACUUACUUUCCUGUAAUUAUACAAUAUAUUUGUUCUAUACUAUAUAUAAUGAAAAAAGACACUGAAUGACAUAAGAUAAACAUAGCAGUUAAGUGCGAAGGAACCUCUUUGUAAUUUGAAAAAUCUUUACAAAAAGAAUCAAAUCCAGAACUGUCCGCCCCGUUGAAACUGAAAAUGGACUGCAGCAGGAUAUAUGUUAUUUGAUUUAGAACAGAUAAGGGCUGGAUUAGAAUGAGCUGAGAGAGAGAGAGAGGGAGAGAGGGAGCAAUAAGAUUGGAUUUCCAUAAUAAAUCAACAACAUGCCUGAUCAUCAUCACCAACAAUGGUUAUGUGGUUAUGAGAGGCGAGAAUCCGCAAAAGACUAUACUGCAUAGCACUUGUGUCUUGAAACUCGUCUAUUACAAUAGCUUUCCAUGACUCCUGGCACUCCUCCGACACUAAUUAAGAGAACACCAUGUAUCAACAUUUAGCAUUACUUGUAAAACUAGAUAAAUCAAUUUAAUAUACUUAGAUGAUAGAGACCUUCAGGAAAAUCACUUAGCAGCUAAUUAAGUCAUGGUAGUCCAAAGCGUUGCACGAUUCCUAAGAAUUUCACCCUGAUUCAGAUUGAGAUCUAAAACUCAUAAGCAAUAGUUUCAGAGAACUGAAAUGAUAACUGAAAUUCUAGAACUGAAAUGAUAACUGAACAACAACAAAAACAACAACAAAGCCUUUUCCCACUAAGUGGGGUCGGCUAUAUGAAUCCUAGAACGCCAUUGCGCUCGGUUUUGUGUCAUGUCCUCCGUUAGAUCCAAGUACUCUAAGUCUUUUCUUAGAGUCUCUUCCAAAGUUUUCCUAGGUCUUCCUCUACCCCUUCGGCCUUGAACCUCUGUCCCGUAGUCACAUCUUCGAACCGGAGCGUCAGUAGGCCUUCUUUGCACAUGUCCAAAUCACCGGAACCGAUUUUCUCUCAUCUUUCCUUCAAUUUCGGCUACUACUACUUUACCUCGGAUAUCCUCAUUCCCAAUCUUAUCCUUUCUCGUGUGCCCACACAUCCCACGAAGCAUCCUCAUCUCCGCUACACCCAUUUUGUGUACGUGUUGAUGCUUCACCGCCCAACAUUCUGUGCCAUACAACAUCGCUGGCCUUAUUGCCGUCCUAUAAAAUUUUCCCUUGAGCUUCAGUGGCCUACGACGGUCACACAACACGCCGGAUGCACUCUUACACUUCAUCCAUCCAGCUUGUACUCUAUGGUUGAGAUCUCCAUUUAAUUCUCCGUUCUCUUGCAAGAUAGAUCCUAGGUAGCGGAAACGGUCGCUUUUUGUGAUCUUCGCUAGAUUGCUCCGGUCAUUAGUGUGGAAUGGAUAGUGAUAGGAAAGCAAACACAAGAUGUACGUGGUUCACCCAGAUUGGCUACGUCCACGGAAUAGAGUUCUCAUUAAUUGUGGAGGGUUUACACAAGUACAUAGGUUCAAGCUCUCCUUUAGUGAGUACAAGUGAAUAAUUUAGUACAAAUGACAUUAGGAAAUAUUGUGGGAGAAUGAUCUCGUAAUCACGAAACUUCUAAGUAUCGGAGUGUGGUAUCGUCUUGACUCGCCUUAUCUGUCUCAUAGGUAGAUGUGGCAUCUUCUCUGGAAGUACUCUUCCUCCAUCCAGAGGUGGUAUCUUUAACUGGUGGAGAUGCAGAAGGUAAUGUAUCAAUUUCACUUGAAGCUUACUUGUAGUUUCAGGCUUGGUCAAGCGCGAUACAAACCAUGUAGUAGGAGUCCCCCAAGUCGCCGAGCUAGGGGAUCUGCUGAAAGAGGUGACAGACAAGGUAAGCAAUCAGAGCUCCGGCUGAUUGUUCACAUUCUCCCUAUCUUGCAGGCAGCAUGAAGGAUAAAGAGAAGAAAAAUGAGAAAAGAUGAUAUGGGAUACUUUUGCUUUUGAAGAAGUAACUUUCCACAGGCUUAUUCUUGAACUGAGCUGGAGGGUUUUCUGGUUUCCUCCAGAGUAUAAGGCCGACUGAAGAAUUUGAGGGUCAAAACAAGUCCAUCAAAUCUAGAGUACGUUCGACCCUGCUGAUAUAGGAUACUUUUGCUUUUGACAGAGUAAUGGAUGUAUCGGCACGUGUGCUGUUACGCUUGUCUCCACAUGCUUCCUUGUAUCCUUCUCACUUGCCCUAUCUGUUCCUCAGGCAGAUGCGAUAUCUUCCCUGGAAGCAUAAGAUGUUGAAGAUGAGUACUCGAGAGCAAUGCCAGGUAAGUAAUCAGGUAAGGGGUUCCAGGCAAUCAGUUCCUAGCUGGAAGCUUGAUUCCAAGUGCUGAUUGAUUGCUCUCUUUCUCCUUGUCUUGCAGGUAAGAACAAGGUCAAAGGAAAAGACAGGGAAAAAGCAUGAUAUGGGAUACUCUUGCUUUUUAACCCUGAUGAUAUGAGAUAUUCUUGCUCUAGUAUAGCUUGUUUGCAGAGGUAUUAUCGGGGGGAAAGAAAGCUGAAUAUUUCGAAAGGCUUCGUUGGGAAUGCCCUCUCAGAUAUGAGGAAGGGUUGAGCAUUUUUGCAGGUCUGCCUGUCCGUUGGGGAUGGAGGUCGACAUAUAUAGGAGUCUCCCUAACAACAAGUAGUAAUGCUAUUCCUUUAACCUGCUUGGUCAUAGCACGGUAGUUGGAGCUGCCAGCUUCACAUGUUUUAACUUUGUCAGAGCACUUUGAAAAAGUUGUCUGUGGUAUCUGGAAAGCUGAUGUUGCAUGUGAAGAUUACAGACAAGCUUUAUCCAAGGAGAUCCGGCUCUUGAAGUUGGGAAAAUUGUGCCUCUUCGGUUUUCGAACAAGCAAUCCUAUCGGGGAUCUGGCUCUCGAGAUUCGGAGAACGAUGUCACUUCGAUUUUUGAGAAAGCAAUCAUGCUGGGGGUCUGGCUCUCGAGAUUCGAAGAGCGGUCUCUUCGAUUUUUGAGAAAGUAAUCAUGUUGGGAGUCUGGCUCUCGAGAUUCGGAGGACGGUGCCUCUUCGAUUUUGGAGCAAGCAAUCUUGUUGGGAGUGUUUUCUCGAAUGUGAGUAAAGGUUGGGCAUGUUUGUUAGUCUACCUUGCCACGAAGCAUAGAGGUUGACACACAGGGACUUUCCAAUUAUCCAGCAAUGGUACUGUUCCUUUACCCUCUCUUCGAUUUUUGAGAAAGUAGUCAUGUUGGGAGUCUGGCUCUCGAGAUUCGGAAGACGGUGCCUGUUCGAUUUUGGAGCAAGCAAUCUUGUAAUCUUGUUGGGAGUGUUUUCUCGAAUGUGAGUAAAGGUUGGGCAUGUUUGCUAGUCUACCUUGCCACGAAGCACAGAGGUUGACACACAGGGACUUUCCAAUUAUCCAGCAGUGGUACUAUUCCUUUACCCUUGUGGGUAAUAAUAUGGUAGCUAGACCUUCAAAAUUUAUGCGUCUAAACUUUUAGUUGUGUUUUCUUUGCUAUUCUUUUACCCUUCUUGGUCAAAGCGAUGUAGUGGGAGCUGCAAGCUUCACGUGCUCAACUUUGGCAGAGAACUUUGGCAAAGUUAUCUGUGGUACCCAUGAGCUACUGUUGCGUGUGGGAAGUGGGUGAUUGAACAGUAAGAUUCAUGUGCUUUCUACUUCACCAGAAUGCCCAUAAUUUCCGCAAAGCUGAGUGUGCGUGUGACAGGUGCUGACAAGGCUGGAAAAGUAGGUGCCUCUUCGAUUUCUGAGAUCGGCCCUCAUGGUCUCUGAGCAGCCCAGCUUUUGAGAAAGCAAGUGCCUCUUCGAUUUCUGAGAUCGGCCUUCGUGGUCUUUGAGCAUCCCAACUUUUGAGAAAGAAAACGCCUCUUCGAUUUCUGAGAUCAACCCUCGUGGUCUCUGAGAGUAAAGGUUGGACAAGUUUGCUAGUCUACCUUGCCAUGAAGCACAGAGGUUGACACACAGGGAAUUUCCAAUUAUCCAGCAAUGGUACUGUUCCUUUACCCUUAUGGGUAAUAAUAUGGUAGCUAGACCUUCAAAAUUUAUGUGUCUAAACUUUGUUAGUGCUGUUUCUUUGCUAUUCUUUUACCCUUCUUGGUCAGAACGAUGUAGUGGGAGCUGCAAGCUUCACGUGCUCAACUUUGGCAGAGAACUUUGGCAAAGUUAUCUGUGGUACCCAUGCGCUACUGUUGCGUGUGGGAAGUGGGUGAUUGAACAGUAAGAUUCAUGUGCUUUCUACUUCACCAGAAGUCUUCGACAAAAUGCCCAUAAUUUCCACAAAGCUGAGUGUGCGUGUAAUAGGUGCUGACAAGGCUGGAAAAGUAGGUGCCUCUUCGAUUUCUGAGAUCGGCCCUCGUGGUCUCUGAGCAGCCCAUCUUUUGAGAAAGCAAGCGUCUCUUUGAUUUCUGAGAUCGGCCUUCGUGGUCUUUGAACAGCCCAGCUUUUGAGAAAGCAAACUUCUCUUCGAUUUCUGAGAUCAACCCUCGUGGUCUCUGAGCAGCUCAGCUUUUGAGAAAGCAAACGCCUCUUCGAUUUUUGAGCAGACGCCUCUUCGAUUUCUGAAGCUCCGUCGAGUGCAGAUUUUUAUAGGGGCUGACAUUAAGUUCCAAAGCACACUUGAAUCUCCACCAGUAGAAGCUCCAUUCUUGCACUUCUAAGAUCUUGAUUUGUCCGACCUCUUCUCUCUUCAACACCUUUGAAAAUGUCUAGCCCCUCCGACCGUCGUUUUGACUUGAACCUUGUUGAAGAGGCAGCCCCGCCUUCUCCAGACAACAUAUGGCGCCCAUCCUUCGUCUCCCCUACUGGUCCUCUUACCGUUGGGGAUUCCGUGAUAAAGAAUAAUAUGACCGCUGCGGUGGUGGCCAGGAACCUUCUCACUCCCAAAGAUAACAGACUACUUUCCAAACGAUCUGAUGAGUUAGCUGUUAAGGAUUCUCUGGCUCUCAGUGUUCAGUGUGCAGGUUCUGUGUCUAAUAUGGCCCAACGCCUAUUUGCUCGAACCCGUUAAGUUGAAUCAUUGGCGGCUGAAGUGAUGAGUCUCAAACAGGAGAUUAGAGGGCUCAAGCAUGAGAAUAAACAGUUGCACCGGCUCGCACAUGACUAUGCUACAAACAUGAAGAGGAAGCUUGACCAGAUGAAGGAAUCUGAUGGUCAGGUUUUACUUGAUCAUCAAAGAUUUGUGGGUUUGUUCCAAAGGCAUUUAUUGCCUUCGUCUUCUGGGGCGGUACCGCGUAAUGAAGCUCCAAAUGAUCAACCUCUGAUGCCUCCUCCUUCUAGGGUUCUAUCCAGUACUGAGGCUCCGAAUGAUCCCCCUCCGGUGCCUUCUCUUUCUGGGGCUCUACCGACUGCGAGACUUGUCCUAAGCAACCUUUGUGAAGGCUCCCUCUAGUUUGUUUAUUUUGACUCAUGUAUAUGUACAUAUUUGUAGCCUAUCAGGGAUAUCAAUAAAUAAGUUUUCCUUCAUUUCAACAUAUUGUGUUAAAUACACCAAAGCCUUCUUCGCUAAGUUCUUUGAAUUUUCUUUUGUUGAAGCUUGUAUGUUGAAGCUUUGUGAGUGGAGCAUGUAGGUUGAGGUAGUGUUCCUUUAAUUUCCCGAGUGAGGAAAACUUCUCGGUUGGAGACUUGAAAAAUCCAAGUCACUGAGUGGGAUCGGCUAUAUGAAUCUUAGAACGCCAUUGUGCUCGGUCCCGUGUCAUGUCCUUCGUUAGAUCCAAGUACUCUUAAGUCUUUUCUUAGAGUCUCUUCCAAAGUUUUCCUAGGUCUUCCUCUACCACUUCGGCCCUGAACCUCUGUCCCAUAGUCGCAUCUUCUAAUCGGAGCGUCAGUAGGCCUUCUUUGCACAUGUCCAAACCACCAUAACCGAUUUUCUCUCAUCUUUCCUUCAAUUUCGGCUACUCCUACUUUACCCCGGAUAUCCUCAUUCCUAAUCUUAUCCUUUCUCGUGUGCUCACACAUCCAACGAAGCAUCCUCAUCUCCGCUACACCCAUUUUGUGUACGUGUUGAUGUUUCACCGCCCAACAUUCUGUGCCAUACAGCAUCGCCGGCCUUAUUGCAGUCCUAUAAAAUUUUCCCUUGAGCUUCAGUGGCAUACGGCGGUCACAUAACACGCCGAAUGCACUCUUCCACUUCAUCCAUCCAGCUUGUAUUCUAUGGUUGAUAUCUCCAUCUAAUUCUCCGUUCUUUUGCAAGAUAGAUCCUAGGUAACGAAAACGAUCGCUCUUUGGUAUUUCUUGAUCUCCGAUCCUCACCCCUAACUCGUUUUGGCCUCCAUUUGCACUGAACUUGCACUCCAUAUAUUCUGUCUUUGAUCGGCUUAGGCGAAGACCUUUAGAUUCCAACGCUUCUCUCCAAAGGUUAAGCUUUGCAUUUACCCCUUCCUGAGUUUCAUCUAUCAACACUAUAUCGUCUGCGAAAAGCAUACACCAAAGAAUAUCAUCUUGAAUAUGUCCUGUUAACUCAUCCAUUACCAACGCAAAAAGGUAAGGACUUAAGGAUGAGCCUUGAUGUAAUCCUACAGUUAUGGGAAAGCUUUCGGUUUGUCUUUCAUGAGUUCUUACAGCAGUCUUUGCUCCUUCAUACAUAUCUUUUAUAGCUUGGAUAUAUGCUACUCGUACUCCUUUCUUCUCUAAAAUCCUCCAAAGAAUGUCUCUUGGGACCCUAUCAUACGCUUUUUCCAAAUCUAUAAAGACCAUGUGUAAAUCCUUUUUCCCAUCUCUAUAUCUUUCCAUCAAUCUUCGUAAGAGAUAGAUUGCCUCCAUGGUUGAGCGCCCUGGCAUGAACCCGAAUUGGUUGUCCGAAACCCGUGUCUCUUGCCUCAAUCUAUGCUCAAUGACUCUCUCUCAGAGCUUCAUUGUAUGACUCAUUAACUUAAUACCCCUAUAGUUCAUGUAAUUUUGUACGUCGCCCUUAUUCUUGUAGAUAGGCACCAAAAUGCUCGUUCGCCACUCAUUUGGCAUCUUCUUCGUUUUCAAAAUCCUAUUGAAAAGGUCAGUGAGCCAUGUUAUACCUGUCUCUUCCAAAACUUUCCACACUUCGAUUGGUAUAUCGUUUGGGCCUAUUGCUUUUCUAUGUUUCAUCUUCUUCAAAGCUACAACUACUUGGAAAAAGCGUAUCAUACGCUCCCAAACAACUUUGAGUGGAAUCGUUCGAAAAGAAGUUUCUAUGGCCCCCUUGCUCAUUUAACACUGCAUCCGGAUGCUGAUGGAGAUACAGCGACCCUUGCUCACUUAUCACUGUGCUCGGGCCACACAGCGCGCCACUUACGGGUGACGCCCUAGAUUUAGCGCGAUUUCGUUCUGGAUUCAUUUUCAUAAGGAUUCGACGUGAUCAUGGAGUGCCGGCUGUCGACUACCUGACGCCCUCCCCCUCCUCCUUUAUCCGGGCUUGGGACCGGCAAUGUAAGAACAUAGGCGGAGUUAACUGAAAUGAUAACUGAAACAUAAAUAAAUUUAGAAUUCAAGACUAACCUGUGUAGCUAAUAUAUUCUAGCUUGAUUGUAGCUAAUAUUUUUUAAAUCGAAUGAAUGUUGUUCUUAAUCCACUAUAAUCUGAACAUUAAAUUUGGUAUUCAUGACUAACCUGUGUCACGAACUUUAGCCAUUUCUUUGAUGGAUCCUUAAAAUGAUGUGGAGAUGUUACGCCAUUACUCUUCCCCAUCUAUAGCAACAUUAAGAUUCGUUUUACUCUUUUCAUCUUCUGAUAACCGCACAGCUUCAAUGACUGCUCUUCUCUGUUGCCCAUGUCCAUAUAUAAAAAAUUCUGGUGUGCGCUCAAGUCUAAAACACAAGCCAACAUAACAGACUCAGCUAUACCACCAUAGGUAUGGUGUUCAAAAUCAAGGGAGGUGAAUCAAUAGCUUACUUCUCAGCAUGUGAUCGGCAAAGUUGCAAUGAAAAUGAAUGAAAUGUACUGAUUGUUAGUAGUUUUGCCGUUCCUUUCCCAGUCACAGAUCCAAUUCGAUCUCUCAUCUCGGAAGCUGCUGCUGUAGUGAAAGUCAUUGCUAGAAUGUUAGACGCGCUCAUGCCCUAAGAACACAAAAAAAAAAGGAAUAAGAUUUCGAUCAUAAACAAGAAAUGUAGAGAAACAGACAAUUAAGAAAGAAAAAGUUAGAGGGAAAGUGGCAACACCUCAUUGAGCAGCAUUAGAACCCGCCCAACCAUCGUUGAAGUCUUUCCACUUCCAGGGCCGGCAACAAUCAUCAAAGGUACUGAAAUAUCGCUGCAAGCUGCCUCCCGCUGCCUUUCGUUGAGAGAAAGCAAAUACUUCGAAUACUCAUCCGGCAUGUUAGGCAAUCCAUGGUUAACAGAAUCUGUUUGGUUUUCACUACUCAGAGGUGGCGCUGAUGCGGCAUUAACAUCGCUACCACAACUCCCAAUAUCAUCACGCUGAAUGUCCCCACUCGGUUUCUGCUCAAUUAAAGCGUCAAUUUCCUGCAAAAUACUCUCAUCGAAAUCAUCAUCCUCGAGAAUUCCAGACGCAGAGAAAGAAUCGAAUGAAGUCGGAAACUGCGGUUGUUUGAUUGGAAUUGUGAAAGAAUCCGAUUUUGACACGCUUGAUUCAGUCCGGCUAGCGCUUAAGCUCCCGGAACACGACGCACUGCCAUAUUCAGUCCGGCUUGUAGAAAUCGGAGGCGGUGUGUUCAUCGGUAGCUCGGCAAGAGGAGUUCUGUGAACUCUAUUGAGCUGAGCUGGCGUUUGGAUUCCAUUUCCGCCACAAAUUCUGGAAUUUGAAAAACACAAUUGAAUUGAUUUAAAUUGAAUCAAGAAAACAGCCGAGUACCAAAAAAGUAGUAAGAAGAUGAAAUCUUUGAUUCCUGAACGACUUACUUGGUAUGAGGGAGGUGAUGAUCAGUCAAAACGGCGUCGUUGCGGGGGCGUUUGCGAUCAAUGAGGGCCUUGGCGGCUCUGAAAUUCCCAGAGAUGCGGUUUCUUUUGAUAGGAUCACAGAUCUCAGGACCCUAUUCAACCUACAAGCAGCAAUAGAAAUGACAAAUGGAGAAGACGAAGUAGAAGGGAGCAGGGCUCCAAUAUAUUUUUUUGGUUUUGUAUUUCUGUUUGUAAAAUCUGAUCUGCUACAUUUGAGGGAGCUGGACUCCUUUUAUACAAACUCUACUUCUUAAAAUGCCAGCUGGCAUAUUUAACAAUUCUUAACAAAUCAAUUAAAGCAUAAAACCUCAGUAAUAAUUUGGGUCAUAACAAUACUUCCCCCUUGAAGAACAACCUUGUCCUCAAGGUUGAAAGUUGAAAAACUUAUUUGAACGAGUAGAAACUAGGAGUCUUGCAACAGAAGGGAAGCUGCAGGGACUGCAAAUACAAUCUGCAUGUAGCUCUCAACUUUUGGAGAUGAGCCUGACAGCACCCCUGUACUUGUUAUGGCAGCUCCCCACAACUUGGUAAGUGAGCACUUGUUACCCGUAGCCUCUUCAUAAAUUUCAACCCACGAUAUCAUUUCAACUUCCAUGCUAGUUGCCAAAAAGCAUGCAGCAUCAAAUGGAGAAAAUGGGCCAACUCCCAGGGAACCUGCCAGAGGAUCAUUCUCAACGAAUGCAGCUACUAAAGCAAUUGGACCCUUGCCAAGAAUUAUAACCUUAGAGAUGGUUAUGAGCCUGAUAUCCUCAAAAGCAAGACGAGCGGUCUGAUUGAUAAGAGACUGCCUAAGAUUAACUAUCCUCUUCUUAGGUCCAACACACCAUUCCUUGCUCCGAAUGUAGCCAUCCUUCAUCACACCAAACCGAGGGAAGCCACCCAUGGGAGUGAUGUCUUUCUCAGUCAUCUUCCCCUCAUGGAGGCACAUUUCAUAGUUUUUUUCAGUGAAACUAGGACCACCUAAUGUCGGAUUGUCAAAAAACUCCUGAAAUAAGCUGAUGGAUGGGAGCAGUCUAUAUUGGAUAUUGAAACUUGCAAUUCUUUCUGAAUCAUUGAAAUCACUGUACUUUAAACUGUCAUUAGCAACACCGAUAUUAUGCAUGGAAGAUUUAAAGGACCUGAGCAAACCCAAAGCUUCAACCAUGUCCUUCAUCACCUCUGUUAAGGUGUACAAUUGGCAUUUGAAUUCAUAUGAUGGCUCAAUAGUAUCAAGUUCCAAAAAUUUAAACAACUCAUUUUGCCAACUUACACUCACGGUAAGACAAACAUGCAAAAACCAUGCAAAGACAAAUAUGUUGGACAUCCUUUCUGAAGAACAGGCAAAGAAAUAACACCAACAGCAACCAAAUGAAAUAACACCAGCAGCAACCAAUACAUUGAUGUGUACCAUAUUGUCUAACAAAAUUACUUUAAGCUGAUGACUGACUUUGCAGAUACGUCCAUAAUCGUACAACCAUGCAUAAACACUAGCACCAUCAAAUCUUAGAUUUGGCCUGAAUACUAUUACCUCUUCACUACCAAAAGUGAGCAUCUGAAUACGUCUGCCGGUUUUCUUAUGAUGCAACUCCAGCUCUACCAACAUCCAUCUUUUACCAAUCACAUAAGAGAAAACAUAAUGACUUACACAAUGUUGCUCAGGUACAGUCAUAUAUGGUGUUGUCCGAGAUUUCCAUUGCUCCUUGAAAUGCAUUCCAUAAACCAAGAAAAAUAAGAUUGAAGUAGUAGUUGUUCCAUCCUCCUUGAAAGAGAUGAGAAUGCAGGGCCUCUCCAUCAACCAUAUUGUAUAAUUCCUCUGAUUGAAGACAACCCUUUGAGAAGAUAUAUUGUCACAAGGAUUAGUGAGAGUGUGACACCAACCCGGUUGCUGGAAAAUCUGGUCAUUCGCUACGCAAUUAGGAAAGAAAACAGUAUCGAGGUGUACAUCAACACUAUUACAUAAUUCCGGAUUCAAUUUCGAUAACAAGCUGGUGAGAAUAGAAUAGUCAAGCUGGGAAAUGGCCAUGACUGUUAAUGCACAUCUGUGUAACAGUGAUAAGCAGAGGAACUGCUUGAUAGCAUUGAUAUAACCCAAAGUCCCAUUCUCCUCAGUCAAACUAGCUGCAAGAUCUUUAGGCAAAGAACGACAAACAAGUACAACAAUAUCCAAAGCUUCCAGGUUGCUACUCAAUGACAUAUUCUCCAUAUUAUGCCUCUUAGACAUUUCAUCAAAUAGAUGCAAUGCAUAGAAAUUCUUCUUCACAAAUUUACCCACAAGGUACCAAUUAACCCAGCCAUACUUAGCAUUCAAAAAAACAUGAUAUACAAUCGCAUUAUGACCAGUAUAGCAUGCAAUUACACCAUACAAAAGCAAUACCUCAUGUCCACGUACCAUUCCUAACUCCCAUAGCCCACUAGGUAGCUGAUACCAAACAUGAAGUUUCUUCUUGAUGAAAUAUCCAAUGUUGUCAUCGUAAACCGACUGUGUAAUCUUCUCUCCCAGUCUCAUUCGACAAUCUUCCAGUGGCCUAAUUUUGGAGCCUCCACCCUUAUCCCGAAUGCCAUUGCAGUAGCACAUGUCACGAUUGAGAACAACAUAGCCACUUGAGUCUGGAAUUUCAUCAAACAGGUUCCAUGCACAAAAAUCCUCAGGUCCAUUUUUCGUAGUAUCAGAGAACGAGUGCUUAUGGAGUAGCCGCGGAGCAGAGGUCAUCGUCUUCGAUCCCGGAAGCAAAAUUGUAGCUGCAUCAGAGUUGUUCGAGUGUGGCUUCACGGGCGGAGUUGCCAGUGCUUGCAACAACGGUGAAGAUGAGAGUAACGGCGGAACGGAAUGGACUUCAAUUGGCGAUGGAAUUCUCGGUGGAUUGUCGUCUCCUUGAAGUCCGGGAUGAUCGAGAUUGAUUGAUUGAAUCGUUGGGGUAGGAUCGGAAACUUCCCCGACACCAAGAGUCAAGUGAUGGCGGAACAGAGCAAGGUCACGGCGGACUGCGGCGGCUAUUGAAUCUAUAGCCUUGUGGAAAGCCUCCUCCGUACGCCUGAAUGUUUUCCUUGGACAUUGCUUCGAAGAUUCCGACGGAAGAUUUGGCCUGACAGCCUGACCAGGCAACCCUAGAAAGAAGAAGGAGCGAAGAAGACCAAAUGUGUCCGUUUUUCCUUUGGUUUUUUUCCCUCCUAAUCGAGUUGUUCGAAAUAAUUGGGCCUGGGCCUAGUGGGCCCAAUUGUCAGGCCCAUUAUCUCCUGUCUUCUAGUUCUACUUCCAAUUUCCCAAGUUAACAACGUACUGGUUCGCUUUUAGCGCGAGAGAGAAAUGGAGGCCCUGAUUGCCUCGUACGGAGACUCGUCGUCGGACUCAGACUCCGAGUCGCCGGCUCCACCUCCACCGCCACCUCCGGAGCUCAAAAACUCUCAAGAAUCGACCACUGCGCUGCCUCCACCUCCUCUGUCACUUCUCGACAGCCCAAUUCCUUCGGUAACCUCUGAUUCCCAUAAAUAUUCUAUCUUUUAACUUUCUGUUGUGAUGGCUUUUUCCGAGUUGCCCACCAAGUGUUUGAUGUUUUGCCUCUAAAGGAUUUCUGGACUUCUCCCCAAGCGCCCAGCCGAGCAGAGUUCGGAACUUUCCUCACGUCGAAGGGAACUACGCAGUACAUGUAUACAUCCCAGGUAAUCAAAAUUCUCGAAAUUUUCAGCUCCAUUAGCAAAUGCGAUCCCUUUGCACUUAGAUUUUGCUUGUUUAAUUGUGUGGUUCCAGUUUAUAUACCACCAGCACCAAGGAAAGAGAUGGCCUUGUUUUUGAACAAGCUUGCUUCUCUGGUGCCUGGUCUCCACGCCGUUGACGUUGACGUCCCGCUUGACAUUCUGCGUAAGGACGAGCAUAAGCUUGAACAAGUUGCUUUAGGCAGAGAGUUCCAUAUAAGUCUCGGAAGAACUGUUCCGAUUCGGGUGCACCAGAUUAAUUCCUUGGUGACAAUGCUGCGGCAGAAGCUUCAGAUUCAGAGGCGGUAUGGUUGCAUUUACCUUCUCUUGUGUGCAUUGCGUGAAUUUAGUUCUGUUAUUUAACAUAAUUGUUUAAGCCUGCAGAUAUUUUGUCCAUUUUUGGUUUUUAACACAUUUGGUUAUUGUGGAACAGGUAUUGGAUUGAUUUUUGCAAGUAGGAGGUUUUUGUUAACGAUGAUCAGACCCGGACCUUUGUGUCGAUCGAAGUCAUUGCUGCUGGGUUAGCUGAGGUAUGAUUGCUAGCUUUCUCUCUUGGUGCAAUUCAAAAUGUUUUGAGUUGUUUAUGGACUUAAGAUUUAGCAAGUACUUGCCGAAGGUCAUGGGAUUUUGAAAUAUCGAUAUCUUGCUUAUAGAUUGUUUGGUCUUCGAUGCACUUGUUACCUGAAAAGUAAAAAUGUAAAAGAUCAUGAAAAGUCCAAACGAAACAUAAUGGAUGUAUGAUAUGCUCAUGCUUCUAACAUGUGUUGUCCUGGCAUAAAUUAUGUUCCAAAUACCGUCAUUUGCGUGUAAGCCUAUGAACUUAGAGCACGUUUGGUAUGCCGGGUAAGAUUGGAUUUGGUAUUUCAGACUGCUUAGGUUAGGAUUGGAUUGGGUAGGUUAGGUUUUUUGUCUAAUGUUUGGUGUAGACUGUCGCAACAACGCUCGUGAGCCUCCACAUCCAUUGCAAUCUUGCACCACUCUGAUGUCCUGGAGGAGCGAAACAUGGUUACUUGAAGCAUACCUGUUUUCGUAUUAAUACAUGGUUGAAUCAGCUUUCAUUGUCAAUCAGUCUGUAAUAUUUCAACUUCCAUUGAUUUCAGAUAACAAAGCAGAUUCAAGCUGUCAAUGAGGUGUAUAUGCUUCACAAUCUUCCUGAAUUUUACAAGGUUAGCAUUUCGUGUUUUUCAAACUUGAAUCACUUCCUGAACAUAUGACAAUAUAUUGGAGCAAAUGGUUGUGCAUGAAUACUACUCAUUGCUCAGAGGGUGUUGCUGAUCACAGGAUCCGCGUCCUCAUAUUUCGGUAGCUUAGGCAUUGGGUGACAUCAGCAAUUCCCUGAAGAAAGUGGUUGAAGAAGAAAGACGAAGAUCUACCAUCGGAGGAUCGUUACAGAAAUGUAUUUUUACCAGUAAAUUCAAUGGUAUCGAAUGUAGGAUUGGUAAUAAAACACACAAAAUAUGUAAAUUUUCUGAAGAAUAAUGUAGCCAUUUAACUAUAUUGUGAAAUUCCGAGAAUAUAUCGCUGAGCAUUGGAUGAGAAGACAUUUCUUCGUUGGUGUCGAACUUCAUGUUGAAGGUAUUGACACCAGUGUAAACGCCAUCAUCCAUGUUGAUGGUAAUUACUUCCCAGCUACUAAGGGUGUCGGAACAACCUUGCACGCAGCCUCCUGUGCAUUACUUAGUAUUGUCUCAGUUUCUCCAAACUUGAAUGCUCCUGUAAACCCACUUUUGACCUUUCCGUCAUCUGUGAUUACCGGAAUGCUGGCUAGGAUGUUGCCGUUGACCUCCCAAACUUAAAAUACCGGAAAGCCGGCUCCAAUGUAUGCGAGAGCUCCACCUCUAUUGUUGUAACAGCAUCUGAUGCGUACUAGUCCUUUAUUCCCGUUACUCUUUGCCAUCUCCACUUGGAACUUGGCGUAAUGGCUCCCGGCCUCCUCUCCGGUGAAAUUGAGCAACCCCGGAGCUGGCGUGCCAUCAAGAUUUCCGUCAUGUCUGUAGCGAAAGUAUUCGCUGUUGUGGUUUGGUUUCACCACUAUAAAUCUUGGCAGAGUUGGCAUUUUCAUUUCUGUUGUCUGUAUAUCUUGAUAUUACAAGUAUUUGUUGUGCAAUAUGCAUGCUAUGUUCAUGUUAUGCGUAUAUACAUAUAUAAGUGUUUUAACACUUUGCAAACGUUUUCUCCAAAAUUUUGAUUUUGGUGGUGUUCUAACUUUUGUGAAUGCUAAUAACAAUUCCCUCAUUAACUGUUAGGACGAGCAACAAAACAGUUUUGAUUCUGUGCACAAAGGCGAUCCCUCGUAAGAAAUUGAUUCUUCAACAGAAAGAUGUUUUAAAACAAAUUUGAAGGGAAGGAAAUAUUUGAAUCGCAUUCAGAUGUCUGGUCAAAUUCUUGAACAGUUGAUAUACACAGAAGUUCCUUGUUUAUGUCACUACUUAUGAGAGGAUGUACGCAUUGCAUUCGCAUCAAAAGAGAGAGAGAGAGAGAGAGAGAGAGAGAGAGAGAGAGAGAGAGAGAGAGAGAGAGAGAGAGAGAGAGAAGGUUGUCAGUGGUAAGGGAACGAAUAACGAUGGCGUUGCGCUUCUAAUCAAAGGGGUCGAUCCGAGGGUCGUGUUCACUUGCCAUCGCCAUUCCAGUGCAAAGGCAUGUAGGGCACAUUACCUGCCACAUUAAAAACGCGAUGUUAGAUAUACUCGCCAUUUGGAAGUCAACCCUCAAAAUUUGCUACUAAAUUAUCUUAAACUCCAUUUCCAGUCAAUUUUUUUUCUUCCGAAAUGUCUUUCACGUGCUUAGGGAUAGGCAAAUACCCAUUGGUUAUAGGUAAUCGCGGUUACUCGCCCAUUUAAAUUAAACAGUUACGGUUAUGGCUAACUGUUUAGAUAAAUAAACGGUUAUGGGUAUAACCGUUUACCCGUAAAAUUUAAAUGGAUGGUUAUGAGUAUUAACCAUGGUUAUAAACGAGUAACCGUUUACCCAUUUAUUUUAUAUAUGUAAAGCUAACACAAAUCAUGUUCUCCAUCCAAUAAUACUUAGCACCCAAUAAAUUAGCAAGGAAUUCAUCGAUCAUUCUCUCAAUAACACUACUACAUGAAUGAUGAUUCCCAUCAUCAAGGAAUUUGCCAAAUUAAUUUAAAUUCCUUGUGGGUAACCGUGAAAUUGACAGAAAUACUUUAACAAAAAUGUCUUCUAAACAAUUUUUGUAACCCAAUAAUACUUAGCAAAUAUUAUAUUUACCUUCAUUGGUAACAGUUAAAAAUAUCGUCCGUAAACUAUUAUUUCAAUUAUUGGAAUGGUAUAAAGACUUAAAAAAUUAAAAUAUAAAAAUGUAUGACGAAUGUACCUAUAACGGUGUUUAAUUGUCAAAAAAAAAAUUAUGACAAUUUUUUUUAAUUUUCAAGUUGUUAAAAAACAUGUAGACUGGUGAAAAAAAGGUAAUGGUAAAAAGAAAAGAUAAACGGAUUAAAAAUGAUAAAUGGUAUACGGGUAUUAAAUUGUUACGGUUAAAUGGCUAUGCGGUUAUGGGUAUGGUUAACCGUUUAUAAAUGGUUAUGAGUAUGAGUAUAACCAUUUAGGCAAUUACCCAACGGGUAAACGGUUAUGUAGGUAUGAGCAUAAACGGUUAUGGGUAAAUUAACCGCGGUUACCCGCCCGCAUAACCAUCCCUACACGUGCUCGACAAACACAACAGUCACCAAUCAUGUGAAUCAGCUAUUCCUCAAUGUAUAUGAUGAAACAAGUGCAUCCCAGAGGCAGGCACGAAGAGGAAUUUACUAUGCAAUAAACAUUCAAUGGGUACAAUUUUAUGUCUAACCUUUCCCGCUCCUGAGCAAUUUGAACAUCUUUCAGUUUUUGGCAGUGAAAGGGGCUGGUUUCCGCCAUCAACUGUUGAAAUUGGUUCGGUAAGAACAAGGGUUCCAGUGCUGGAGCAACGAGCACAAGCAAGAUAUCCUGCAUAAGUAUCAAAUACACCGGUUAGUUGACAUAUGAAGGAUUGGUUUGGUAUUGCUGUGCUUUGAAAAAAAAACUGCUGUGAGAAUAAGCGGCUGUGCUGUGAAAAUAAGCGGCUGUGAAAUAAAUCAGCAGAGUGUUUGGUAAACUUUUUUGUAAAAGUGUUUUUGGAAAAAAAAAAGUCUAAUAGUGGGUCUUUUCAUUAAAGAAACACUGUAGCUCCAUGUGCUUUGAAAAAAACCAGUUUUCCAAAGCUACAAAUAGCAGCUUCAGCUUUUUCCUUUGAUUUCAGCUUAUUCUCACAGCAGCUUCCAAAAUAAGCCUUUUUUUUUUCAGUUUACCAAACACCUAAAACCCUCACAGCUUUUUUUCAUGGGUGCUUUUUUUUUAAGCACCUCACUCCCAAACUUGGUUUGGUAUUGCUGUGCUUUGAAAAAAAGCUGCUGUGAGAAUAAGCGGCUGUGAAAUAAAUCAGCUAAGUGUUUGGUAAAUUUUUUUGUAAAAGUGUUUUUGGAAAAAAACAGUCUGAUAGUGGGUCUUUUCAUUAAAGAAGCACUGUAACUCCGUGUGCUUUGAAAAAAAACCAAUUUUCCAAAGCUACAAAUAGCAGCAUCAGCUUUUUCCUUUGAUUUCAGCUUAUUCUCACAGCAGCUUCUAAAAUAAGCCUUUUUUUUUUCAGUUUACCAAACACCUAAAACUCUCAUAGUUUUUUUUCAUGAGUGCUUUUUUUUUAAGCACCUCACUCCCAAACUAGGUCAACCAAUCCAAACAUCUCCAUCGUAUAUAUUUAAAGCUACGGUACAUAUGACUAAAAGUGAGAAACAUAGGACAUUAUCACACCAGUUCCAAGACAAUAUUUGCAUCGCUUAUGCUCCUGCUGUUUCACAUUGCUUAUUUCAACUACCAUCAAUGCUGAGAUCACUCCGACUGCUCCUCCAGAGAACGAUGCCACUAUGGGAUCAACUUGACUGCAGAUUGAAAGUAUAUGAGAUCAAUAAACGAAACUGAUAACAAUGUAGUAUUAACAUUAUUUAGCUCCAUGUCAAGAUAGACAACACAUCCUAGAUUUUUCUAAUGUGUAAAAUUUGAGGACCCUCGUAAAAUUUGACCACAUCGGUUCCCAAAGUAAAAUUUAGUACCUUUGGUUCCUACAUUACAGACCGAAAAUAGUAACUACCGAAUUUAAAGUUCAUAUCAAGAUAGAGGAUACAAAAUUUCGAAACGAUAAUUGCUAGAGAACAGGAGGGUUAAUAGCCCGAGAUAUGAGCCAUACCUCAACUGCAACGGCAGAUGCAUAUUUACUAUAAAAUCUUUAUACGAUGUGCCUCCUAUUCCCAGCUUCAACUCCAACUGAAAGAUGUAAACGUAAUUGUCGGCAGAGAGUUAGAAACAUAACCGAAUCCAUGUUUUAUAAGCAGAAAGUACACUUAUUUGACAUGCUUCCUCAUUUUUUUACUUGCAAAUUCAAAACCGUAUUGUCAGACCAGUAAAAUAAAAUAAUGUUUACUAAUAACUGUUAAAACUAAUCACAACAAGUUAAUGCAUAAAGAACUUACGGAGGGUGCUAUGAGGCCACCGAAAAGGAUAAACCCCGCAAUAAUUGAAUAACAUACAGCAUAAUACUGCUUAAGGUUGUCUGAACUCUGCAAGCAAUGCAUUCACCUUGUGAUUAAUACUUUUGCACAAACACUAGUUUUCGCAAUUUUUUAUGAACCGACAAAAGGCUACAACAAAAUAUGGCUAAAACAUGUCGGGGAUAUGAAAAUACAUGUCUUCACAGGGGCAGCAGCUUACCAGGGGAGGCAAAAAUGGAAUGAAUGAUGGAAAACUUGAUCUUCAUUUACCGCUCCAAGCUCUGCGCGUUUAAUCCGUUUAAUCCGCUGUUGUAUCCUCAGCCUGCGAACCUACGCAUAUCGAAGCUCAUUCUUAAAGAACACAUUUCUAAGGGCAAUUGGAGAGUAAUUUGAAACAUGCUAAACUGAGAAAGUGGCAGCAACUAGCAAUUGCUCUCACCUCCUCCGUAUGCAAGAAAAUUUUGUUGCGCCGACUCCGAAUAUUAUCUUGAAUUUCCUGCAGCUCCAUUGUCGCAAAGUCCUGCACUGUUUCAGGCCCCUCUAUGAUACAAAAUCUGCACAAUUAAGCAUGUAACAACUAAAACUUACAGGCUACAAAGCAAUUUCCGUAUCAUUUUUGGGUUAAUUAACAUCAACAGCAGAUAAAUCACAUGAGUUUUUCACAUGAAGUUACAAACCUUCAGAGACCAGUAAGCUCUCUGCAAUCUCAUAAAUUUCACUGUGCAAAGUAACAAUCCAAAGCUUGGAACUUUAAAUUUCCAUUUUCUGUUAUUUUCCUAGAGAGAGAGGGGGGAGUACCCGGCGGGGUUUGUAUCGGCGGCGGGUUUAGGAUCAGAAUCGACAGACGGAGCGAACGAGGAGGAGUCGGGCUCCGAAGCCAUGGCCAGGGAUCGCCAUCUGGAGCUGCUUGUUGAUAUGGGGCUUCUUGCGUAGCUGAAUUUGGAGCAGCGGAAGCUAUGCAGUUUGUACGGACCGCACCGAUUUACGGGGAAAGAAACGGCCAAAAGUCUGCCGGAGCAGAGCAUCUCUCUCUCUCUCUCUCUCAAACCAGAAGGCAGAGCUUUCUGUUUCUCUUGAGGUUUCUUUCACUGGUAAAUUCCAGACAAGCAGAGAAGGCGGCUCUCUGAGAAAUGGCGAUGGUGCAAGUGGAGACAAAACAAAUGUAAAUCUUGAAGCACCGAACAUGUGCAGAACACUUGUCAACUACCGAACUCUAGGAUUAGGAGAGAGAGAGAGAGAGCGAGUGACCGGCCAAAAAAAAAUGGAGGGAAGUGGCUGAUUCUUCUUUUUAGUGGACCUGGUGUCCUUCGAUUCGAGUACUAUGUCAUAUUUAAAAUUUAGGGUUAAUUUUGUUUAAGUUUCUUAGUUUUCAACAUUUAGUACAUAAAGUUUUUUUCAUCUCAGAGUGGUACAUAAAGUCAUAAUUUUGAGACAGUCUAAUACAUCCGUUAAGGUUGCUGUUAAAUCAACCGUUAAAUAGUGACGUGGCGUCUAGGUGGAUAUUGACUGGACGACACGUAUCAUUAUGGGUCCAUGUGGAUAUUAAAAAAUUAAAAAAAAAAAAUUAAUGGGCCGUUCAACCCCUCCUCCCUCGACCCCCUCCCUUCUCUCCUCUGCACCCACCCUCCCCACGUCUGCAACCCAUCCCCACGUCGUCAUCUUCUUCUUUGCCCAGAUCCCGCAAGAAUCUUCUUCGUCGCCGACAACUCAGCCACCAUCUCCAUCUCCGCCUUCCCCUCCUCCGAACCCGACUCCUACCCACUUCCAGUUCCAAUUCACCCUCUCCCAAUUUGCCCACUUCUUGUCCGAUUUUCGCGCCACUAUUGAACCCGAGCCCGACCCACAAAGAUGCUUAGAUUCUGAAAAAGAGAUGACACAAAUGCAAGAAAUGGAAAGCAGUGUGGUUUAGAGGUUAGAAACUGAGCAAUUUUUGGAUUGCUUUUUGGUUUGAUCAAUUUAAAGAAAUGAAAUUCUGAGUCGAAUUUCUUGUUCGUUAUAUUCGAUCUCCGCUUGAGAAUUUUAAACUUAAUAAUUGCAAAUCAAGAUACAAAAUUGACAUGAAUUUCGAAUUGGGGUUUUGGGAAAUUUGAGAAGUUCUUGGCGAUUCAUAAGAAACUUCAACUCCCAAUCGUUUCUUCUCGCUCACAACCCGAGAUUAAUAAUUUUAAAGUUUGAGCUUGAAUGUUCUUUGUAAUUAAAGAACAGAUGUGCAUCCCUCUGAAUGGCAAGAGGGUGAAUAGGAAGCGAAAAUCGGUGUGUGGCAAAUCGGAGAGGGUUAGGGAAAAAGUUUAGAGUCGGGUUCGGAUGAGGGGAGGGCGGGGUUAUAUUUUUUGUCGAGGCGAAGAAGAUUCUGCGGGAUCUGGGCGAAGGAAGAUUGACAUGGAGGGUGGGUGCACAGGAGAUAAGGGAGGGGGUCAAGGGAGGAGGGUGAACGGCCCAAUUUUUUUUUUUUUUUGGGUCAUUUGGACCAUCUCACUCAUCACCUAAGACGCCACGAUCUAAUAUUAAUUCCGGUUGACUUUGUAAAUUGGAUGUAUUAAUUAACAAACAUAGAUUAGGACAUUGAUGAUUUAAAAUUUGGGGUUUUGUUCUUCAGAAAUUUGGUCGAAAUAAGAAAUUCCCUAAAAGUUCAAUUCAGAAGAGUUACUUGCCUUACAAACAUUUUUUAAAUACUUACUAAGAAAAAGAUUUUUGUGGGUGGGUACAGUAUGGGGUUUAACUCAUUGUGUUUUAGUUUAAAUCUUUUUCUCUCUUCUUUAAUAAUAUUUAGUAUAUUAUCAAUUCGUAAUAAAAAAAUUUUGAUUAAAAACUCUCAUCUAUAUUCUAGCCAAUGGAAAAAAAUGAAUAGUGAUUUUGAUGUUGCUUUAACAAAAUAUUUUUUAAAAACAAUGGACGGCUUUCAACAAAAAAUUUGAGUAAGAGGGGUUUUGCCUUAAGUAAUUUUUGAAAUUGAAUUCAUGGUGGUUUUUUGAUUUUAUUAAAUUAGUCCCUCCCAGCAAAAAUGUGAUCAAUUUCUCUAUAAAAGAAAUAUAAGAUAUAAAUGAGAUAAUAAAGGGGUCAUUAAUAAAGAGUUGAUGAUUGUUUUUUUUUUUUUACAAUUCACACUAAGGGGGAAUAAUUGAUUUCUUUGUUGGUGUUCAAAAGCUUUUAAAUUUAUCUCUUUAAAAUAGUUUUAAUAAUCUUUUAAUGUGUUUAGUUGCCAAAAUUUUAUUUUUUUAGCAAUGAUAUUAUCUCAAUUUGAUUGGGCUUAAAUUUCUCUUAUUUUUCAUUAAUUUUCAUAUUCAAAACAUCUUAAAUGUCGUAAAUGCCGAUCAAAUAACUCUUUUCUUUUUAAUUAAUUAAUCUAAAAUUAAGUAAAAAUGAAAUUAUUACAGAGAUUUUCGAAAACCAAAUUUACAUUAUUGAUUUUUUUAACCUUUUUACAAACAAUAUAUCUAGUCUUUUUGUUUUACAAAGUAAUAUUGAAUUUUUUCACAAGAAGGCUAACAUAUCACAUUCAUUGAUUCAUGAUCAAUAUUUAAAAGUCAAAAAAAUAUUAGUAACCAUUCUCUAUUUUAACACAAUGUUCCAAGAAACAAUCUAGGGAUUAUCGGAUUUAAUGACCAAGAGGUUGGAAUUUUCCCCGUAAAUAAAUGAAUUGUUAACAACAAACAUAAAAAACAAAGCAAUAAAGAAUUCAGAUAGUGAAUACCUACUAAACCAUGUGAACACAAGCAAAAUACUUCAGAAUCACAUGUUGUCGAAAAAAUACGACUAUUUCUAAUCAGAAUUACAAUAUACCACGUUUUGCCCAUCACAUAAAAUCCAAAAACUAGUUAGGGAGCUCAAAAAGGGAGCGGGUUUGGAAACCACUGAUACACGAAGUAAAGAGGUGGUACUGUUUUGGUAAAACACAAAAGGUGCGAAACAAAGUAAACAAAACGGAAGGAAGAUGUUAUAGUCAUUCUCAGCAACAAAAUUCGAGCUUGUUGUCGAAAUCACAACAGGAGACAAUUUCGAUUAACAGCCUUUCCUGCCAAACUCAAUUUCCAAAAUCCUACAUCACAUCAUAAAUCCAUUGUUUCAUUCCCACGCACAAUCCCUACCCACUGCACAGGAGAACAAUUGUUUCUGCAAAGAAAAAACAGUUAACAAAAAACGGCAUGCAUAUCGCAAAAUCGGGAUAGGAAGCAGAAGCUUUCCUUGUUUUCCUUAAACACCAAGCUCUACAUUCCAAAAAGAACAUGAAAAAAUAAAAUUAAAUAAAGAGCCUUUCCUGCUUAUUUUGAAUUAAGGCGGGGAGGUCGAGACACGGCUGGUGUAUUUUUGUUUUUUUAAUUGUCAAACUGCCCAGGACACGCUGGGCAUUUUUUUUUUUGUUUAAACCUGGGCCCAAAACGACGCGUUUGCCAUUUAAAAAAAAAUUCCUUGGGUCAUUUACCAAUUCCUUUUUUCAAAAAAAAAUAACUGGCCCAGCGCCUUCGUCUUCUACAAAGGCACAAAAGCCCAAAAACCCCGACGAACCUUCCGUUUCACAGUUGGUGUGAGCGAACGGUGGUCGCACCAGGGGUCGCACCACCAGUCCAAGGGUCUUAAAGUUGCUUCAUGCUCUCCAAGGUCCGCGACGUGGUUGCGCACCCCAAUUGAACCGCACAGGAUCCGAAUGGCUUCUUCCCAUACAUGCCAUCGAAAUUCAGCAAAAGCAAUAACCAGCGAUUUCUUCUGGAGAAUUUAAGCCACCCCAUUGGACCAACAAUUCAAUCAAAAGAAACCAGUAACCAAGUUCAAUUGAGUUUAGAAGCAUUUACAAUGUUCCCACGGAUGUUCAUCACUUUACCCAAUAGUUCGUUUCAAGAAGGAAAUUCCAGCAGAACUGAAACUUCAAAACUUCAGAAGGCACCAAAUUUUUGAAGUAAAUUCAUUUCAAGUUGAAAUAAUCAACUUAGGUGAGGACCCAUAAAAUUAGGAGGAACAUGAAAGAAAGCUUUAUCUUUUUCCUCUAAACUCAGGCGUUACUAAACAAACGGACAUUCACAUCCCCACCAGAUGCAUUUCCUUUCACAUCUUCCCAAGUAAAUCAGUACCUUCUUUCGUCUGAAUCUUAAGUCUGAAUUCUGGAAGUGAAAAUACUGGAAAAAAGUGGGCCUUUAUAAAAGAAUACCUCACGUUUUAGUCAAUGUAUCAGCGCACUAAGAGGACCAGAGGCAGGAGUGAACGACAGCAAACAAUUCAUGUAAUAUUCAGUCGAGUUUUGGGUGAUUUCUGCAGCGAUUUCGGAGGCCAAGAGCCUGAUAAGAAAGCUGGGACGGAAGGGCAGUGGUCUGGAAGAAAAGGCUCGGGUCACACUGUCGCGAUUCGCGAAGGAGAAGUGGCCCAAUACAAUUUCGGCCUGUUUGCACUGGACUGUUUUGCACAGGGCCAAGGCCGACCCUGAACCAGAUAAAGCUUCUCCAAACAGUAUAUAUCAGGUGCUAGAAAUUCUAUAGAACCAUUCAAUCUUAGAGCAACAGCUUAGCAUUAGUUGGUACAAAAAGAUUUCCGAUUAUCGCUUUUAUUUAUUCCUCCUCUGAUGUGUCCUUUUAGACUGCAACAGACGAUUUAAAGAAAUGAAAGUUAGCAGAAUAAAUGGCGCACAAAGGGAUUUAAAAUCCUGACAUGUGUAUUUUUGGCAGAUUUAUGUGAGCAUGCAACUAAAACUGGCAUCACUAUCAAUGGUGCACGAAGAUUGGCGGAAAAACGUAAAGGGAAGCAAUCACAACACAAAAUGUACGACGUAAUCUGUCCACAUGUUGGAAGGAGCUAUGAAAGUAUGGCUUUUCACUAAUCAGGCGUCCAGAGAAUCAAUAUUUUACUCACGGAUCAGUUACGGAGAACAAUCCCCACCAAAGCAAUCUCAAUAGUCCUCCACAUCUCAAACCAAACAGAAAUCGCACUAACAAACACGACUUCUAUACUAUUAGUCCUUCCCAUCUCAAAUCUAGUAAGUAACCCAUCUUUCGUCUGAAUCUGGAAAACAAGCAGCAGUGGAUUUAAAAAUCUGGGUAUCUCAAAGUUACUCACUUUAAUCACAAAUUUAACAAUUAAACAUAUAAAUGGGCAUUUUUAGUGAAAUAUUAGUGUAGUACUCACUGUGUGCUAGGAGCAAGAGUACCCAGAAAGCUCAAUGAGCUGCGCACAGAGGACUGCAGCGGUGAACGAUAGCGACCAAUUCUGUAAAAUUCAGUCGAGUUUUGGGCAAUUUCUGCAGCAAUUUCGGAGGUCAAGAGGCUGAUAAGGAAAGCUGCGACCAAAGGGCACUGGUCUGGAAGAAAGGCUCUGGUCACCGCUGUCGCGAUUCGCAAAGGAAGAAGUGCCCCAAAACAAUUUUGGCCCUGGGCAGGUGCACUGUUUGCACUGGGACAGGGCCGGCCCUGAAUCGCGAUAACGUCCUUCUCCAAACAGUAUAUAUACAGAUGCUAGAAAUAUCUACCAGAACCAUUCAAUUCUAGCGUCUACAGCUUUAGCAUCAGCUGGUACAAGGGACAUUCUUCCAUAGAGGGAGAUGAAAUCGUUGAGGCUCUUAUUUAUUCCUCCUCUUGAUGUGCCCUUUUAGACUGCUAAUUCCAGACGAUACAAUCUCAUGCAUCUUCCCUGAAAAAGGGUUGCCACACAUCGAGAUCAAAUUUUUCCAAUAAAAUUAACUUAAAAAUCAAACUCGUUAGCAGAAUAAAUGGUGCACAAAGGGAUUUAAAAUCUAGACAUAUGUGUAUUUUUGGCAGAUUUUAAGUGAGCAUGCAACUAAAACUGGCAUCACUAUAAAUGGUGGACAAAGAUUGGCGGAAAAACAUAAAGGGAAGCAAUCACAAAGCAAAAUGUACUAAGUAAUCUGUCCACAUAUUGGGAAAAAUUUUUAACAGUUUGAUUUGUAACUUCUCCAUUGUAUUAGUUAAAGACAAGACGGUGUCAACCAUGCAAUUUGCUGAUGAUUUUACUGAUGAAUGCAGAGUUAGCUGAUGAUACGACAAGCAAUUGAAAAUCCCAUCAUUAUACCCCACAUAUACCAAAAAAGCAAGUCAUUUGCACAAAUUCAGAAGGUUCAUCCACUGCAAUUUGCAGAUAUAGAAAUGUUAAGAUAAAUGGAAAUACAAAGUACCUUUCACCCAAAUUGGAGGAACACCGGUGGCAUUAGCAAGUUAGCAUCGGGAAUUGACAUUACCAGUAUCUUCACAGUUUCUGCGGUGGAGUUAUGUACCUCUCCUUGGAAAAUGCCACCAAAGCCGCCGCAACGCGGUGUAGUGUCCGAUUGAUUGCUUCAAAACAAAGCUUCGUAUCCAUGUGUUUAAUCAGCACAGAGUACCCAAAACCCCUGAAAAUUAUUUCUUUAUUCAGACAAUAAAAUUUCCCAAAUUUCGAAUUUUAAUUCCAAAUCAAAAAUAGGGUUUGAAUUUUGAUUACCUAGAAAUUGGGGGGUUGGGGUGGAGAGGGACCCGGGCCAGGACGGAGCUAUGUGUAUAUGCUAAGGCGUGCCAAAUUACAUAGAGUGUCAGGAAUGUGUACAAGUCUUUUGCAAUUUAUCAGACUUAAAACCUGAAGCCCCGUAAGGCGUUCAAUCCAGGGGGAAAGCUCUUUGAUAGAUGUUCCACCCAAGAAAAGCAUUCUUAAUCCUUCCAUAUUUUCUUCAAUGCUUGGAAACACCUCAAAUUUUGUACAAUUGUAAAGAGAGAGACGGUAAAAGGAUUUGAGUUGACAAAUGCUGCUUGGAAGACUCUCAAGUUCCUUGCAAUUCAUCAUAAGCAAACACCUCAAUCCCGUGAGAUUAUUAAUUGACAGGGGUAGUUCUUUAAUUUUUGACCCAGAUAAAUCAAGCUCUUCUAACCCCUCAAUAACUUCUGAAAUCUCUGGAAACAUCACAAGACUCGAGCAACCAGAAAGAUCAAGGGUUUUGAGAGAUUUCAUACGAAUGCUGCUUGGAAGACUCUCAAGUUCCUUGCAAUUGUUUAGGUCCAAAUAACUCAACCUCGUGAGAUUAUUAAUUGACAGGGGUAGUUCUUUAAUUUUUGACCUGGAUAAAUCAAGCGCUUCUAACCCCUCAAUCACUUCUGAAAUCUCUGGAAACAUCUCAAGACUGGAGCAGCCAGAAAGAUCAAAGGUUUUGAGAGAUCUCAUACAAACUUUGCUGGGUAGAAUCUUAAGUUCCAUGCAUUUUGAUAGGUUCAAAUGACUCAACCCCGUGAGAUUAUUAAUUGACAGGGGCAGUUCUUUAAUUCUUGACCCGGAUAAAUCAAGCUUUUCUAACCCCUCAAUCACUUCUGAAAUCUCCGGAAACAUCUCAAGACUCCGGCAGCCAAAAAGACCAAAGGUUUUGAGAGAUCUCAUACAAACUUUGCUGGGUAGAAUCUUAAGUUGCCCGCACAAACUCAGAUCCAAUAAAACAAUUUUUGUAAGAGCCAAAAUCGACCCGUGAACCUCAACUAAGCGUGUACAACCUUGAACAAUUAGCCUCUCAAGAUUUGGCACAUUUGUGAAGUCAGGGGUUAUCUCAAGGUUAUGACAAUGACUUAAAUUGAUGAAUUUCAACUUUUCCUGCGUCUGUUAAAACAUUCAGGAAAACAUGCAUUACUUAAUAAGACAUCUCACUCAAAGCCCAAACAUUUAAAAGAAACAAAUACAUGUAAAUGAUUGUACAUACCUGGGUUCCUUCCCAAAGUCGGUCAAUGAGGCUAUAUUGCAUGUCAAGUCCAACAAGAUUUUCGAAUUGAAAGUUGGAUGGCAAAGACUUGAGAGGGUAUCCAGACCAGGAAAGACACCUCAACUCACUAGAAACAAACUUUAAGGGCCCAGUCAGGUGUUGUAUGCCGUGAGCACUGAUCUUGAGAAGUCUUAGUUUAGUCAUCCUAUCAAAAGCUUCAACCAUUAAGCAUCCCUCAUCUGAGUUCCACGAAUCGAGGAUUAUGCUUUCGACUGUUUCUGUACCCUGUGCAAAUCAAAGGGAAGGAAAAAGCAGAGAACCUUAGUUUAGAUUAUGAAGUUAAUGCUUGUUUCUUAAGGAGUUGUUUGAUAAUAAUUUUGUUUUCACUUUUCACUUUUGUUUUGAUUAUUUAUUUAGAAAUCUGAAAAUUGAAAACAUAUAACUUGUUUGUAAUUGUUUUCAAUUUUCAAUUUUCAAUUAUUAAAAAAAUGAAAAUUAAAAAUUAAAAAUGGAAACAAAAGUGGUUAUCAAACGAGCUUAAGAAAUUGAUUUUGGUCAAAAGUUGAAGCUUUCUACUAAACAUUGCAUAAGAAAAGAAAUUAUCACCGUAUUUUUAGUUAUCACAUGAAAAACAUCUUCAUAACUCCACAACCUACUUCGUCUCCCAGGCUCUUUGAUAGAUUCUUGGUAGACGAUUUUCUGACCCAUUUCCUCUAGUAAAUCAUGCAUCUCCAGUUCCCCCUUCGUUGAGACAGUUACUAGAGCUCGAUCGAUUAGAACUUUUAUUCCAAUAUCAGGAUAGAAACCACAGCUGUGCAGAACUUCGGUUGCACAGUCUUCUCUCAUUCCUUUAAAGUAACAUGCAAUAUCUAGAAAGAUAUCCUUCUCCAUGUCAUCUAGUCCAUCGAAGCUUGUUUUAAGCACAUCAUGAAUUCCCUUUUGCGGGAUUUUCUUUAUUUUUUCUAACUCAUUUUCCCACUGGCGUACAUUUUUGUUAUAAAGAAAAGCUCCCAAGACUUUGAGUGCUAAAGGCAGACCUCGAGCAUAUUUUACGGCACGACGGGAGAGAUCAUCAUAAUCUCUGGUGGGUUGGUUUUUUCUGAAGGCGUACCGCCUAAAGAGUUCCAGAGCUCCAGAAUCACUCAAAAUCUGGGGAUUAUAUAUCUCACCAGCUAUGCUUAGUAAUUGCGAAUCUCUGGUUGUUAUAAUAAUUCUGCUUCCACCACCAAAGGAAUGUGGCUCUCCAAGUAAAGCUUCAAUAUGUUCUAAUUCUUCCACAUCAUCAACAACAAUAAGAACUUUUCUCCGACCUAGACUAUUUAACAUCACCUGGAAACCUUUAUUCGAAACGUCGGAACUCCCCACCCUGUUGUUCGAGAUACUCGAUAGAAGUUCUGCCUGCAUAUGUAGUUUGCCAUGCUUCAUGAAACCUUCCUUGAAAUUUUCAAGAAAGCAACAAGCUUUAAAUCCACCAGAGAUUUCAUUAUAAACAGCUCUCUAGCGAUGGAUGUGUUUUUUGCCUAAACCCACACCCAUACCCCCAUAUUCCAACAAUGCGAACAUCAUAUUAGUUUCAACUCCAGGAGGAUGCAGUAAUGAAUGCAUGUUAUGCAUAUGAGAGUCCAUUUCAACCAAGCCAUUAUAUUUGCUUGAUGAUGAUGAGAUGUAUCGCCGACCCCACUUAGUGGGAAAAGGCUUUGUUGUUGUUGUUGUUGUUGAUGAUGAUGAGAUGUGGAUCAAUUUCUUAAAAACAUCUUCUACAAUUUUCUCAAUAAGCUCUGCAUCAUCCCUGUCAAAUUUAAAACACAAUAUAAUUACAACACCAAAUGAUACUUAAUGGGUCGUUUUGAUUACAAUUUCGUUUGCAAUUUUUUUUAAAUCUAGAUUUUAAGUUUGCAGAUUUUGUUUUCAGUUUUUAGUUUCAAUGAAAGUAGUUAUUAAACAAGUUUUCCAAUUUUUCUUUCAUGGUAUACAGUACGUAGUCCCAAAUAUCAGUAGUUAGAUCUUGCAUUUAGAUCUAAUGGGUAUUUACAACCUUUUUUCCUGAGAAUUUUGUACCAUUGUAGCCAGAUCACAUGUUUUCAUCCGUUAGUUUUAUAAAAAUGGAAACUACAAAAAAAAAAAAAAAAAAAUAUAUAUAUAUAUAUAUAUAUAUCAAAUGGCCCCUAAAUGCUAUUAAAAAUCUCAAAAAUUAACAGGAAACUAAAACAAAUUAGAAUUUAUUCAUGGUUUCGCAAAUCCCAGCCGGAUAAACUGGUGGCCGUUGUAAGAGAGAGGACCUCCAGCCGGAUAAACAUUUUCGAGUUAUUUGAUAUUUGUAUAGUAAAAAUACUUUAAUAGCAAGUGCGCGUGAGUGAAGAAAUUGAACUUACUUAUAUAUUCUUCGAAUCCCAACCGGAAAAAUUGCAGGCUCUGGGAAGAGCGGACCUCCAGCUCUGCACCUCCUUCACGUCACGUUACGAAGAACGACUUCAUGUUUAGCAAAAGCUUCUGCAAAACUUCCCUCGAGUUUACGUUUUACGAAUAUUGGACGGAUCGACUUGGUAGAAAAUGGGGAAUACAAUCUGGUUCUUGGAAUGGUUGCAUUCCAAGAUUUCCACGAGAGUUCUUUCAAGCACCAUGUGGAUGAAGCAUAGUUUUGAGAGAAACUACACUACAAUCGAAAUCCUUGACUCUCUCGAAUCGCUGUCAGGAGCUCGAAAAGGCGGUCGCCUUUUUCUGAGGUCUUCAAUGAUGGCAUCAAUGAAGGUGUUUCUGAUUGUUUCUAGAUUUGUAGAGAUGCUCUUUGUAGAGAUGGCCUGACGAGAACCGCGAGUGUCUUUCCCCUCUAAAAAAACUGAUGAACACAUCUCGUCCCAACCAAGGCAAGAAGAAGAAGAAGAAGCAAGCCAUUAAUCGAUCUCACCUGGGCAGCGAUGAUCUCAGAGCAGCUAAGACUAAGCAAGAAUUGUAAGUACAGAACACUCAAUAGAUCUACAAAUUGGAUCCAGAAAUUAGUCAAUGAGUCAAUGCAAAAGGGAAAAGGGCAAUUAUGCUUUUUGCGUUUUCACAUCUUUCUUCAGGAAAUUUCGGUGUGAAAGGAAUCCGCAUACUUUUGAUUUUUCAACCCAAGAAAAUGCGAAGAAGAAGGGUACAAAGUAGUAAAUUUAAUCUACAGUUGCCUACCCAACACAACUCUCUUGAUUAAUAAUAUAUAUUUAAUUGGGAAAAGUAGUUUAGAGGAAGGAUGUUUUAUCUCCUUUUUCUUCUCUCUCGAACAGUCAAUCUUCCGUUCCCGUGCGAUUUAAUCAUGAUUAAAGCUAAGCUUAAUCUUAGGUCGUAUUAUUUAGGUCUAAUUGGAUUCUUAAUUCUUGUUGUGAUAUAGUAGUUCGAAGAUUAAAAAAAAUUAUGAUUUAAACGUUUGUGGUGAAAUCUGUUACGAUUUAGAUUCAAAAUUGAAAAUUUCGUUAACUCCAUUAAUUGUUAGCACAUGAAGAAACACUCACAAAUGAAACUAAAAAUAAUAAAGUUAGCCCUCACAUGUAAUCUUCACGUGCUAACAAUGAAAAGAAAGUUCCGUUUUAGCUUAAUAUAUGUGACUCACGUGUUAAUAAUUAACGGAAUAUUAACAAAAAAAUUUAUUUUAAGCAUAAAUUCAAAUAAACUUCACCACAUAAGCUUAAAUUCUAAUUUAGAUAUCUUCUAACUAUCUUAUCACCAUAAAAAUUAUAAUCAAAUUAAACUUAUUAUUUAUUUAUAAAUGCGUAACUAAAUCACAAAGUGUUGAAUGAAAGGGAGCACUCCAAAUGAUGAAAGGGGUAUGAUAUCCACACAUCUUUUUUUUUACUUCUUACACAUCGUUUUAAUUUUCGACCGUCGGAUCAAAUUAAUUGAAGAAUAUCAAAGGAUAAAAAUCAACAAAGGGUGUGUAAGAAGUAAAAAUGAGUGUGUGGAUAGCCAUCCAUGAUGCCAAAAUGAAGCAAAAAGCGGGAGCAUCGAAAGCUAUCUCCGUUUUGUUGUUCUAGCUUUGUCUUCUUUUGGCAGAUAGCUCCUAGGGACCGGCCUAUUUUCCACAGCUGGUUAUAGACUCAGUUGUGCUAUAUAGAAGGGAGUGUUUUGUUGUAAUUCCAAUAUCGAUGGAAAUCCAACAGCCAAAAUCUUUUCAAAUUUUUGUGAGGAUUUUGGGGUGUACGUAAAUUGAUUAUGUUUAUCGUAUAUUGUGUGAUCAUUUUUUAUCAAAUAUUAUUUGUGUUUCAUUUUAAAUAAAAUAAUUUAAAAUAAUUUUUAACUACAAGAUGUACGAUGAACAGAUAUAAUUCACAAAUCUCCAAAAUCCUUACAAAAAAAUCCGAAAAAGAUCCAAAUUCAAUGGAAAUAAGCUAAUUUUGAAUCAAAUUACAUUACUUUAUUUUGUAAAUAAAUUUAAUUUUGAAUUGAACAACACAUUCAUUUAUUAUGUAAGUAAUUCAUUUUGUAUGUAUCAUCAUAUAUAUUAGGCACAUUUUAUCAUAGGUGAUUUUGUGAAAAAUUAAUAAAAAGUUACAAUAUUAACAAUAGAUCAAUAAUAUUUAUGUUAAUUAUAAAUAGGUUAACCAUGUAUUGUGAUACUUAAAUACAUUUAAAAUAAAUAAAAAUUACAAAAUCUACUACUACAGCUAGCAUUCACUUCAACUAAAACUCUCUUCCACGUAGUUUUUAUAUUUGGAAUAAGUCAUACGAAUCAGAGACAUGAAGAGGUGUAAGAACUGUGAAUGUCCAACAACAAAGACUUCGGAGUUUGUUGUCGAAUAUCUGCAGCGCAUCAUUUCUGAUAGAUCAAAUCGAGCCAAUUCCCGCAAACUCCAAUCCCACCACCACCUUUCAAGCCGGCCUCAGCCCUCCGGGCGGCAUUUGGCAGGACAGCACUGGAUCAAACAAGAAUGGGACUGGCAGUGGGAGCAAUGAACGAGUACACUCAGCAGGGAAGUCCAUCAUGCGUUAAGGCAAAUGGUUCUCAAACACAAAGCAAUAGUUCGCUACCGAAAACAACCAAAGUCUGACAAAGGGAACCGUCUUACACCUAACCUGUUUUUCCCUCAUCAAAUGAGCGCGUUGAUCUGCAGAUAUUUUCUGCCAUCUCAAAACCUGUUACAAAGAAAUAUAACGUUGAUGUCGAGCUGGAUAGCAUAUUAUACCAAUUAUGUGUACAAACCUAUUGAAAUAAAGUAGCUGUAGUUGCAUAUUACGACAGAUAUUAACGAAAACAAAAGAAGGCUCGCCUAUUCAAGAUCCUAAAUCCCAUGAUUCUUUUGUUUUUAGUUUCAGAAAUUUUCAGAGCACAAACUGGAAAGUACCAAGAUACUUACAUAUUGGGCAUAAUGAAAUGCAUCUUCAUCUUUCAAGCAAGAUUUGAGUGAGCGCAAACCGUCCUGAGAGUUACAUAGAGUCAAUCGGUAAUAUAAAAACGUAGAUGCAUCACACCCAAACACAAGUAUUCAAACACCGACAACUUCUUCAUGCGGUGAGGCAUGUUAAAAAAUAGGGAAGAACAGUUAUUGAAUAGGAAGUUAAAGGACUAAAUUUAUGACCUUGUGUUUGUAGUUCUUGGCUCGUAUGCGUUCAUCUAUUACAAAACCAAUCUGUAACAGGUACAACAGAAAAUAUAAGCAGUAGUCAGAACAUUAAGCAUCGGCAUUCACAUUGCCGCCAAUCCAAAGUUAAAAGUCUAAAGGCAAAACAGUAUGAUUCUUAUCUCUCAAACAAAAAUGAAACUAUACCCCAGACAUAAAUGAAAUAAGUUCUACUGCCUCAACUGAGUACUGUGAUUAUAUAUAAAUCCAAUUCACCUUGUCAAGUAAUCUCUUAGGAUCUUGAAAUGCUUGCUUCUUAGCCCAGUCAUUAAAUACAUGCGAGAUAAUCGAUCUCUCAUCCACACUGAAUCUAUUGUACAGUGACAGAAUAAUAAAGUUAAACAUGAACAUAACCAACCAAAAAUGCUAGUUAUAAUAGUACACCCAUAAUUGCAAGCAAAACCUUUUUAAGAAGCCAUUUCCAUGGUUUUCCUCCCCAAAUUCCAUCAAUUCUGCAGAGGCAACGUCAAAUUUACUAUGAUGGAGAUCAUUUUGAACCAUAACAACUUCAGAAGGUAGGAGAUUUGGUUUGAGAUCAUCUGUUGACGGAGUAGUUUCUUUUGAAGGGUCAUGAUGCUUUGAUUGCAAGCCUUCUGUACUUACGUCAGC